CUUCAUUCUAAAUAGUUCAUUAAUCUCUCUUCCAAAUGUCUUUUCUUCUAGAAUGAAUGGAUUUUUUUUCCACGCUAUUCUAUUCAAUUCAACAAACAAAAAACAUGUCAAAUAACCUAGAAAGCCUGACUGUAGGAAGUAAAAUGUGGAGAUUCACCACUCAAGAUUGGAUACAGGGUUAGCAAAGGAGCUGUGCUGCACCCUGUCUAAUCCACAAGGAAAAUGACACUUCAUCAUUUGAUAAUAGAAAAUAAUAUGGAGGACAUAUAAUAACAGCUGAUAUUGACAAAACUUUAAAUUACAUAACAGCUUCUCUACCCUACAAAUUAUCAUUACAAAACAGUGGAUGUCAUUAACCCUGGAUCUGCUGAACUGAAUUAAAGACCUGCUUAUAAAGGUAGGUUUGUAAUGGCAUGUCUUAUAUUCGUUACCAUAGCAUUUUAUUAACACCCUGAACAGUAGAAAUCUGUCUUAAACAGUAAAGCAACACGUCCUGGACAAGGGGCUAAAUUACUCAAUUCUACUAUUUUAUUUCCAUGUUAAGCAGUGCACCACUCACCCCAUAUGACCAGCAAAGAGCUAAUAGUAUUAUACAUAUUAUUUAUGAAUGACUGUUUUUAUCUUUAAUUCCAAAUUUUAAACUUCUCCAUUUGGUAUUUAUGGAAUUGGAACGCAUGUGCAAUUCUUUUUGAUGAUAUUUCAAGAACUCUGGAAUAAAAACCAUGUAAUGCAAUUAUUAUUAUUAAUAGUGUCACCUGUAAUUGUACCUAUAUAAGUUUUCUUUGUAAAACUGAAAUGUCAAAAGAGACUUUGACAGGCCAGUGCAAGAAUGCCUUUUUGUCUGCUUUUGUCUGCUAGAUGUGUGCAUUAUUUCAAUGUCUACCAGAUCGAGAAUGGCAUGUAGCGUACACUUUAGGAUCUACAAUCUAGUCAGAGGACAGGUUUGGCAAGUGUACCUGUAUGAUGCUUCUUUUUCGUUUGCUUGUUUGUAUCCUACAAAAUAUUGAGAAACAGUAAAACAGUGAUCACAUCAUCUAUAAUGCUAUUAGGAAAUUGAAGAGAAUUUUAAAUUUAAAGGGACACUAUAGUCACCAAAACAACUUUAGCUUAAUGAAAGCAGUUUUAAUGUAUAGAUCAUGCCCCUGCAGUCUCACUGCUCAGUUCUCUGCCAGUUAGGAGUUAAAUCACUUUGUUUAUGCAGCCCUAGUCACACCUCCUUGCAUGUAACUUGCACAGCCUUCCUAAACACUUCCUGUAAAGUGAGAUCUAAUAUUUAAACUUAAUUUAAUGCAUAGUAUGUUUAAUGUAUAAUUUCCUAUCUUCUCCACUGUGAAUAGCAUUCCAGCCCAUGCAAGAGCUUCUUGUGUAUGAUUAAAGUUAAUUUUACAAUGCAGAGGAUACAACUUCUAAAGCAAGUUAACAUCUGACUGAAAAUGAAAUAAUUGUUAUUUUCAUGCACACUGUGUGAGUCACAGACAGGGGGUGUGGAUAUGGCUGGAGACAGAAACAAACAUGAUUUAACUCCUAAGAGGCAGAGAAUGGAGCAGUGAGACUGCAGAGGCAUAAUCAAUACACCAUAACCACUUCAAAAACGCUAAAGUUGUUUUGGAGACUGUACUGUCCCUUUAAGGCUGAACUGGAAGACUUUGAUACUUUUUCCAAUUCAGCUAUUUUGGCCAAAAAUGUGAAAUUCACUUUCAAUUCGCUUUGAAUUCAUGAUAAUUCUCUCUUUAGUGAAUAACGCUGUUAAUGAUUUAUCUUUAUCCUAUUACACAGUCAAAAAACAACCCAUAAAAUUUGAGAGCAAAACCAAAUUUUGCUUUGCCAAGAAUUGUUCUGAUUGGAUACAGCACUAUUAGCGGGUCAUGUUCUGUAUGCAGUUUUAUCUGAAAAUGGAUGACAGUCUUUUCUUGUGUAAUCAGGAUUGCAAACUAAUAUUCAUAGCCUACAAUCCAUCCAAUUACUUGCUGAAAUGACACAUGACUUGAGCAGUCAGAGCAUUUGCAAACGCAUGAUUGAAAUUUGCCUUUACAUGUCUGUAAUAUUGUGUUUUUAUAUUAUCUACACAUUUUCUAGCAUAGAUUUGUUUGAAGUAUUUUUCAGACUUAGAACAGGACUUUCUUCCCAGUACUGAUUCUCACAUAAAAUCUCAUCUCUGCCACUGUGAAAACAUUAAGAUUCCUUUUUUUAAACUUUUGUUUCUUUCUAAAGAUGAAAAUGACUGUUUGAGACAAGAGAUGCUUUAAUUAAUCAUUUAAUAUCCAGGCUGAUUGUUCCAAGAUUAGCACUCUUAUUAAAAAUGUUUACCCUUUUACGAAGACAAGUGUAUAUAAAAUGCAAUGUGUACUGAAUGAUGGUUAUCUUUUGCCAAUGUUACAUUUUAUAUACACUACAUUUCAAUUAUUCAUUGGUUAUACUUUAUAUAUGUAUUGUAUGGCUGUUUACAUGCUAGAAAGGAGACAUUCCCCUAGAUAGCAUGUAGUAUGAAAGUAGUUUUGGGCCAGCCCAGUACCUUUAUACAACAGGGACUUCUACAUGUCACUGCUCUAAAUUUUAGAAUUAGUAGUACAGGUAUGGUGGGGUUAUAAUAUCUAUUUACCCUCUCUAUAGAGAGACAGGAUAUUACCAUUGUUUCUUGGGUUUGGACCUGUUUAUUUGCAUAUAUAAUUAUUAUAUGCAAUAUGUCCUUUGGUGGACGGCGUACAUGAAAAACGUGUAAAUGACCAAGAACUGCAACACCAGAACAACUGAUAGCUAAAAUUGAGUUAGGAAAUUCUAAAUAGCAAUUUCUUACGCUGUUUCCAAAAAUAACUCUAGUUCAAAGGUAAACAUAGUUUGCAUGUAAAUUAUAAUUUUAAUCAAGCUUAUUAGCUCAGUUAAAGAGAGAAGACUUGAGCUAUGACGUCUAUUUUACCAAAUUUGAGGCUACGGUAAAAAAUAAAUGUGUUAAUAAGGAAAAAUUGUUUUAGGUUUUCUGAAGAAACAUGAACCUUUUUGAUAAUUUCAAUACCCUGUUCCAACUAUAGAUCACUCACUAUCUGAAGCUGCCUGGCACUCUGAACAGACACACUCUCCUUUUCUUGGGAGCAGCUGGCAUUAACCUGCAGUGCCAGCGAGGACAUUUAGAUAGAGGCAGGAGGGGAAGCUUUCUACCCCCUUGUUAGGCCAGCCACACAGCAAGUCCUUGUAAGACAUGCUGAGAUGUUUCUAAACCCUGUAAUUAACAGGGAUAGUGUCAUCCCCAUUAAUAAUGGGGUUUGACAACAUGAUCUAUCCAUUAAAAUUACAGACAUACAUACAGCUCAUAUAAUAUGUAAUAUACAGCUAGCAAAAAAAUAAAUAAAAUAAAAAUAAUAUAUAUAUAUAUAUAUAUAUAUAUAUAUAUAGUAUCUCACAAAAGUGAGUACACCCCUCACAUUUUUAUAAAUAUUAUAGUAUAUCUUUUCAAGUGACAACGCUGAAGAAAUGACACUCUGCUACAAUGUAAAGUAGUAAGUGUACAGCCUGUAUAACAGUGUCAAUUUGCUUUGCCCUCAAAAUAACUCAACACACAGCCAUUAACGUCUAAACCGUUGGCAACAAAAGUGAGUUACUACCCUAAGUGGAAAUGUCCAAAUUGGGCCCGAUUAGCCAUUUUCCUUCCCUGGUGUCAUGUGACUCAUUAGUGUUACAAAGUCUCAGGUGUGAAUGCAGAGCAGGUGUAUUAAAUUUGGUGUCAUCGCUCUCACACUCUCUCAUACUGGUCACAACAUAGCACCUCAUGGCAAAGAACUCUCUCAGGAUCUGAAAUAUAGAAUUGUUGCUCUACAUAAAUAUGGCCUAGUUUAUAAGAAGAAUGCCAAGACCCUGACACUGAACUGCAGCAUGGUGGUGAGCAAGACCAUACUGCGGUUUUCACAGGACAGGUUCCACUCAGAACAGGCCUCGCCAUGGUCGACCAAAGAAGUUGAGUGCUUGUGCUUAACAUCACAUCCAGAGGUUGUCUUUGGGAAAUAGCUGCCAGCAUUGUUGCAGAGCUUGAAGGGGUAGGGCCUGUCAGUGCUCAGACCAUUGCAUCAAAUUGGUCUGCAUGGCUGUCGUCCAAGAAGGAAACCUCUUCUAAAGAUGAUGCAGAAGAAAGCCCGCAAACAGUUUGCUGAAGACAAGCAGAAUAAGGACAUGGGUUACUGGAACCAUGUCCUGUGGUCCAAUGAGACCAAGAUAAACUUAUUUGGUUCAGAUUGUGUCAAGCAUGUAAGGCAGCAACCAGGUGAGGAGUACAAAGACAAGUGUGUCUUACCUACAUUUAAGCAUGGUUGUGGGUGUUUUAUGGUCUGGGCCUGCAUGAGUGCUGCCGGUACUGGGGAGCUACAGUUCAUUGAUGGAACCAUGAAUGCCCACAUGCACUGUGGCAUACUGAAGCAGAGCAUGAUCCCCUCCCUUCGGAGACUGGGCCGCAGGGCAGUAUUCCAACAUUAUAAUGACCCACACACCUCCAAGACGACCACUGCCUUGCUAAAGAAGCUGAAGGUAAUGGUGAUGGACUGUCAGGAUUGAGUUCCAAAUAACCUUUCCACAAGUAUUACAUGGACUGGCCAAGCAUGUCUCCAGACCUAAACCCUAUUGAGCAUCUGUUGGACAUUCUCAAAUGGAAUGUGGGGAGCGCAAGGUCUCUAACAUCCCCCAGCUUCGUGAUGUCGUCAUGGAGGAAGAGGACUCCAGUGGCAACCUGUAAAGCUCUGAUGAACCUCAUGCCCAUGAGGGUUAAAGCAGUACUGUGCUGAAAAUAAUGGUGGACACACAAAAUAUUGACACUUUGGGCCCAAUUUGAACAUUUCCACUUAGGGGUGUAGUCAAUUUUGUUGCCAACGGUUUAGACAUUAAUGGCUGUGUGUUGAGUUAUUGUGAGGGGACAGCAACUUUACAUUGUUAUACAGGCUGUACACUUUCUACUUUACAUUGUAGCAGAUUGUCAUUUCUUCACUGUUGUCACAUGAAAAGAUAUAAAAUAUUUACAAAAUUGUGAGGGGUGUACUCACUUUUGUGAGAUACUGUGUAUAUAUGAUAUAUAUAUAUAUAUAUAUAUAUAUAUAUAUAUAUAUAUAUAGAUAGAUAGAUAGAUAGAUAGAUUUGGUCCUUCGACAAUAUCUCUUUUCCAAUGGCAUCCUUAUAGAAGUGCAUUAGGUGGAUUCUUGCCCUGCUUUAAACAUAUUUUCAUAAAUAUAUUAGGAAGCUACGAUUUCAACUCUACACAUCUUUUGUUGUGUAUUUUUAUUUGUAAAUGUAAUUAGGAUGCGUAGCAUUUUAAAGACGUGUAAAGAAAAUUUGUAGUUUAACAAAGCAAUAGUUAUCGACAGUGAAAGUAAUGGUUAUCUUUGAAUGAAAGGAAACAGAAGCUCUCUCUGAUUAUAGUUGUCUAAUUAGGCAUUGUUUAAGAAGGAUAUUUGCCUUAUUUUAGAACAGCCUUCUGUGAAGACAUUUUGUAUUGUAAACUUUCUCUAGUUUAAUAGAACAUGGAGUAGUAGUUUGGUUUGAAUGUCUCUGUUUUAUUAAUUAUUAGGGGGAAUGUUCUCUACAGAAUGCUUAGCGCUUAGAGUGUGUUACCAGCACAGCUCAAGAUUCUUAUCAAAACUUGGAAUUAGUUCUAGAUCUAUAAAAUGUGUCACCAUCAAAUUUGCUGAACUAAAAGCAGUAUUUAAAGGAUAUAAAAAGUCCUGCACUUUUGUAUUGAAUGUUGUAAACAGUGGCUUUCCUAGGCUGUUAAAAUACCAGGGGCCUAAUCCCAGUUGUAAAUUGUAUGGCCCCUCCCACAUACAUUGACUUAAGCACCUCCUAAAACCAGCCUUGUACUAUGGUCUAAGACCAACACUAAACCCUAAUGUUCUAUAGAUCACAUUGAGACACCAAAUUGUUGAUUGAAUUCAAAGUUUUACAUUAACUUAAACUCUACACCUGCUCUGUUAAUCCCAAACCAUGCUGUAUUAACUCUUCACUCCAUUAUAUUAAUAUCCUGCUACCACUGCAAUACUCCAAACUUUAUUGAAUAAUGAACGUAUAGUGCAAUCAAGCCUCACCAUUGUGUCUCUCUCAGUAUUACAGGUCACUCUGGGAUAACAAUGAAUUGGUGCCAAAAUUAGACCUAGGACUUUAAAAAAGCCUCCUUCCUCCCCCUCCACCAUCCGCCCCAUCUGCUUAUGGAGAGCCUUUUAAAUCAUAGUGCCUUAGGAAAAUCUAGAUCUUUUUCUUCCUGUGUGAUGGUCUCAUAUGGCAAAUUAAAGUUUUUUCUUUUAAUACAUAAAGCUGCAUCCUGGGUACAGCUUUAUAUAUUAUAGUUUUGAGUUUAUGUACAGUUUAAAGGUAAAAGAAAAACAAACCAGUAUCCAGUUGAGUUUAGACAUAGGCACAACUUACAUUUAUUAACAUAAAUCCUAUGUCAUACUACUUCUUAUAGAAAGUAUACUUCAUACAACUGAAUAAUAUAUAAGAUACCUAAACACCUUCUGUGUAUUAUUGUAUGUCAUCUGUUCAUCAUUUGGCCAAAUAUUCUCAAUCCAGCAUAAACUCACUCUGUAAAAAUAGCACCAAGUCUUUGCUACGCACUCAUACAAAUUAAAAUCAUGUCUAAAGUUGUUCUUUGCUUUUAAAAUUUAAUUGUGAGAGAACAUUAAACAGGUGUUCCAAGACAGAUUUUCUAACGCUGCUAACUGUUCUUUUGCAAGUAUUCUUCUACAGAGAACACAUAAUCCUCAUCAACAACUUGGUAGUCCACCAAUCAAUUCAACAUCCGUCAAAACAUUAAAAUCAAUAUCUUAAUAUAGGACAAAAACAUCUACCUUCAUUUAAUUCUAAUUACACCAUUGUCUAUGUCACCCAAGUUGCCUCUUCCAACACAUGGAUGUCUGCCUUGCAGGAACUCAUGUGCAGGCGAUACAUCCGUAAAAUACUAGUGUAUUAUGUGUCCUCCUUGUAUGAUGAGAUAUUACAACAUAAACACAAGCAAGGCUUAAGCUUGAAUAACUAUAUUCAGUUCAGAAAUAUGUACUAAGAUUUUGAUGACUGUAAGUCAGAUCACAAAAUUAGGUUGAAGAAUAUAAUGUCAUUCUAACUGGACUGGAUUGGAAGAUUUUAUGGUUAAAGUAUACAGUUCUUGAGAUAUGGAGGAUUGAAUGAAAAUGUUUGUCAACAGGUAGGGCUUAUGGCAAAUUUUUAAAUUCACUAAGGAUAAGAGGAUGUUAACUAAAACAGGAAGUACUCUACAUAGUCUGGAUACUCUGUAUAACUAAGUCCAUCCUUAGGAGAAUUGAAUAUGCUGAGUAUCGACUAUGUAUAGUAUAUAAACUGGGGCUAAGAUUGGGGAGGAGUAGAACAUUUAUGGGACAGAAUCGAGCAAGAGAGAGUGUGACGAAAGCACUUGCAUCACUGGGAUUUGGAGAGGCCUGCUUGCCAGCCUCUUGCUCUGUGACUAUGGCCCCUGGGAUGUAUUGUCUUUUAAAAGCUUUAUUUGGGCAUAUUGGAUUUUAAAACACUUUUUCUGCCCCUUUAAAUCCAUGGGAAAAUGUGCCUCUUCCCCUCCCCCUUUUUCCUGUGCUAUUGUUUCUCCAGCAGGGCGUUGUCCCAGGGACACUGCCAGACCAGAUUAAACUGGCUGUUUUGUCCCUCCUCAAUCUCCCAUUAGCCCUUGCUAUUUUCUGACCCCACCCUUAUUUGUACUAUAGUGCACUUUUAACAUUGGAGAUAUUGAGCGCUCAGAUCCAAGCUAUCUGGGGAUAUAUUGGACAUAUAGGUUAAACAUUGUAUUAUAAGAGUUAUGUAUUUUUAUGUGGUUUUUGUAACAGUUUCUGACUUAGAGAUAUUUCCUGUACCUGGAGAUAAUUAAGUUACCACAGCCACUUAAGCCAAUUAUCUCCAGGAUAGAGUUGAAGAUAGACCGGCCGCACAGCCUAAAUCUGUGGAACUGUUUUGGGCAUGAAAGCCAUGCUUGUGGUCGGUCAGAUGUGACUUCCAUAAAACUUUUGAACCCCUGCUCUGAUCUGGGUGAUUUUUGGAUAUGUUGUUCACCCAGAUCAGGGAUAUCCAGAGAUGUAUUUGUGGGGAUAUGUUGUUGUUCUGGGGUGUUUCUGGACUUUGGGUAAAACUAGAUAUUUUCUGCCUGUGGUAAUUGAGUUAGUCCAUUGUGUUUGGUAAUUGUAUCACAGGCAGAGGGGAGAGUUUGUGUACAUUAGCUGGGAGUGUCUAACUGUACAAUACUGUGUUGAUUACGUGUUGUGACUUUGUGUCCUGUGCUCCACAAGGUCCACGUGGGUGGUAACCUUGUGGGGAAAACUGUAUAAAAGAAAUGCCUUUGUGCUCAUUAAACAGACUUGUUCUACCCUUCAUGAAGUCUUGGCUCAUGUUUAGGGGAUUGGAGAACACUCUGGGGAUUGCUAUAAUCACUAUACUCCCCAGAGUACAAUCACUAAGCUCUUGUAAGAGCUUGUUCCUGCUUUUUGGAUUAAGAGAGGUCUACCUACUGGAAGCUGGAUCCUGGUCUUGGGUCCAGAGUGGGUGGACGACGGCGAGACCCCAAUCAAGCUGUGGCGGUUCGUGGGGUCUGUGGUGGUUAUUGUGUCUAGUGGAGUGCUUGGAGCCCUCGGGAAGCACUAGGAGCAUCUGUCAAUGAAGGUACCCAGUCGGGGUGCCAGGCGAUCCUUACAGAGAGCAUUAUACCAAGUCCAUUAUACCAAGUAUAUAAUAUUUAUAGUCAUAUUCAAGCAUGUCGGUCUGAAUUGCAGAAUAUUUAGAACUAGACUUGAGAAAUUCUCUGCUGUUUAGGAAUUACAUUUGCUUAUUAGACAUGUGCAACUUUUUUUGGUCCAUAAAGAAGUGAUAUAUGUAUAAAUCAAAAACUUUCUAAUGCACACCUGAAUAAACUGAUUAAUUCAGUGUAGGUUAAAAUGUUUUUGAUUUGUAAGAACCGAUUCCUUUAGAGAAGAAACAAAUUUUUUGCACAGUUCUAGUUACAACAGAGGAGUUUAUGAUAAAAACAUCAAAAAGAUGCAAUCCAGCAAACUGGUUCAGUGACAGAGCACCAGAACUUCAGAAGUUAAAGAAUAUGUUUUCUCAACUAAGAGAAAGUUAGAAAACCUAACACGGUUUUAGAUAUGCUUAUGGGUUUUAGAUAUCCUUAUGAGUUAAAAUAUGAUCCAUAGUCAGAAAAAUAAAUGUAACCAAUGCUCUGAAGUAGAGCAAACAUUUGUUUUUCAUGUAGCACAAAGCAAAUAAUUUUUUUUUUUUAUACUGAAACAAGAAUAGAUAGGAAGGAGCAAAAAUGGUGGUUCCUGAUAAUGUCAAAUAACUAGCAAUGUGUUUGAGUUAAUACUUUAAAGGGUUGAUUUGUAGGGAGCCUUGUAGUAUUUCAUGCUUUUGCCGGAGCUAGUUGCUUUCCUUCAGCUUAAUCUAAUGUAUAAGGAUAAGCAAAAAUAAAUAGGCAGCUCCUAGAAAAUUAAGGAUCCAUUAAUAAAAAUCCAAUUGAGACAGAACAGAAUGUAACUGUAACAAAACACACAAAUUAAAUAAUUUAGGAGACACAAUUUCCAACCAGAAGAAAUUGCUCUUAUGAAUGACCUUUGUCCUCAUAAAAUAAGUUAUAUUUGAAUUUUACUCUGAAAUCGUAAAAUAGAAAAUAUGCUUAAGGCAAUAAAAUGGAACUUGAUCAUUUUUGUGUGUCUUGGGUAGAAAUAAUUUGCAGGGAUAUAUUGAAGGGCUUAAUGAAGUGGCUUUGGUGUAUAGAUUAUGCCCCUGGACUCUCAAUUCUUUGUCAUUUAGGAGUUAAAUCACUUUAUGUAGUUCUAGUCACAUCUCCCCUGGCUGAGACACACUACACACUUCCUGAAAAAAGUCUAAUUAGUAGCUUCCCUUUUUGCAAAGUGGGUUUAACAGAAUUUAUCUCUUGCUCUGUUUGCUAGAGCCUGCAACCUGUGUAUGAUUAAAGUCCAAUUAAAAGAGCAGGAGAUGAGAACUUCUACAAUAAACUCACUGUGCUGUAAGAUCUGAUAUAAUUAGGGCUGUGUCAGUCACAGCUAUGAGAGGUGUUGCUAGAACUGGAUAAACAGAAACACAAAUGAUUUAACUCGUAAAUCACAAAGAAUUGAGCAUUGAAACUGAAAGGGCAUGAUCUAUAUACCAAAACUGCUUAAUUCAGAAAAAGUUAUUUUGGUUUUUAAAGUGUCCCUUUAAGCACCAUAACCACUAUCAUAGAAGGUUUAAGAUCCCACAGGCCUUAGGCAGGUACCAGUUUGCCUCCCCCCACCUUCAUUAUCCACCUUUGGAUUAAUAAUGUGACCAAGCAAACUCAUUGUUCCGAGUCUAACUCAUGGGUCCUAGGCUGCUGCCUUAUUAUAAUGUUUCAUAAUAGAAGGAGUCUUUGUAUGCCUUUAGACUAUUAUUUGUCAGAUCAUUAUCAAGUGAAGCUGUUCUGCUACCACUCAUUUAAUGCUUAUGUGAUUAUGGUGCUUAGAGUGGGACUUUAACGUUAAAUUAUUUAGUUUUAUCAGAAUAUUGAGUACUUUUCAUUUUUGUUAAUGCCUUUUUUUCUUAGUAGUAGCUAAGUCAUCAGUAUACUGUAUUGUUUAACUUAACAGUUCUCUGUUAUUCAAAUGGCAUGACAAAGCCACCACCAAUAAUUUGACUUUUAUUGUCUUUUUUUCAUGAUCUUUAAAUUACUUAUUUUUAGAAAAAUCUCUAAUGAUCUAGAUAAAAUCUGAAUUUUUAAAGAUGUUGAGAUGUAGUUGUUACAAACAUUCUACAGAUAUAUUAGGGGCAUAUAUGAUUAUUGAAGAUACUAGUAACAAUCUGUAUUAAUUUUAAAAGUUUUUUUUCCUUUCUUGAACUCCUUGAUCUAUAUUUAGAUUCAUAUCUUACCUCUUGGGGUUAUUUUGUUUAAGAAUACAUCUCUCUACUGAUAGCAGACUAUAAAAAGACUAUUAGAGUAAAGUUAAUUUAGGAGAAAUAAAAUGUAAUAUUUUGCAAGAGUCUAUUAUUUGGUUAGUUAUAUGCUUCUCUGCUUGCCUUAAAGCAUCACUUUCACUAUAAAAGAAUCCCGAUGGUGACAUUACCGCUAGUGUUCCAGGAGAUGGGGAGGCAGUCAAAGCUUAGAUUUACUUAAUUGAACCUGUCCCUCACGACCAUCUUUGUCCAGCCAAUCUUCUUCUGCGUGUGUGUGAGCGUACAGCAUGGACGUCUAUGGAGGAUCCUUCGAGACCACAUGAUGUUCCAUAGACACAGCUAAUAUCUCUGCAGCCUUCACUGGAAGAUUGACACUUCUAGAUGGCAGUAGCCUCGCCCAGUGUCUAGAAGUGUCAGGCUUUUGAAUUAUACUACUUAUAUUUACUACUUAUAUAUACUUACAUAUACUUCAAUACUUAUAUAAACUACUUUGUCUAAGUAUACCUUUUGACUGGGUUGGAAUUUCAUUGAAAUUCCAACACAAUCAGUAUGAGUAUUUCAUAAAGAUUUUAUCUUUAUUAAAUACUUAUUUUGCAAUGGAGGUGAAAGUGCCAGUUGAAUUCUUUUAAAUAAAUGGCCAUGAUUUGUAUUGCUAUGUUGUGAAUAUUAAUUGUGUAUCUAAUAUCUUUUGUAGUUUGGGGGAAUAUUGGUGAUGGCUGUUAGACAUCAGUCUUAGAGAGACUGAGUUUCAGAAAGUGGGUGGACAGCCAAUCCCAUCCAAUCAGAGAUAGAAGAGAGGCAAUUGGUGACACGUUGUAGGACAGCAGGGAAGAGGUCAGGGGAGGAAAGAUAUAUCUGGGUGUUGUCAGCAUACAGGUGGUAGUUGAAUCCGAAUGAAUUAAUGAGUUUGCCAAGAGAGGCAGUAUAGAGAUAGAAAGGGGACCAAGAACUGAACCUUAAGGGACUCCUACUUCCAUAUUCACGAUUCACAUUUUGACAAUAAAUAUCAGCGGUAACAUGAAAAAAAAAGAACCUGAACAAAAAUGUUAGAUGUGGAUCAUCCGUAAAUAUUAUCAGGACUUUUCACUAAAGUGAGAAUUGUUAGGAAGUUAAGGUGACGUAAAAACAAAUUCCAAUUUUAUGGUCAAAGUAACCAAAUGGGAAGGAUAGAUGACUUGGAGAAUUUUUCCAGUUUUGCUAUUUUGUGCUUUCAUUUUGAAAUUCACUGUAAUUCACUUUGAAUUCCUAACAAUUCUCUUUUCAGUGAAUGAACCUUUAAGAACUGAAUUUAAAAUGAGCAGCAGUUUUGGUUUUUGGAAAAGUAAGAACAAACUACAUUUAAAAAAUAUUAAAUUAGCAUUUGUUUUAUAUUCUACAUACUUUUUUGAGUAAACGUCUGGUCACAGUUUUCCAGUUUUCUCCUGUAAAAUACCAUAAGUAACAUAUUACAUGGUAGAUAUGGCAAUUCUACAAGAGUAUGUUGACUGAGGUAUGGUGUAAGUUAUGUGUAAACUUAAAUAAAUCUAAUCAACGGCUUAAAAAAAAUAAAAAAAUGGAAAUUCAGUAGAGAGUUAAGUGUCAUGGCUGUGACCAAUUGUUUAUUUUUGUAAGGUGGUAAUUGGGAUGGCCACUUCUGUUGACCUGAAUUGAUCCUGCCUCUCCACAUUGUUGUUGGCACUGAGCAUGGUAGUAGCUUGUGUGGUGACAAUAGGAUGGACAUCGAUGAGGGUAUUGAGCAUGCUUCUGAAAUGGAUGAAAUAGUACUCGAUAGCCUGAAGGAUUCCCACACCUCUUCUACAACUUGGAUCAAGACAUCCUUCAUAUUGUGUUGGUGUCCCCUGUAGACUCAAUUGUCAUUUUGCAGCAGGUGUGGAAAUUAUGCACAAUUUUAUUGUGAUCCCUGAAAACAUGAAGCAGACUUUGGUUCUUUGAGGAGGUUUUUCUAUUCAGUUACUUGUAUAGGCACAGAGUUUAAGAUGAGUAUUUCUUUCUCUUCCUGUACUUCAACACCAAAGUCUGCUCCUGUGGGGGGCUGGGACCUGACUGCCGACCAAGCUGGUCACAUGUGGCUGGAGCUCCUAAAGAAAAGCCUUUUGUUAAUCCACAGACUUGACUUACCAAGUGAAAUCUUGGCACAAACCUUACUUAACCUUUGAAGGAAUACUCUGCCGAUUGUCUGACCGGCUUUUACCUGAUCUUUUAAGACAAUGACUGUGGUAGAUGUCUCAGAGUCCUGUUGCCCUGGUGUACCAAAAGCCUUCUACCCGAACCCUUUCUCGCCUUUGGGCUGGCAGGGGUUAUCCCGCUCCCCACUGGUGUGUUCUGGCGGCUACCUCGGCGAAGCACCAAAGUCACAAGUGACUCAGGGGUCCGAGGUCUGCCUUUAAAGAUGGCCACCACACUAGGGCCUACAGCUUCUAAUGCCUUAUUACAACCCACUCUCUUAUAGACCUGGUGUUCCAAGAGUUUGACCGCCUAUGUGAGCGGUUUUGGGGAACUGUGUGCAACCACGUUCUACGUCAAAUUCCCAUCGGUAGGCCGAGGAAUCGCCAGUCCCAACAACUUAUCAGUACAGCAAGGCCUCACACAGACAUCCCCCGAAUGGCAUUAAAGAGAAGGAGACGCGGGUGGAAGAAGCGACUAGUGCUUAUGCCUCGACGGCCUAGCUCCCAUGUUGCCACUCACCUGGAUGGUGAGUUUAACAGGAAAACACUCCAUCUGGCACGACUUCCAGGGGAGGCAUUGAUGCCUGUAUUAGGCACAGAACUAGGAGCCAGACAUGUUCAGACCUCCAGAGGAACUUACCACAGUGAUACACAGGGAGGACAGUUUGACAUUUACCACAGUGUGUGGCGGCUGAGGUACAGUGGGGCGUCAAGACCAUCUGGUGUGGAUUCAAUUUCUAUAAGAGCAUCCCUCCCUCUGAGGGCUUUGGUUGAGCUGUCUCCUGUUCAUAUAUAUAGCAAAUACUUAAUUAAUUCUUUGAUUGUUAGAGUUAGAUUGUGUAUUUUCACUUAACCUAUUCUGCUGUCUUAAUACAUUAUAUGCUGUAGUCCAACAUCUCUGUUAGCGUGGCCUGAUAGAUCACCUGUACUAGUUAAUCUUAAUUAUCUAGUGGUUUUUACCUCUUGAAUCUACAGUUCUAUUUUACAGACUUUUGUAUCCUCCUUUUGUUUAAUCUAAUAGAACCGUGCUCCUGAUGGCUUUUCAUUUACUUUAUACUUUCAAAAAAAAGUGCAGUACCCUCAACAUUUCAUGUUACAUCUCCACCUUUUUAUUGUCGUCUAAAGUCUUGAUAAAUUUCUAUGCAAGCUUAUGUGUUUUACUAUGCAAUGCACAAUAAAGAAUGUAAAAAAAAACAACAAAGCUUGCUGCUGUGAACUGCAAGGUAAUGUGUGCCAAACAGCCAACAGUAUUACAAGAAUUCUAUGUACGCCCUCCUAUCCCUCUCUAUGCACUCACAAUGAUUUCCAAAGCAUAUUCAAAUGAAUGGAGCAACUUUGUGUAUGAAUGCUCGACUUCCACAUUAUAAGAAAAAAGACCAGUUUUGUUGUUGAUAAGGACCUCAAGACAGGGGACAGGGAAGACAGUUGGAUCCUGCAUUAAUGUGUACCUGAGCACACCUUGCACACCCAUCGCUCUUGUGUUUUACACUGUCAAGGCUAUAUACUAAAGUGAGAAUUUCAAAGUGAAUUUAAAAUUUAAGGCCAUAGUAACCAAACUGGAAGCAUAGUUGACUUAGAGAAUGUUUCCUAUCUGAUAUUUUGACCUUAAAUUUGAAAUUUACUUUGAAUUCUCAAUUUAGUGACUAAGCCUGUAUACAUUUUUCACCCAUUCCCAGUUUGUCUUUAUAUUUGAGAUUUAAAUUAUGUACAUCUAUCGGGGCUGCAUAAUUGCUACCUUAUGCUGUGCUAUGAACUUGAAAGGGUCUGAUGGACUUUCAUUUACUGCAUACCAAGUGAAAAAGUUUCUUUGUGUGCUGAGAAUAUUUGUCAUAUUUAGCCUACAAAAGGUUAUUUGGUAUAUUUUCUAGCAUUUUUGUCUAGGUCAUUUACUGGUUGUCUUAAAAGACCUUUCGCUUGCUGUUGUUUUCAUGCACGGCAGUGCUAAUUUGCAGAGAAUUGUCUAUUUUCAGAUUAUUAUACUAACCGAACUAUGCAACAAAUGCACACGCCGAGAAAAUCUGUAUAUCUGAAUACCAAUUACAGAGUAAUUACAGGGUUUGAUGACAAAUUAGAACAAAUGGAAAUGAUUUGUCAGUGAUCAUGUUGAACCUGACAUCUGAAACAUGUGUAAAUCAUGAGAGCUGGAUAACAAAACAUAAAAGAGGCCAACCGUGGUUUGUUUUACAGAUGAACUAUACCAAUGACUUGCAAAUCCACAAAUCAAUCCUUUCUGUAUUAAAGAAGCUAUAUAGAAUUUUAGGUCUACAUGUAUUAAAGCUAAAGGCUCAGCAUAUUUGUGAAUCAGCCUAAAAAUUCCUGCAAAAUAUUUAAAUGUUCUGUACAUGCAAAAUAUUUAUUUAUAUAUAAUUUACCUGGAGUUUGGAGACAGUGGAGUAUAAAUGAUGACAGGGGACAGAUUGCACAUGUAUUGCACAAAUUCGUAAAUCACUGGCACUAUCAAGAUGGUACUAAAUAAUGUAUAUAUGGAAAUUAAACCACGAGACAAUAGGUUGAGUGGUUUAUAAAUGUGUCUACAAGAUUGGAAUAAUACUUCUAAAAAGUCAUGAGUUAGCCUUCAACAUGAGGCUCUUAUCCCACUGACCUGAAUUUGAUGUCCAAUAUGUCACUUCCGGGGAUGCCCAAGACUAGUAACCAAUAAAUGCAAUAGAGGUACACCUUUAGGUGUGCCAGCUCAACUCAUGGCAUUUCAUAUAGGCAACCAUUAGUGGCACUGCCAGCACAGAUGACAGUAAUCCUUGAGUGCAUGUAUACCAGACUGACAAGAACCUUUUUUGGGCAAAUGGCAUUACUGUCCCAAUUCCCUGUUGUUCUACCCUUGACCUCUGUAGCGGAGCUGCCAUAUUAAAUCCCACGAUCUCCGCUGGUUAAGAAAGUAAUCCAAAGUAAAGCGCUGGAAAGUAAGGCAAUAUCCCAAAUCCCCCAGUAACCGGACGAAACACAGUUGUGGGAGUCAACUGAGGUUUUUAUUCACAGCAUCCAGUAUUUAUGCAAGUCCCCAUGCAAGGGGUUUCCCUACUGACAUAGCAUGGGUAACACAGUAGGGGACUACAUGGGGGACUUAACAUUCAGACCUUUUCUCCCAUCAGGCACUGCUGAACGAGAGGGAUACUCCCACUGGAAUACACUGUUAAGUGGAUUAUCCCUCCGUGCAGCAGAACCGGCAUUUUACAUUUAAAUCCAUAACUUUAACAAUACUUGGUAGAUUUAAACGAAUGGAUGUUCGGUAGAUAGCUGGGGUCUGAGUGCACAGUUCGUGAGAAUACUGCUCAGAUCCCAGCUAAAACAACCGAACGCCGCAUGAAACACACUUUGCCAUUGAGUUCGCCCCAAAGUACCGAACACUGAUGGGGAACCCUAAUAGCGAAAGACCGGAGCUCCCGAACGGCCUGGAAGUCCAGCGGUGUUCGCGCCGUCGAGGAGCCGUUUUUAGUUCCACACGCUCGACGACCAAACACCGAUGGGGAGACAAAGGAUCCAAGAUGGCCGACCGCCACGUGGUCGGUAGCCGAACGGCGGCCACCUAGGAAAGCCUCUAAUUACCGAUUGCAACAUCCCUCUGUGUGUGGGCUAUUAGGGGGUAGCUCAUUCGGUUCACGAACAGCCUGUUAAGUGGCUGUUCGUGAAACGAAACACAUGAAUGCUAGCGGCUUUCGGCUGCUAGCAUAUGAAUUCAAUACAAACAUACAUUUCCACACAGUAAGCAGAAUACAUUUAAACAUUGUAGUGCAGCAGUGUUCCGGAUAACCUUUAAAGUCACAGCCAUAUAAUCUGAAGUGGCUAGGUUUGCCACAACCUCUAUUUAUACCUCUCAAAGUUGAGAGGUAUGCAUGAAAUGACAUAGUAAGCACUUCAAAUCUGAGUAUCUUUAAAAUUGCUUGAUUUAAAAAAUAAAAUAGGAUUAGAGCUAGGGUUAUUGUAGCACUUAACCAAAUAUGUCCCGGUUUACCUGAGAUUGAGAGAAGAUGCACUUUUGAGCAGCAGCUGCUGUAAUUAAUUCUGCCCUCUACCAGUCAUGAUAUGCUAGGAGUGAUAGGUGAGUGAGGAUUGCAUUGCUCCUGUCCCUAACAUUAUUGGAAAAUAGCAGCAGAUGUCCAGGAGUGUAAACUGAGCAUCAGUUUGUCAUUUGUUGGCUUGCAAAACCCUGCAGGCAUUGUUAGCAGUACAGCUUACUAAAAAUUGCAGCAGAAUGUAAAAAGAAUGCCUGCAUUUGAGUAUGAGUACACAUAUUGUAAGUACAGUCAAAUCAUGAAUUUCUAAAAUAAAUGUAUUUAAAACUGCUGUGGCAACUUUUAUCACUCUCUGGAAUGCUAACAGUAAAAUGGUAGAGACAUUUCACUCCUUCCCACUCCCUGACUAUAUGAAUGAUAUGACCCAUUAAAACUUCCUUUACUGCUUAUAAACGGGAAGGGGUUGGGGAGCUGACAUUUUCAGCACACCUGAAGGUAUUAAAUGAGUGACUAGUGGCCUAUGGCAGAGAAAUGAAUACAUCUACAAACCGGUGAUCAUUCUUAGAGUAUAAAUGAGGGUUAGUGAGGCUUUCUGAACUACAUUACAUUCAGUACAAUACAUGCUUAACAUAAUCAACUGGUAAAGGUGAAGUUAUGGUCCAGACUACUAAAGAAUUGUUCAUGGGCAUGCAUGGGAAAAAAAUAAUAUUUUAGAUUUGUAGAAUGUAUCCACACUCUGGUACAAAUGAAAGGAACACCACAAGCACCAUAAAAACUACUGUAUGCUGCAGUGUGCCUUUAAUCGCAUCCGCCAUAGACUUCGAUCCCAAACUUUAUGUGCUUUAUAUGUUCCUGCUAGCAAACUGUAAUGUGACAUUUCUGUUUUUGAUGUUUUUAUAUUGUAUCUUGUCAUUAGCCCUCAGUGACUGGAGAAUGUUUGCAUCUCAGAUAGCUUGACUUUUCUUGGAAUUAGCUACAAUUCAUAGUUUACAUUAUGGAAUAAAAAAUCAAAGCAAUAAAUUACAUCACUGUCCAAUACCUAUAAACUACACUGCAUAUUUUGGUAUAAGUUAGCUCCUGCUUGAUGUUUAUCUUAACCCCUUAAGGACACGUGACAUGUGUGACAUGUCAUGAUUCCCUUUUAUUCCAGAAGUUUGGUCCUUAAGGGGUUAAAGAUGUAAAUCAAAUACAGUAGAAAUAUGUUUUUGUAGAUUGAAAUGCCAAAUUUAGUUAAAACUGAAUUAUUAUUUUUUUAACUCCUUAAGCAUUCACAGGGUAAAAAAUAAAGUAAAAAUUGCACAAUAUGUUUUUUAUUUUGCAGAUGCUUUUGUGGUGAUCUUUAGUUUUGUUUGUCUUUGUGUAUAAUUACAUGAUCAGUUUAGUUUCCAUGGUUACAAAUAGCUAUACUUUGAAAUGAAACGAAAAUGAAAUUUUUUUCUUUAAUUAAACUUGAACACUGACGCCUUACUGCACCAUAAGGAAACAUGGUAUUUCCAUAGAAUGUCUUCAGUGUGUAUAGACACAGUGUGAUAAUGUGUCUUUAAAAUAAGUAUUUUGUCUAUUUUACAAACAGAAUAACUCGAUUAUGCAGAUUUGUAGUGAUUGAGUUUCAGAUUUGCUGAAAAAGUCACAGGAAACAAGGUCACAGACAUAUUAUAGUUGCUUAAUGUUAUAUGGUUUAAUCUUUUCAUGUGUUAAAGCUCUCUGUCACUAACUGAUCCUUCGGCUCUAACCAGAGGCGUAACUAGAAACCACGGGGCCCCGGUGCAAAAAUUGCCCUGGCCCCCCUCCCCCAUACGUCUACACCCUGCCCCCUCCAAAAUAUGUCUACCCCGCCCCUCCCAUAAGUCCCACCCACACAUGCAGACACACACACACAGACACAAACACAUAUACAGAGACACACACACAGACACACACAUACAGGCACACAUACAUACAGACACACAUACAUUUGGACAGACACACAUACACACAGACACAUACAUACAAACAUACACACAUACAUACAAACGCAUACAGAGACACAUACAGACGCACACAUAUAUUCACAGAUACAUACUCAUGCACAUACAUACAUACAAACUCACAUACAUACAAAGACAGUGCGGACAUGUAUGUUUCAACAGCAAAAACUCCAGUGAUCCAUCUAUAAGCCCCACAAUCUCUGCCAGUCACACACUCUCAAAGACAGACACACUCACUCACAAAAACACACACUGACCGUCACACACUCACAGACAGCCGCUGACAAUCACUCUCAUUGAGAGAGACACACAUUCAUUGAUUUGAAACAUAUAUUCUCAGACAGACACACUCACACACAUACACUGACAGACACACUGUCAGUGUGUCUAAUCAUGACAGACAUGCACUCUCACUGAUUAGAAACAUAUUCACUGACAGACAGACACAUACACACACACACACACAUAUACUGACAGGAACACACUGACAGGCACACAUGCUCAAUGUCAGACAAACUCAUGGAUUUGAAACACACUCACUGACAAAAAACACAAACAUACUGACAGACACACAAUCUCACUGAUUUGAAACACACUCACUGACAGACACACACACUGACAGACACAUUGACAUACACUCUCAAUGGCAGACACACCCUCACUGAUUUGAAACAUAUUGACAGACAGACACACUCACAAAUAUACACUGACAGACCCACUGUCAGUGUGUCUAAUCAUGACAGACACACACUCUCACUGAUUAGAAACAUAUUCACUGACAGACAGACACACACACACACACACACACAUACUGACAGGAACACACUGACAGGCACACUCACACAUUUACACAUUCCAUCAUACACAACACACACAUACAAAUUAAUUUUAUUUCUUGCUUUGUUUUAUUAUUUGAAGCCCAUCAAGCCUCUGUACAUUUGGGAAAACUGGUGUGGGUCCUCUCCCUGGGGUUCAGUGGGGAAUGGAUCUUCUCCCUUGGGUCCAGUGCACAGAGGGAGCCCUUCCAAUGCUUAAAUAAAGGGUAUUUAAAAGAGCACUCCACUGCCCAUAUUGGAAAAAACCCCAGAAAUCCCUGUUUACUAGAUACACCCCCAAUGAAUACAUGCAUGCAUUUUCAUGCAUUUAUUCAUUGGGAGUAUAUCUUAAAACAAUUUGCAAAAUCUGCAAUUCAUAUGAAAUUCAGCCUUUGCAAGCCCUCAUGGAAAAAUAUCCAAUUCGAGGCUUCUCAUUGAUAAGCCUUGGAAGGGCUCCCUCUGUGCAUGUGCAUGCCUGCUUGUGUGCGGGUGCACGAGCAGCAUUCCAAUUUGUGGUCUGGACGUUGGUCUAUGCCAGGUAUUCAGGGGGGAAGUCAGGCCCGCUCACGUAGAGCUAGCUUAGGGUUUGAUAGCCAGGGGGGUGAUUCUAAUAGAAAUCGGCACUUUUAUAAACGGCAGGGCCGGACUGGGAACUAAAAGCAGCCCUGGAAAAAAAUUCAAUACCAGCCCAAUAAUGCGUCGCGCCAGCAUAGUGUGCUGAUAUAGAGGGUGAAAAAAUAACUUGAAAUUGAAAACUCUUACUCCAAUGAAAGAACGCAUAUAGGGCUUCAAAAUAAACGAAAGAGCGCCUUUAUUUUAAGUAGAUGUACAUUUGCAUGUAAUCAAUGUUUCAAUACAACUACUUUGGCCUAUUAAGGACAUUUUAGUAAUGGUAUUGAAAUGGUGAAUGUAUGCAGUUGCACAACUAAAAAAAAAAUGAAGUGAUCUUGUUUAUUUUGAAGUUCUAUGAGUGCGCUCUUCACUUUGAAUAUGUUAUUGUGCAUGAGUAUGCAACUAGCAACAAGACUGGGCCAAUACAUGCUCAUAACACACACACACAUAUAUAUAUAUAUAUAUAUAUAUAUAUAUAUAAAAGAAAAAAUGAAAAAUGCUCUUGCACUCACGCUGUAAUCCCUUAAUAACCGGGUGCUAGCAUGCCAAGGCUAGUAGUAUCCAUUCUUCCAAAAAGGAUGCUGCACUCUCUGAUUUAAAAGUCCAAAAUAUAUUAUUAUGAAGUUAAAAAGAUCAACGUUUCAGUCCUGCAUAGAGGACUUUCAUCAGGAUCAAAUAAUAAUAUUUGAUCGUGAUGAAAGUCCUCUAUGCACUUUUAAAUCCGAGAGUGCUGCAUCCUUUUUGAAAGAAUAUAUAUAUAUAUAAAUAUAUAUAUAUAUAUAUAUAUAUAUAUAUAUAUAUAUAUAUAUAUAUAUAUAUUAAAAUGACAUUUAUGGACUUUUAAAUCCGAGAGUGCUGCAUCCUUUUUGGAAGAAUAUAUAUAUAUAUAUAUAUAUAUAUAUAUAUAUAAAUAUAUUAAAAUAACAUUUAUGUGUGUAUUAUGCAUAUAUAAAUGUAUAUUACUAUAUGUGUAAAUGUUAUAGGCAAAAUUAUAUGUUACUAACACACACAUCAAUAUGCAUGUAUAUAUAUAUAUAUAUAUAUAUAGUGUGUAUUAUUGUCAGGAUCACAUCAAUUUACGUCUAUUACCUUUACCUCAUUUAGUGUAUCUUGUCUCCAAUUGUCUCCUUUUUUUCUCUUACAGCGACCCUUGUGCAUCUUUUACUUCAUCCCACCCCCUCUGUAUUUCUCUUUCCCCUAGCCCCUUUUGUGUUGUUCUUAGCCCCAGCCACUUUGUCUCUUUCUCCCCUUCCAAAUCUUAUCUGUGUCUCUUUCUAACUCCAGACUCUGUGUGCCUCUUUCUCUUCUCCCAGCCACACUCUGUCUCUUUUUCCCCAGCCCAGUGUUGCCUCCCACAAAUCUUGUGUCACUUUGUUCCCCUUCCCUACUGUAUGUCUCUUUGUCCCCCCAACAAACCAUCUGUGUCUCUCUUCCCCAUCUCCUUCCUGUGUCUCUCUUUCCCAUCUCCUCCCUGUGUCUCUCUUUCCCAUCUCCUCCCUGUGUCUCUCUUCCCCAUCUCCUCCCUGUAUCUCUCUUUCCCAUCUCCUCCCUGUGUCUCUCUCUUACCCCUCUGUCUCUUUGUCCCCAUCCCCUGUCUCUCUAUUACCCCUCUCUUUGUCCCCCCAUCCCCUGUCUCUCUAUUACCCCAUCUGUCUAUGUGUGCCCCCUUGCCCUGUGUUUCUAUUACCUCUCUAUUUGUCCCCCCUUCCCCUCUUUUUGUCCCCCUUCCCCUUCCCCUAUUUUUCUGUGUGCCUGCUGUUACAGGAGGACUGAGGGAGGGGGCGGAGCUAACUACCAUGCUCCCUCGCAGUUCCCAUAAUUCCCAGCAUCUACACAUCAUAGAGUAAUCACUACUCUAUGAUGUGUAGAUGCUGGGAAUUAUGGGAACCACGAGGGAGCAUGGUAGCUAGCUCUGCCCCCUCCCUCAGUCCUCCUGUGCUGACAGCUAUGCUGCUGUCAGUAUCAGUGAGUGUGCCGCCGGAUCGCUUAGGCGGCCACCGGCAGACUCACUGAUACUGUCAGCAGCAUAGCUGUCAGCACAGGAGAUGGGGCCGCCGGCCGCAAGGUGAGUAAUCACCUCAGAGUGUGCCGUCGGACCGGCCCCCGGCGGCACCGACAUGCGGCCAGCGGCCAAGAUAUUAUUAAAAUAUUAGGGAGCUCUCCAGCCCCCCAGGUGCCGCGGCCCACCGGGAAAUUUCCCGGUAUCCCGGUGGGCCAGUCUGGCCCUGAUAAACGGUCAUUAUUAUGGGAUACUUAUCCCCUAUGAAGCACUUCAGCAAGCUGAAGUACUUUAUAGGCGUGGAGUGGUCCUUUAACCAAGGGACAUACAUCACUUAGAAACAGCUGUCUCAUUUAGAAGCUGUUGAUUUGAAUGAAACAGUUGUCUAGUUUUGCAGGUAGGCAAAAGCAGGUAAUUAUGAUUUUCUUUUCUAUGAUUUUCUUUUUUACCUUCUUCUUUUUCUUUUUAAUCUUUGAUUAAUUUUUGUAAAAAAAAGUCCUUUUUGAAUAAAUAAUCAUUCAUACAUUACCUUUAUAACCUCUAUUCAAAAGGGGUAGCAAUAUCUGUAUAAAUAUUAAAUAAAACAUACAUAUCUGUGACCAGUGGCGUAGCGAGGAUGGGUCAUCGGGGUGGACGGCCCCGGGCAGCACCUUUUGGGGGUGCGUCAGACACAGGGCUGGCGCUAACAUCCUAAUGGAACAAUGAUGCCUGUGUGACCCGCAGGAGCACAUUAAACCACUUUCCCACCGGUCACUCUCUCUUACACCUCCAUGUAUGUACGUAGUGGGGAAUAUCGAUGCAGCAUAAUACAUAAACUAACCCCAUUCAACCCCCCAAUAACGACAGACAACUUAGUAUGGAUGAAACAGGCCACAGCAUUUAUUAUUACAUAAAAUAAAUUACUGCAUAACACAUUCAUAACUUUAUUUAUGAAAUCUCUUCUUUUCCGUAAGCAAAAACGUUAGACAUAAAUAAGCAUAAAUUAACAUAUAUACAUAUACAACUCAACACAUAGUGUUAUACAGUGACCCAACCAUCCUUGCCAAUAAACAUACAUUGUUCCUAAUUACCACUUCCUCUCACCUCCCCCUCAUCAUAAAUCAUAUCUUUCCAAUUCCCGCCAUCAGCCGACCUUAUCCACGCUUGAUGGGCACGACACCUCAGGGAACCUAAUGUUAACUCUUUGAAGCAGGGGAGGUUGAGACCUGCAAACGUAUUGAACUCACUCCAUUCUUAAACAUAACCCCUCAAACUUAAUUGGCAAGGACAUACCCCGGGUUGCUGUGACUAACUAUACUAAAGGGGAGGGCGGGCGGGAAGCUGUUUGCUGGCCCGAAUCCCAAGUGGCACUGAGGUAAGACCUCCCCCACGCUAACUUACAUAGAACCUAACCCCACCUACACACUCUUCCCAAACCACUCCCACGCAUCUAUCCCCACAAUCCUACAUGUGCCCUUGUCUGUUUAGCUGCGCUUUCUCCCCAGGGCCUGAUGCGCUGGCCAAAUGAGUUGAAGUGAAAGCCUCAAAGGGGAUUUGAGCUGCGAGGAGCAGGCAAUCACUUUGUGUUAAGGACUGCUGGGAUAGAUGACCUCAUAUCCCAGCGGCCAAGGGUUGUGAAGAGAGAAGGCUGGCCAGUUUCACUGGACAGCAACACCUGGCCACUGGUACUUGUUUAAUUUAUAUAUCAUUUAUAAAAAAAAUCAAUAAAUGUAUAUAAGCUAAUGCGUUUGUGUAAGACUUAACGCCGUUCAGGCAUACUAUGCCACCCUGCACACUAUGGGCUUAAACACUGUUAGUGCGGCAUGGUUCACCCUAACGACCGUUAGUCCCGCAGGCCAGAGAAACUUACCUGGCCGGACGAUUAUUAAUAUAUUAUACAUAUAUAAUACAUAUCAUUUCAUUGUUAAUGUAUUUUGACAUUAAUACAUAUAUUGAUAUCAGAAUACACUUAGACGUUUUGUAAUAUUUUCGUGUAUUGAGAGGGGGACGGUAAAAUCAGAGUCCGCCCCGGGUGGCAAAAUCUCUAGCUAUGCCACUGUCUGUGACAAUAUAAAAACAGACAUAUAAUAAAUGUUGAACACACCACCACGCAGCACGGAUCGGUCCACGGAAGUUACCCCUGCCCCCUUAGGGAGCAUCUUAAUUGGCCCAUUUGAGGUCUGAGUGAUAUUGUUCUUUUUCGAUAACCUUUAUAAUGCGUAACCUUUUAUCCCACUGGUCUGUAUCCCUAUGUAUUCCCUUAAUGUGGCUCAUCCCUUUUUCCAUUUGAAUUUGAUACUUGAUCUUAAGUGGGGUAGGACAAAAGGUUGAUCAUUUUUCCAGUUCCUUGCAAUCAAAAUCUUUAAUGCUAUCAGGUAUGAGUAGCUACUAUCUGUUGUUUUUUGGUCAUUGCAGGCCAGUUAAGAUGCAGCAAUAUAACGUCUGGUUUGCGGGCAAGCUUUAAACUAAUUAGUUGAAGAAUUACCUUCUGUAUUGAAAUCCAGGAAUAACCUUCCCACAAGACCACUAGAUAUGUAAAUAAUUGCCACUCUCAAUCCCACAUCUCCAACGGGAUUGAUCAUAUCUAGGGUAAAUCUUUGACAGUCUAGAUGGAACCAUAUACCAUUUAUUGAUAAUUUUGAAAUGGGUUUCUACUAACAAAAGACCAUGUACACAUUUAUUCACUUUAUAAAGAUAAGAAAACCAGGCCUCCUCAUCAAUUUGAAUAUUUAGGUAUUUUUCCCAUCUUUGAAUUAUUGCGAUUGGGCUUUUGACUUUUCCAACUUUGAUUAAUUUUACACACUUAGAGAACAGUUGUUUUGAAGUAUAGGUUAUAAAAACUAAUUUCUUCUUGUUAUAAACGUCCCCAUUUGCAAGUAUAAUCUUAUUAGAUAAAAAGUUCUUAACUCUUAAAUAAUUAAAGAUCUCUCUACUUGAAAGCUGGUACACCCUAGAAGGAGUAUCAAAAUGUUUUUAUUUAUUGUCAGACAGCAAAUGUUUGAUAUUAAUGAUAUUAUUGUUCUUCCAAUUAGUUAAAGAUAUGUUUUUGAUUUCCUUUUCAAUAAUAUUGAUUUUUUUUUAAAGUCGAAUAAUUUGUCAUUACGUUUUAAUUUCUUUUUUCAUUUGACCCUUUUUUAACAAGCUGUAUUAAUAUAAAAAAUAAAUAAGAAUUAUCUUCUUUGGAAUACCAGUGUAGGUUAGAGAGAUCCUUAAUAUUACUGAUCUCUGUCUCUAAUUUGUACCAGGCUUCUGUCUUAACCUGUUCCUUAUAUAAUAAGGCUGUAUGAAAGACUAUUUCAGCUUGAUAAUACAUCUCUAUAUCAGGAAAAGCUAGCCCACCCUUCCUUAUAUUAUUGGAAAGUAAUGAGCUUUUGAUCAUAGGUUUUUUUCCCCCUCCAGAUAAAAUUCAAGAAGGAGCUUUUGAUCAUAGCAAUCCAGGGUGUGGAAAUCAUUAAAUGUAGCAUUCUGAGCAAGUAAAUCCAUUUAGGGAGUACAUAAGACUUUUUGAGAUGUUUACCCGUCCCAACCAUGAAACGUCUAUACGCCUCCAUUCUUUGAGAUCUUUAUUAGUUUCUCUUAGGAGAUGUAAAAAAUUGUUUUCCAUUAUUCCAUUCCAUUAUCUAGAUCUCCACAUAUCUUAAUUCCCAGAUAUGUAAAAACAUUAUUAUUGCAACAUUUUUAUAUAAUGCAAUUGAUUUAGACCCUUUUUAACUUACAGUUGGAAAGCUUACUGUAUACUUCUAGUUCUUUUAUAACUUGAGUGAGAGAAAAAGUAGGAUCAAAUGCUAAAUAUGUCAUCUUGGCAGGCCAAAAAAAGAGACCCCUGCUGAUUCUGUCGUUUGACGCUGAAAAGGCUUUUUGACAGGGUCAGUUGGGGCUUCAUGGAAUAAGUGUUGGAAGCUUUUAGCCUGUCAGGGUGGCUACAAAUGGCGAUCAUGUCAUUAUAUAAAUCUCCAAUGGCCAGGACCAUUGGUCCCUUCAAUGCGGCCCCAGCGGUCACGCUUUAACUUUAUCAUCACGUACAGACCAGGUCCUAAGAACGUUAAGGCUUACGCCCCAUCUAGGCAAUUUAACAUAGAGUCAGAAUAAGAACAAGAACCAGUCCCUAUCGUUCCACCUGAGUAUAUCAUUGCCUCUACUGUCCUUUCAUUUGUCCUUUCUCCUCUUCUUUGUGCUAUCGUGGCGGCUCAGUCUCAGGCACCUAGUUAUAAACCUUAAGAUAGAUUGUUUAUUCCAUUGCUAGAAAGAGAGGAGGUACUAAGAGUGUUCCACGAUAAUGUGACAGCUGGACAUCCGAGUAUUAAUAAAACUGUAUGUGCUGUCUCCAGAUCAUUUUGGUGGCCUUCUCUUAGAAAAGACAACAGAGAGUAUGGAGGCUAUGAAGUUCCCUAUAAACCACCAUGUGAGUUAUUACAACCACUUCCUAUCCCCAGUGUUCCAUGGUCUCAUUUGUCUAUGGAAUUUCUAAAGGCUAUACCACCAUCCUUAUGGUGGUUGAUCGUUUUUCAAAAAUGGCACACUUUGUUCCGCUCAAAAAGUUACCUUCUUCCCAAGAUCUGGUUCAUAUAUUUAUACGCAAAAUUGUCAGAUUACAUGGUAUUCCACAAAAUAUUGUGUCAGACAGAGGUUCCCAAUUUAUGUCACGAUUUUGGAGAGCAUUUAACAAACAGUUUGGUAUAGAAUUGUUAUUUUCAUCUUCGUACCAUCCUCAAACUAAUGGUGCGGCUGAGAGGGCCAACCAGUCAUUGGAUCUAUAUUUGCAAUGUUUUAUUAAUGGCACUCAGGAAAACUGGUCUGACUUAAAAACCUUGGGCUGAAUUUGCCAGGAAUAAUGCUACCCAUGACUCAGCUGGUCGAUUUUUUGUCAUCCUACUGUUCUUCCUGCGGUAUUCUCGCAUGUAUAUGUUAGACUUGGACUAAGGUCCACACGGCUCUUGAAACUGCUUCAGCUCGUUCCAGAUUUCAUGCUGAUAAGCGGCAUGGUGCCAACCCUGGUUACCAGGUGGGUGAUCGGGUAUGGCUCUCCUCGCGAAAUAUCAGACUCAAGGUUCCUAGCAUAAAGUUUGCACCCAGGUUUAUUGGUCCCUUUCGAAUUGUUUGGAGAAUCAAUCCUGUUUCAUAUUCUCUUGCACUUCCUGCCUCUUUGCAUAUCCCUAAUUCAUUUCAUGUAUCUUUGCUUAAGCCUCUUAUCUGCAAUAGGUAUACUGGCCCUUUUGUCCCUCCUCCCCCUUUGGUUAUUGCUGUACAGGAGGAGUACGAAGUCUCCUCCAUAAUUAUUCCAGAUUUUCUUGUAGUUCUUUGCAGUACUUGGUUGAUUGGAAUGGUUAUGGGACUGCACAUCGUUUUUGGGUUCCUGAUUCGGAUAUACAUGCUAGCUGCAAAAUCCGUUCUUUCAAAGCCAAAUUUUCUCUCAAACCUGGUCCUGCCCGCCCGGUGGGCGGUGUUUAAGUGGGGGGUAGUGUAUUCAUGUGGCAAAAACUGAGAUAAUUACCUUAUGAAGAACAAGGGGAGUGCCAUUUGGAGGUCUUCAGCCAUGAUGCCUCGCUUGUGCGGCAUGUCGGUGCACGCCAGCCACUGUGGACCCACGCAAUUAUAUAGCCCCACGUCUGUCCACAGUAAAGACGAUGUCGACGUGUGGGUGACGUCACACAAAAGACGCACACGCACGUUUUGGGGUCAAGGGCUAGGUACAGCCAAUCGGAUCUGCAAGAUGAUUAUUUAAACUCACUUAUUCCUUAGCUCAUUGCCCUGUCAUAGUUUCCCUUAGGUGGUUAUAACCCCUGGCUACCUGUACGCAGCAGAGGGGACCCAGCCCGUGCCGUCUUUACUUCCCAGCUGAUCUUCUAUCUCUUACUCUCGGGAGCCCCGCGAACGUAAGAGUGUUGCCACGGGUUACCAUGGCAAUGCUACGCAUGCACGUAGGCAAGACUUGCGAGAGUUAGAAGAGAGGAUCAGCUGGGAAGUAAAGAUGGCACUGACUGGGCCACCUCUGAUGUGUACAGCACCCGGCUCCUUGCACUAAGCCACCGGGAAUGUCAUCUCCCCCCUCUCUGGUGAAAGAAGCAAAACAUAACAUAUAAUAAAUGGGAAAAAAAAGCUCAGUUUUUCCCACAGAAUGCCGCCCCUAUUUCACACAACAUUUACACACACUACACAAACACACACUCUGCAUUCACAAUCUGCACACUACACACUACACACAGACACUGCAUUUACUACACACACUGCAUCUAAUACACCCAAAUACUAGAUGCACUACACAAACACACACUCUGCAUUCACUAUACAUACACUGCAUCCACUACACACACACACACACUGCAUUCACUAUACACCAAAUACAUCCACUACACACACACUCUGCAUUUACUAUACACACACUGCAUCCACUACACACACACUCUGCAUUCACUAUAGACACAAUACAUCCACUACACACACACUCUGCAUUCACUAUACACACAUUACAUCCACUACACACACACACUCUGCAUUCACUAUACACACAAUACAUCCACUACACACACACUUUGCAUUCACUAUACACACACUGCAUCCACUACACACACACACACACACACACACACACUCUGCAUUCACUGUAGACACAAUACAUCCACUACACACACACUCUGCAUUCACUAUACACACACUGCAUCCACUACACACACACACUGCAUUCACUAUACACACUCUGCAUCCACUACACACACAUUGCAUUCACUAUACACACAAUACAUCCACUAAACACACUCUGCAUUCACUAUAAACACUCUGCAUCCACUACACACACACACACACACACACACACUGCAUUCACUAUACACACAAUACAUCCACUACACACACACUCUGCAUUCACUAGAUACACACUGCAUUAACUAUACACACACUGCAUCCGCUACACAAACACACACUCUGUAUUCACUAUACACACUCACUACAUCCACUACACACACUGCAUCUAAUACACACAAACACUACAUCCACUACACAAACACACACUCUACAUUCACUAUACACCCUGCAUCCAUCACACACACACACACACACACACACACAAACACAUCGCAUCCACUUUACACACACAUUCUCCAUCCACUUUACACGCAUACUCUGCAUCCACUACGCACAUUUCACAUCCUCUAAACACACACCACAUUCAGCACAAAAUUUCUGAGUGUGUGCCAUUGAGAGUGAGUGCCAGUACGUCUGUCAGCAGGGCCAGCCUUUGGGAUAUGCAAGCUGUGUGGUCACGUAUGGCGCCAUGACAACAGAGGCCCGGUGGCCAACACAGCUCUCAAAUUGGGGACACCAGCAUAUUAAAUUUAAAUGAUUCCCUGGUGGUCCACUGGUGUGCAGUAGAUGCAGUCAGAUCAUAUCCUCUCCCUUGUGGUUCCGGCGCUCAGUUAGUGAGUCAGAGCACAGGCUCAGAGAUUCUCAGCCUGUGCUCUGACAACAAUGAAAGCCGGAGCCGCGAAGGAGUGUGUAUUAUGAGCUGAGCCAACAGGACGUAUGCUUCCUGCUAUUCACCAGCGGACUGCCCGGGAAUGGACAUAGCAUACCACUGUACCACCAGGAUCAUGUCAGAGGGCAUUUGUGGUUGCCAGUAUGUGGCUGCCAAAGGAGCUGCUGAGUGGUGUUCCACCAGCAAUACUCUGCUAAGUAACUACCUACCUACCUACCUACCAUGUGACAUAACCACACCUGAACACCAAUUCAAUUAACCUACCAAUCAACUUGCUAUACAUAAGCAGUCUGUGUGUGACUCUGUACCCGCUAUUGUUUACCUAUGUAUUUAUGUGACUGUGUUUGUGAUGUUAUGUCUAAGUAUGUGACUGAGUGUGUUGUGUGUCUAUGUAUGGGACUUUGUGUGUCUUUUAAUGUAUGUGUCCCUGUGUUUAAUAUGAAUGUUUGUAAGAACUGUUGUUACUUAUAUUGAAUAAGUAUGUGACUGGCUGUGUGUAUGAGUGUGUGUGUGUAUGUGACCGGUACAGCGUCCAUAUGGCUGUGUGAAUGUGUGUGUAUUGUAUUGUGUGUGACUGUCUAGCUAUGCAUGGGGCAGUAUGUGUGUAAUUGUGUGAUUAUGUAUGUUGUGAUUUAGAACGCUGAGUGCUAGACUUCCUUGAUUUGUGUAUCACAUAUAUCUGGAGAUGUGGUCAAACUCUUUAGUUUGGAGAACCACUUUUUUUUUCUCUUUUAUUUCAUUCAAAAGAAACGAAAUUCUGUGACUGGAGUGCAGUCCUUUUAUUCAAUAUUGAUAUGUUCAGUUUGCGGUGAUGGUUAUGUCCGUAUUUAUAUGUGAUUGCAUGUCUAGGCAUCUAUGCAUGUGACUGUAUUCAUGUGGGGAGAAAAAGGGGAUUAAAAAGGGAUUAAGAAACACACAAGAAGUAACAGUGGGUUAAGAGACAUUACUGUAAAAGGAAAUGAGACACACAAGGUGGAAAGAAGGGAUUAGGAGAGAGAUUAAUGAAGAAUCAGUAAAAACGUAGAAGGGGUUGAGGAGGUAUGAAGUAACACACAAACGUUUAUUCUAAUCUAUGGCAUGGUAAGGACUAACCUAUUCUAAAACAGCUGAAAUAAAAAAAAAUAUCCAAUUAAUUUCUUUUCAGAUCGGCUCUUUGUCCAAGAUAUAUUGUUUUGGCUUAGAUGUUGAAAUACUCUUAGGCAGGUCAAGGUAAAGGGCCAGGAAGAGGUGCUGUGAGGAUUUUUUGCACAGGGGGCCUAAGGCCUGCUUUGUCUGUCAGUAUGUCUGUGUUUGUCACUGAGCGUUUUUAAAUGAGUGAGAGUGAGUGUGUGUCUGUCAGUGUGUGUGUCUGUCAGUAAGUGUGUAUGUGUGUGUCUGUCAGCAUUUGUGUCUGUCAAUGAGUGUUUCAAAGUGAGAUUGUGUAUCUGUCAUUGAGAGCGUGUGUUAAUGUCUGAGUAUGUUUGUCACCGUGUGUCAAAUCAGUGAGUGUGUGUCUCUCAGUGAGAGUGUGUGACUGUCAGUGAGUGUGUGUCUAGAUGGAGAGGUGGAGUUUUUGCAAAGGGGAGGGAUUAGUAAGAUGAUCAGGCCCACCUGGGGGGCGCCAAAAAAAUGUCUGCACCCAGGCACCUGUAACCCUAGAAUUGGCCCUGGCCCAUGAUAACUCCUGUCCACUGCCAGAAGUACCUUCAAUGGGGAUGUGAGCAUCAGAACUGGACCAUCGAGCAAUGGAAGAUGUUUGCCGGGUGCUUGUGAGUCAUUUACCUGGGGAAAAGAUGGUAGGUUGCACUGUAGAAAGAAGGCUGACCUGUGAAGGUAGUGUUAUGCUCUGGGCAAUGUUCUGCUGGAAAACCUUGGAUUCUGGCAUUCAUGUAGAUGUUACUUUGACACACAUACACCAACCUAGGGAUUGUUGCACACCAUGAACAUGGCAAUGGGUUUCCCUGAUGCUAAUGACCUCUUUCAGCAGGAUAAUGCACCCUGCCACACUGCAAACAUUGUUCAGGAAUGGUUUGAGGAACAUGAUAAAGAGUACAAGGUGUUGCUCUGGCCUCCAAAUUCCCCACAUCUGAAUCCAAUUGAGCAUCUGUGGGAUGUGCUGGACAACAAAUCUGAUCCAUGGAUGCCCUACCUCGCAACUUGCAGGACGUAUAGAAUCUGCUGCUAAUGUCUUGGUGCUAAAUACUGCAGGACAUCUUCAGAGGUCUUGUGGAGGUAUCAGAGUUGUUUUGGCAGCACAAGGGGGACCUACACAAAAUUAGGCAGGUGGUUUUAAUGUUGUGGCUGGUCAGUGCAUCUGUUUGUUUGCAUGCAAGUUCCAUAUAUUGUAUUCUCAUACCCACAUUUUCCUGUCUCAAGGCCCACUUCUCACUAAUAAUUUGGAAACUACACUUACAGGGUUAUUUACCAAAAUUGAACUUGUUGGAAAUUCAGAGUAAAUUCAAAUAGAAUUUUCAAACUGCAAAUAUAGCUGACUUGGAGGUUUUUUCCAAAUCAGACAUUUUGGUCUAAAAUUAAAUUCCUGACACUGCAAGUCUACCAGAAUAUUGCCCAGCCAGGGAAUUGGCUAACUGUCCAGAGCUCAAUCAGGAGGAAAGUGCCUCAAGACUGACAGGUUAGCCAGUAGUGUGAGGCUAUCACAGUAAUAUGGGCCAUAAUAUGUUGCUAACCCAAAGCAAAACCAUCAACCAUGUGUCAGGGAUCCGCGGCUAGGAGGGGAGGCUGCACGCCACUUGCAGCACUCACCCUCAGUCCAUCGUCGCCCGCGGUCUCCCCUCUGCUUACCUGUCGGCGAGCGGCGUCUCCUCUCUGCCGCUCGCCGCCCGUGUCCUCCAUGCCCCCCAGCGGCAGCAUGUAUAACGCUGCACGCUGGGAGGUCAAUGAAUCAUGUAAACGCCGGGGUCACGUGAGUGACCCGGCGUUAAAGGAACAGUACCACAAUCACAGUGGGAGGUAUAGAUAUCCCCCACGUGUGAUUGUUAAUUCUGAUUGGAAGUUAUCCAAUCAGAGUUAAACCAAGGGUAUUUAUACUUACCUUUCCUGUCCCUCAGUGCCCUGUUGUGGUCUUGUGUUACCUGUAGCGUAGUGUUCUUGUCUUGCUCUCUGGUUACCGAUUACUUGGCUCGUUAUUCCGAUUAUCCUGUCUUCUCCACUCCUUUGACCUCGGCUUGUUUCUCGUUCUCCCGUUUUCUGGCUCCCUUUACUUGGCUUGUCUCCUGACCAUUCUUAGUGUGCUUAGCCCAGCCACUCUAAGGACCGGUAUAGCACCCUUCCUCUCUGUGACCUGUUAGCGUGUUAGGUUCCGGAAUCGUGACACCAUGAAUAACUAAUAGGAACCUGUAGCCUAUUGAGAUAACUUAUUGCUUAUAUGGUUAUUCAAUUAUAUGAGCGUAUGAAUUUUAGUUGUAUGAAACCUAAAAUCCAGACCAAGCUGAGGAGCUCCUACAGCAUGCAUCUUGCUUGCUCGGUACCCAGACUAUCCUGUAAUUUGUCUCCCUUUUCAAAUCCCUUCUUCACAACAAUUUCACUUCUAAUGUCUCUCAUCUUGGACCUAUAUUAGUUCAUGAUCAGUAUUGUACCGUACAUCAACAGUUCUCGAUUUUCCAGAUGUCCCAUCACGUAUUUAGUUGGUACACAGUGUUGCAGAGCAAUCCUUAAUGCUCAUUGAUGAGCCUUGUACUCAGUUCUUGGUUUGCCACUUCCAUUGCUAGUUUGAUAUGGGGGAACCUCUGUUAAGUAUGCUUUUGCUACAUUAUCCCUCUGUUUAUGAGGUGCUGUGUCAUAUCUGCUCUAUUUCCGGUGUCACCAAUUCACUAAUUAAAUUCCAGCUGGUUAGAGCCUAUAGUGGCUCUCACUUUGACAUCAUUUAAUUGUCUGCACAUUUUUAUGUUUGCGACCUAGUCUGCCUGACUGCCAUUAUCUUUCUCAAGCCAUUACUAGUUUAGCAAUUUUAUCUAAUUUUGCUAGUCACUAUUUUUGCUUGAUUUACAUGAGCAUGAGUACAUCCUGAAACCUCUGUUUGGCUUAUUGUCCAGAAUUAGACAACAUUGGAGAUGAAGGAAUAUUGGCUACCCUUUAUAAAUAGGAUUAUAUCUGUUUAUUUGUAAUACAUUUAUAUAACUAGAAAAUAUUAAAUAGUGAUGGAUGAUGGGAAAAAGUAAUACUAAAAAUAAAAGCAUUGUAUCAGAAAAGAUCAACUCUGAUUUUCUCUUGUUUUCAUGUUUAUCCUGGUGGAUAGAUGUUGUUUUAACCAAUCCAACCCUAUUCUGCUUGUUAUAACAAAUUAUGAAAUAUGAAUGCCUACAAUUACCUUAUUGGACAUUAAACUUGUGACCCUGAUGUUUGAACAUCUACUUUGAGUUAACCAAAUGAGAUCUAAAUGACUUUUGUUAAUUCAUAAAAUGGGCUUAAAAGCACUUGAUAUCUACUUUCUCUUGACAUCUCAACAUCUCUUAUUAAAAUAUUAACCAUUCCUCCUGCACCAGAUUGUGGCAACAAAUGAGAUGAGAACUUUCUGGUAUCAACCUCUUUAGAAGAUAUCUGAUAUGGUAUUCUUUCUAAAAAUAAAUUUACAUGUUUUUGCUCAGUAAUUAAUUUGACAUGGUAACUGUACUGCAAAUAAAUACCUAUCUCAGUUGAAGGUGAAAUUGUUUUUCUUUCAGAAAAAAAAGAUUGUGUUAGGAAACAGGUUUCCUAGUGAAGACUUUGGUCAAGGAUGCAUUAAACAAAACAUGCUUAUUUUAUCUUGAGAACAAACCAGUUUGCAGUUUCAGAAAAUGCAGUCCUUGACAUCAGGGGUUCAAUUUAAUAAGCUUUCCACAUGAUUCAAUACUGUUAGAGAAAACCUUCUAAAUUGAUUUAUCUUUUAAAAUUCCGGUAGACUUUAAUGGUGACUUCUGUUAAUAAAUCAUUUGUAACAUUUUUCCAAAAGUAUUUAAUCGUUUGAAAGCCAAUUAAAUUGAGGCCAAGGUAAGCAAAGAAAACAGUCCAAUCAUAAAUAGGAAUAAUAUAAAAAAAAUGUAAUAGUAAUUAUAUAAAGAAUUUGGCCUAAGCAAGGGUUAAGUAAUUAUAUAUUAGAGCCCAGCACUUUUUCAUAGGAAGUGUAGUACCCAGAUGUUUUAUCCAAUGUCUUGUAUACAAUGCUGAAAAUGAGGGGCAUUCAAUAACGAUUAACAGUGUGAACGUGUUACUCAAAUCUUUAUCUAGAUAUGCUUCUAAUUAGUGAUGGGAAUAUAUGUGUAGUGUGUUCUGUUAAUUGUAAACAUAUUAUGUAUAGCCACAUUUAGAUCCCGUGUCCCUUCUGCAUCUGAGUUUCAUCUCAAUAACUUGGAACUGAUAUGAAUUGGCUUCUUGUGAAAUGAUGUGUAUGUACAUAGAGCUUGUGUAAGAUUGGGACAUGUUAAGUUUCCUGCCAUGUGCUAAGAUUUACAGUAUUUUACAGUAUAUACAGUAUUUGAUAAAAAAGAUAAGUAAAUUAAUGAGGUAUUACAGCAACAUUUUAUAAGACCUUGGGUCUUUAAGAAACUUGACCUUAAUUUAAUAUUUUUGGAUAAACUUUUAAAAUAGUUUCAUAUUUUGGAACAUAUUUUUUGACUAUUUUAAUAUCUUUCGACAUAUUGGUAUAUUGGUAUGUAUAUUUAUUUAAUAGUCUGAGAAAUCAUUAUAAAAAUUCAUCCAAAAAUAUUAAAUAAUUUGAAAAGCUUAUCCAAAUAUAUUAAAUGGUGGCCCCAAUAAAUAGUUUUAAUUGUCAUCUGUUGUAAAAAGAGAAAGAGGAAAAAAUAGAAUAAAAAAGUAAACAAAGAGAAAUUAGUAAAUGGUAUAGUGCUAUGAGUGACUGGAAUAAACCAGCAUGUAGUAACAAUAGCAUAAUGAUAAAGUGUGAUGAGAAUGAAAUAAUAUAUUGUUGAAAGUAUUGGCAGCUAGAAUAUUGAGCUUUUGUAUGCAAAACAUCUUUGUGUAAAGUAGGCUUUUUGGUCUGUCCCUCCUUUUCUGAGUGUCAGAACAUGGUCUAUGCUUGUGAAAUAAAGUGUGGGGAAUCUCUCUGUGAUAUAAAAUGUUUAGAGCCCAUAUUUUUGGUUUUGUUUUUUUCCAUCCUUAUAUGCCAUGGUGAUUGCUGAUCGAUGUCCUCUUAUUCGGUCAUGUAAUGUCAAGCCAUUUUUUUUCGGAUGUGUAAUGAUCUACAAUGCCAGUGAUGAGAUAUAUUGUGUGAUUAGUUUGGCAGGGUAAAUAUUGUUGAACCUGGACGUGUUAUGCUAUCUGAGGACGUGUUAACAGCGUAUUAUCAUAUGACUGUAUAUAACACAGCUUGUACAUGUAAUACAUGAAUUGUCUGUCACAAACUUUAAUAUUUUCAGGAUCUAUUUUUAAAAAGACAUCUCUCAAAUUUCUGUUCCUCUUGAAUGAGAUCGAUAGUUGAUUAGAGGGGAUUAUGGGUAUUGGCUCUUAGUGUACUCUCCAAUUUUUAAUAAUCUUUGUUUGAAUUGUCUCUCCAGCAUUUUUGUAUUGAAAUGGUAAGCAUAUUAUCUCAAUUGCUCUCUUGCUUGAUUACUUCUGUUUAUUAACAAAUAUUUGAUCAUGUCUCCAUUUUCUUUCUGUGUUAUUUCUAUCUGAAUUUGUUAGUGUAUCUGCUUGGACUCUUCUGUCGGUGUGUCAUUAUUUCAUGCAUUAGAGCGACCUGCGUCAUUCUGGCAUCAUUUUGUAUGCUGGCUGCUGCAAACCUGAGACCUUAUAUUACGCUUAUGCUCAAUGCAUCAUUUCCGACCCACUCUGCAUCACAGAAAUUAAGCAGGCCAAUCACUGACUUUCUAGACCUAUUUAGAGGACAGCUGUCAUCACAUUUCACCUACAAUUUUUUAAUUGUUUAUUUUAAUUUUUUUGUAUAUUUUUUUUAAUUUGGUUUUGCAUAAAGUAAAUAUACACAUUCUGUUAACAACGCGUCCAAAAGUGCAGUCAUAUAAUGCAUUAAUAAUCAUAACAUUCAAAAAUAUGCUGUUGAUCUUUGGCAUUCUGUCUUCCGUACAUUACAUCUUUACACAUUUUCAUUAUACAUAUACAGGGAAAUCGCUGGUGCUGUUUUAGUCUCUGGAUAGUGAUUGUCGUUUUCUUAAAGUCUCAAACUUAUACAUUUUAAGUCGUACCUUUAUUUGAUAUUUCUUUCUCAUUUGGUGCGUGGGUGUAUUCCCGUUCCCUGUCUGCGGCCUACUAGGAGUGUGUUCAGCCUAUGCUACCUCCCCAUCCGUCUUUUCCAUGAAUUUAUUCCAUUGUCCCCAUGUGGCUUGAAAUAUCUGGUAGUUUUUUGAAAUGACAUGUGUAAGGUCUUCCAUUUGCUUUAUCUGUUCCACCCUGUUAAUCCAUUCCCUUAGGGUAGGGGGGUUUGCCUGCUUCCAAUAUUUAGGGAUCAGUUGGUUUGCGGCCGUAAGGAGAUGGGCCAGUAGAGAUGUUGUGUGUUUGUUUACGUCUGGUAUAGGUAGCAGGAAGAGCACAUACUCUGGGGAUAGUGGGACCGUAACACCUGUGAUCAUUUUAGUCAUAGAGAUUAUUCUACGCCAGAAUGUGCGUAUUUGUGGGCAUUCCCACCAGAUGUUGGAGGGAUGUGCGUCAGGUUGGUGACAUCUCCAUCAUGUGUGUUGUGAGUUGGGGAAGAGUUUGUGUAACUUAGCCGGCGUAUAGUGCCAGUGAGAGAGUCAUUUAUAGUUGGCUUCUUGUGUGGCAUUCCAUAUGGAGGCUUUGUGCGCUUGUGGCAAACCUAGCCACUUCAGACUAUUUUGUUUCACUUUAAGGGUUGCCCCAGAAAGACUGGUUUAUAUAGGGUUUGAUGUGGUUGUUUAAAAUGUGAAAGAGGGAAUUCGUAUGCUAGUGGCACGAAAGCCGCUAGCAUUCAUAUGGUAGUUUCACCAACAGUGAUUUGCAACACUGUUCGUGAAACAAACAAAGUACCGAAUGGGAGCCCACACACAGGGGGUCAUGUGGCUCCCAUUAACCGAUCGCAACAAUGUAUCUAUCGGCUGUUAAUUCCCCAGGUGGCCGUCAUUCGGCUACCGACCACGAGGCGGCGGCCAUCUUGGAUUCCCUUUUUGCCCAGCGGUGUUUGGUCGUCGAGUGCCUGGAACUAAAAUCGGCUACUCGACGGCACGAACACCACUGGACUUCCAGGCCGUUCGGGAGCGCCGGUCUUUCAGUACUUUUUCUCCACCUAUGUAUUCGUGACUUCUAUGAGGAAUGUAUGUUAAAGUAUAUUUCGUGCUGUAUUCGGCUGAUUGGGCUGGGAUCUGAGCGGUACUUUCACGAAGUAUGCGCUCAGACCCCAGCUAUCUGCCGAACGGUCAUUCGGUACAGUGGCAUGAAUAAAAUAGAAGUUAUGUAUUUUUAUGUAAAAAGCCAGUUCUGCUGUACGAAGGGAUAAUCAACUUAACAGGAUAUUCUAGUGGGAGUAUCCCUCUCGUACAGCAGUGCAUGGUGGGAGAAAUGUUCUAUAUGUUAAUUCCCCCAUGUAGUCUCCUACUGUACAACCCCUGUAAAGUUAGUAAGGAAACCCCUUGCAUGGGGAACCACAUAAAUACUGGAGCUUGUGAAUAAAAUCGUCAGUUGACUCCCAGAACUGUGUUUCGUCCGGUUACUGGGAGAUUUGGGAUAUUGCCUUCAUUUUCAGCGCUUUCUUUGGAUUACUUUCUGUACCAGCGGAGAUAUUGGGAUUUAAUAUUGCAGCUCCGCUACAGUGCUCUUUUAAAGAUUUGUCGCUACUGUAGUGGCGAGAUCUUCAACUGUAGUUCUUCUGCCCACUUUUCCGUAAAUGAGGGGAGGUUUUGUGUCCCUGGUAUCGUUAGUAUUUUGCACAUUGUUGAGAGUAAUUUAGUUUUAAGUGAGUGUGAUGAGCAAAGUUUUUCAAAUCUCAUAAGCCGUCUUGUCACUGAAGGUAGUAGUUGCAUAGACUGGAUAAAGUGUGUCAGUUGGUUAUAUUGUUAAUAGUGUGUCCCUAUUUGGCCUUGGGAUGAGAUAAAUUCUGAUAGCGGUUUUAGUUUGUCCCCUUGUAUCACAUAUUGGAAGGCAUGGCCUAAAGUUGUGGGAGGGGCUAUAGACCCCUUUCAUCUAAGACCACUUUGCUUUUUCCACACUCCCGCAUGAUGAUCAGGGGCUGUCCCUAGACAACCAAGCCACGGCAGACCUACACAUAUGGUGGACUUUCUUAACCACAUGUAAUGGUAAACUAUUGUGGCAGCUGCCGUGACAGCCGCCAUGGCAGGGGGGUCAUUUAUGGUCAAGGUCAUGGAUUACAUGAACCUUGCCAACAUAGCCGGGCUCUGACUAAACUGGCCUUGUCCACCAGCACUCAAAAUGCUUAUACAAUACAUUUCAUGUCGGACCAUCACUUAGAUAGAUGGUUUGAGGUUUCACAACUAAUUGCCUUCGCCUCUUUUUGCCACCUUAAGUUAAAAAUUCUCGCACAACACGGUGAAACUUAUCUCACGGGUAUUAAACACUAUACGUAUUUUUCCUUCCCAAACAACAAGGGUUCCUAUCCUCAUCCAUACCUUACUUAGAGACAUAGCCAAGCGGACGUUCCCGCUAAAACUAAAUACUGGCCAUAGACAUACAAUGUUCAAACCAUGUCAGAACCACUCGACCAUGCACCUUCCGAGCCACGCACCAAUGCAGUUAUCAAAACUGCUACCUAUCUAGCCUUUAACGCUUUCUCAUGCCAAAAAAAUAACUCACUAUCAGCGGCCAACAUCAUAAACAAGAGUGCCUGUUGACCUCCUAUCUUCUAAAACACACAGACCACUAUGUCCGGUCCCUUCCUAAAACUAAGACGAGUCAGAUGGGCGAGCCAGUGCAUAUAACCUACUACCUUACAAGCAAUGCUGGGUGCCCGGUUAAGGUACUGGUUACGUUUUUGGGCACGCCACCAUAUGCACCACUGAACCAUUAGUGUUGCUGUACGAUACUGUCCUUACCACAGGUAAGUUCAUGCACUAUGUCCACCUACUCAUUCACCGGGCUCGAACUAAACCCUAGCGACUACUCAGGGCACUCCUUUAGGAUAGGAGCAGCCUCCACGGCCUAUAGCCAAGACAUCCCCACACAUGUGAAGACACGGGGUCGCUGGGAAUGAUAGGCUUAUGCGACUUACAUACCACAGCCGAUUCAGGAAUUAGGAAGAUUUCAUUAAAAUGUCUACCUGAUGGUUAACAAAUAGACUAUGAUCCUGUAUAAUGUUUUGCAUUAAUAUGUCUCUUUUUGGCCACUUUUUACUGGCCUACAGAAUACGUCGGUUUCCGCACACCUCAACCGAUUAUUCCUAAACCUACAUCUCUACAACCCAUCUUAUUCUAUAUCAUAUGAGAAUGCCCCGAACACAAAUUGGAAGGCAUGGCCUGAAGUUGUGGGAGGGGCUAUAGACCUAUAAAAGGGACUCCCCCUUUCCCUACUUACCUUUGUUGGUCAUACGAAUAGCCCCACCCUCCACUCCCAUUGUUCAUAUUUCCUCUAUGUAAGCCCAGUUUUUACCGGCCUACAGCAUACGUCGGUUUCGGCACACCUCAACCGAUUAUUCCUAAAGCUACAUCUCUACAACCCAUCUUAUUCUAUAUCAUAUGAGAAUGCCCCGAACACAACUCUUAGUUGUGUGGGGGUUUGCGUAGGCAAGGUGUGUAGUAUUCUACCCUCGAGUCCCAGUUCGAAUAAAGGAUUGUGAGUGAUCGGGUAGGGUGGGGAGGGAAAGUGGGAGAUAUUCACGUAAUUGCAUCCAUCUAGCCAGACUUUUAGUGUGGCUUCUAUUGUCGGGUGAUGUCUGUGUUUUAGUAGGUGAUGUAUCUGCUUGUACCAUGGUAUGGACUGAAUAGGAGUCUUGAAGAAUGAGUCCUCUAUCGCUCACCAUUGUUGCGAUGAGAGGGGGUUCAUCUAGACUCUUGUUAGGUGGAUGGCUCUCGGUCCAGGUCUGGGAGUCCUAUCCCUCCCUCUUCUCAUGACUUUGUCAAGAGUGAGUUAGCUAGCCUAUGGUGUUUUUGAGACCAUACAAAAGUAGAUAUGGUCCUGCGGAUGUCCACAAAUAAUUUUUUGGGGAUCAGUAUGGGUAGUGUUUAAAAGGUGUGGGAGCACAUUCAUUUUGAUAAUAUUCAAUCUACAAAACCAGCUGAAUCCCGGUUUGUUCCAUUUGCUUAAAUCUUUUGUAAUGUUGGUUAACAUUCGGGGGAAAUUUAAUUCAUAUAUACGAUUCAGCUCGUGUGGUAGAUGUACACCUAGAUAUUUAAUGGAUGUGUUGGACCAGCUGAACUUGAAUGAGCUUUUAUAAUUUGUUUGGUUAGUUCCUGGUCCAUGUGUAGUAUCAGGAUCUCACACUUGAUAAGAUUUGCCUGAAAGUUAGAGACCUUGCUAUAUACGGACAUUUUGUCUAGUAUAUGUGGGAGAGAUUUAUCCGGGUUUCUUAUUGUGAACAUGAUAUCAUUGGCAAAAACAGUUAUUUUGUAUUCCACCUUGUCGAUGUUGAACCCUUGGAUUUGGUGGUUGUCUCUGAUGCCCUGUAGGAAUGGCAUCAGUACUAGUAUAAAGAGCAGAGGGGAGAGCGGGCAGCCUUGUCUCGUACCAUUGCUUAUUUAUACUGGGUCAGAUAAUUUGCCAUUUAUACGUAACCUUGCUGUUGUUGUGGAAUAUAUUGCUCCCAGCCACUCCAUCCACCUUCAUGGUGGACAGCAUCAGGGACCAAUCCACUCUCCUCCCUUUGUUUCUUUUGGCCUGAUGCUAAUUGUAUUAUUUCUCCCCUCAUUACACAUUUAUGAGCUUCCCAUAACAUCGUUGGGGAGGUGUCAGGGUGGGAGUUUUCUGUGAAGUAUUGCUGUAUUGCAUCUAAGAGUUUGGACACUAUAUCUGGGUGUUUGAGGAGAAGGUCGUUUUGUCUCCAUUGAGGUGAUGUCUGGGGGUAGGACAACAUUAUCAAAUCUAGUGUUAGUGGGGCAUGGUCCGACCAUUCGAUCAGGCUGUAUGCGGCAUUCUUGAUUUGGGUAGGUUCCUAUGGUGGAGAAAGAUCAUGUCUAUCCUAGUAUAGCUGCCUGUUGGUGGGGAGAAGAAAGUAUAGUCUUUCCUGGUGGGGUGGAUAGUUCUCCAACUAUCAUAUAACUGUGCUUUGUGUAAGAUUUUGUUGAGUUCUAAUCUUGCCAGUGCUAGGUAAUCUGCUUGCUUUGAGAAGGUGUCUAAAGCUCCAUCAAGGGUUAUGUUCAUGUCUCCCCCCAUUACUAGAAUUCCCUUCUGGAAAGUAGUUAAUUUUUGUAGGAUUUUCUUUAGCGACUGAUAUUGUUUCUUAUUCGGGAGAUAGAGAUUUGCAAGUGUUAUUUUUUGGUACCCAAUUUUCCCCUUGACAAAGAGAAAUCUUCCUGCAUCGUCAGACAUAUUGUUCUACAAUAUUGAAAGGGAACCUGGUUGGCGAGCAGUAUUGCUACUCCUCUGGAUUUUGACUCUGUGAAGUGGCUGAAGAAGCAUACAGGAUAUUUGCAAUUCCUGAGGGCUGAGGCUGAAUUCUUGCGGAAGUGGGUUUCCUGUAUAAACACCACAUCUGCUUUUUGUCUUUGGUAGUCCGUGAGGGCCAGCAUUCUUUUUUCAGAGAUGUUUAGACCCCGGCAUUGUGGGACAGUAUGCGUAGGUGUGUCAUGUUUUGUUCUCUUGAGUUGGGUUAGCUCUGUGUGGUGAUUCGACCUUUCCCCUAGUGGGUUGGCUGAGAGUUCACUGUGUGGGAUAGUACUAUACAAUGAUAUUUUCUCAUGGCUUGGAAAUACCUCUUCUAGCAGAGUGUAUAAUGAUCUGUCUAAUCGUGUGCUUAAGAGAGGUCUAGAAUUACCAAAAGACUGCCCUAGAUCACCUUGUGCACAGGUGUGUAGUAAUUUAACUGCACGUGUUCGCACGGUGACAUGAUGGAUGGAGGAGGGAGAGGAGGAGUAAGUGUUUGAUGGAAUUUGGUUCCCCUUUUGUAGUGGGGUGGAGGAGGGGGAAGAGGGGGUAGGAGGGGGUAGGGGAAGGUAGGGGGGAGGGCGGGGGAGAAGUUCACCGUUUGUGUUCACCUAUGUCUGUCAGCCCGGGAUUAUUCCCUAUCCUCCCCCUUGCAUGUAAAACAUUAACCCCUUAUGUUAUGCCCUAGCAUACAUAUUCUUAACAAUACUUUGAGAGCCCUUGCAAAAAAUAAUACAUUAAUAGCAUAUCUAUACGACCUGUGCUUCGUUAGUAUCUGCUCGUAGACACAGUAACCACCAGGGUAAGCAAAGUCUUGUGGGCUAUAGGAAUCAGCUGUGAGAUCUAGAGUUGUAAGUUUUACUGCUGUGCUCUCCUCCUUAGUGUCUCUUUGGGCUUGUCACCAUCUCGUCUGGUCAGUUCAGAUCGGAGUGGGUCCUAUUGCCAACCUUGCGCUGUUCAGUUCAUAGAUAAUUUGCUGGUCUCUUUCUCGGGUUUGCUGAAUAAAGUAGAACAAUAUAUAUUACAAGCAUCCUGCAUCUCCAAUGUAAUAGCUUGUAAAUCUGUUGAGGAUUCCUGUAGCGGGCUCACUGUCUUGAGUUAAAGCUUUGGUAUUGUGCCUUUCUUCUGUUGGGGGAGAAUAUCCUUCCAUCCGUUCUUCUUUUCUUCUGCGGUGUAAUUCCACAUUGUCGUUGUGGUUAAGGACAAUUUUCAUGCAUUGGGAGCGGUGAGUUCCAGUCCACUAUUUGCGUGUUCGGCAGAUCCAAUGCUCUCAGGAAAGGUGGUACAUCUGCUUGUGAGGUUAUGGAGGUGGUGUUACCCUUAUAUGUCACUGUCAGUGCAAAGGGAUAUCCCGAUCACCGAUAGCUGAUGUUUCUUUGGCGCAAGAGUUCUGUAAUCGGUUUCAGGGAGCGUCUAGCCUGCAGGGUGUACCACGAUAGAUCUGGGUAUAUUUGUAUUGGCGAACCAUGGAAGAGAAUGGGCUGAGUAGUGUCUCUAAGAUUUCUCAAGAUGUUGUCCUUAGUAUUAAAAUAAUGUAGUCUGCAGAUUAUGUCCCUGGGCAUUUCAGGGGUCGCCCCCCUUGGUCUCAGUGAGCGAUGUGCUCUAUCCAUUAAGAUUGGACUGUCCCCCUUAUUUUCAAGAAUUAGGUUAAACAGCUCAGCAUGGGCAUGAUUUCUUCCCCCUGGGACUUGGGCAGCCCUCGUACCCUCAGGUUAUUCCUGCGGCUGCAAUUGUCCAGGUCGUCUAGGUGUCUGUGAAAAGAUGCCAUGGUUUGAGUGUGGGAGUCUAUCAUCGUUGAGAGAUUUGUGAUUUGGGCCUGUGUAAUGUCAUGUUCUUCCUUCAAGUCAGUGACCUGCUGUUGUAUCUGCUGAACUUCAGCCUCUAGUGUUUAUACCUUUGAUUGGAAGGUAGCCUCCAGCUUACCCAGCAUAUUGGCGAGGUCUGCUUUCGACGGCAAGUUUCCCAGCAGCUCUCUUAUGUACGUGUCCCGGUUUGUAUCUUGUGAUCUGCACGACAUGUUUUAUGGUCGCCAAGUUCACUUUCUGCCACAAUUUUGGAUUCCGCGGGUAAGGGAUCCCUGUUUUGCGGUAGGGGUUUUCCUUGCCUUGUCCUGUGUCCCCCCUGUUUCUUGGGGUUCCCCAUUUUGCUCUGUGUCAUCCGAUGGAAGUGGAUUUCAACGUCGAGUUGAGAGGAGCUGAAUCAGUACACUUCCAUUCAGCUCUGUAGUUGGCCACGCCCCCUUUUAAAAAAUAGUUUUUUACGUUUAGUGAAACUUAAAAUCUUUUUUGUAAAUGAAAUAUAUUGAUUUUUAUGAGAAUUGUUUUAACAGGCUGGGCAGCCAUGUUGGGUCAUACUCUACUGUUGUCUGACUAACUACUGCCCAACUUAAUUAGGAUGAGCAGCAGCUGAUCAAAUAAUCUUAGAGUUUGAGCCAAUAGGGCUGCUCAGCCAGAUAUAAAGUUACAUUACCUAAACUAUAUAAAACAAAGAGACAAAACAAUAGUGUAGAUAAAAUAAAUCACCAUAAAAGGUAAAAACUAAGAUACACUCACAAACAUAUGAGUAAUAUAUGCGGAGUAUGUAAAUCUCAAUGGACUUCUUUUCUUCUUUUUUCCACUUUAAAACUUUAGGGUAAAAUAGAAAAGCAAGACAUUGUGUUCAACUGUAUAUAUGAAAAGGAUAACUUUAUUUGAUUGCACCAAGAUUUUGGUAGUAAAACAGCCCAUCAGAAUCGUAAGUUGUCUUCAGUAUCCAAAAGUAAUAACACGAUCAGGAUAAGAAACAUACAAAAAUAAAAUCAGCAGUAAAAUCAAAGAAAUUCUGCCAUCCAACGUGUUUCGUCCUAAGACUUCAUCAGGGGCGUCUGGCAAGUGACAGACACCCCUGAUGAAGUCUUAGGUCGAAACGCGUAGGGUGCCAGGAUUUCUUUGAUUUUAUAUGCCAUGGUGAUUGCUGUCCCGAAUUUAGAAAGUACCGAACCGAAUUGCCGAAGUGCCGAAUUGCCGAAUUUGGGAAUGCUGAACCGAGCCGAUUUUUUUGCCCAUGCACAUUCCUGUCUUCUUAUGUUUAUUUUUCCUAUUGUAAAAUGCACAACCUUGAAUUGUUGCCAGUUUAUUUUUCUACACUUUUCCUUAGUCUUUUCCAUUCAAUUACUGCUGUGCGUCUCCCCUUAUUUCUUUUAUUUUUCCUUGAAUUCUUUCUUUGCUAUCUAGUGCAUGUCACACAUCAUGAUCUGGAGUUUUUUUAUUUUGAAUACCAUACUGUAGCAUUAUUUCUCUAUAAUAUUACCCUUGCUUAAUCCUCCUGAAUUUUGCUAAAUAAUUGUUUUGUGGUUUUAUUGACACUUUACAAGUAUAUAUUGUACUUUGUUAAUUCUAAUAAUCUGUAAUCUUAUGAUAUGGACAUUAAUAGAGUGUAACAUUUUAUUUUUUUCUUAGCUGUACUCAUUAGCCUUUCCAACCAGAGGCAACUCUGUUCUGAAUCAAUGAAAGACUGAAUCGCAAGGAAGAAUUGCAUUCAUAAUGUGAUUCAGAUAUUAUUUGAUUCUGUCAUUUGGCAAUUUGGUGUUAUUUGGACACACUACCAAAUUAAGCAAAAAAAAUUCUGAAUCACAGUUUGUCUGAUAACGAAUGUGCAAAUUUAGUGAAGACCACUAAAAUGAAGUAAAAUCACAUUUGACUGCGGUUACUGAUUAAAUCGUUACAAAAAGUAUAGCAAUGCACAUAGAUAAAUACUUUUGGUUGUUUACUUUCUACUCCUAAUUGGCUGUGGCUCAUAAUUGGCUCAUAAUUGAUGUAGUGACUGCAACUAAACUUAAAGUCUCUGCAUGACAAAUUUGGUUCAGCUUCAAACACAGCUUCUUCCCAAUACUAGCCAAAUAUUUUCCAAUUAUUGAUUGAUGGCAGGAGUGCUCUUUUUCCAGGAUGGCUAAUGAUGCCACAAUGACACUGCCAGAGGUGGAGUUACACCUUCAACAGCAAAGGGGUUAAUUUCUAUGUCCAGCAUUUCAAAAUGAAACUGUACCAGGAAAAUGUGUGAUGUACUUUGGCUUAGCUAGAAAUCAAAUACAAACCAACAAAUAAAGAAAGCAAAAAAAAUAUUAUCACAAGUUUGUUCAACUAACAUUGCACAUUUUUAAAUACAUAACGUCCAAGAAUUUGGAGGACUGAGAGGACUUUCUUUGGAUAACCUAGAUAUUAAUACAAUACAAUUUUUGCAGUUUAGGAAAAAUGCACCAAAUGCAUGUUUCCCAACUGUCCCAAUUUUGAUGGAACAGUCCUAAUUUUUGGCUUGUGUCCUGCCAUGUCAACUCAUUAGAUGUGCUUACUCUGUGCUCAGGACAUAUGGACCCUACAGAGAGCACCCUUACCUAUGUGCCGCCGUUACACAGAGCCAGUUAUACGAAUUGUGUCACUAGUCUCCCCCAUUUCAACCUUCCCACUGGUAUCCGCUUCACAGGAUGCUGACAUUCUUGGCUAUGCAAAUAUAUUCAUUAGUUAGUUUGAUUUCAGAAAUGACUCACCUUUCUAGAUGUCAUAAAGAAAACAAUGGAAUGGUUGGAUCAGUGACAGGAAUCAUUUCAAUGGUGCCAAACAGAAGGUGUGGGUCUAUCUGAAGAAUAGGAAGGUCAGUCUUGAGUGAAUGCACACUGGCUGGCAUAUUAAGAUCACACUAAGCAUGGACCAUGCUGAGAGCACCGUAAGUCAAUAAGGAUUAACUGGAUUCUAAAAUGAGCACCGUCCCAUUGAAAUUGGGACUGUUGGGAGGCUUGCAAUACUGAUAUGCUGGGAGAGGAGACUGACAGUGCAAACGUUCUAAGUUAAAGCUGCAACUCUGUUAGCUCAAAUUGGAAUAGCUGGUGAUGAGAAAAAAAUCUUAAAAAUGGUCAAAAGACAUAGAGAGAGUUUAAAAAAGGUAUGUGAAUAUAUUAUAUCUUCCUUUUAGAAUUAGAGAUGUAGAGACAAUGGAGAGAAUAGGGUUCAGGCACAGCAUAGUGUGUGAUGUUAUGAGACUGGCCAGCUUUGGCACUCCUCUUCAUUGAAAAAGAAGUUGAGAAGUAUCUUUACAUCAGUUUGUAGCUGCUGCUUUGUCAUCUUGGCUGCCACCUAGCAGCAGACCAGAAAACAAAACAGAAUCAGCAUACAUCCUAACACAUGCUGCCAUUUGUACGAAGUGGCAUAAUAAUGUCUGCUUUAAGGUGAAACAUUGUGAUUUAUUUCCCUAUAAUAAGGUGACCACUAAGAUCAACAUACUACAAUGCUGGUGGAUCCUAAACAAAUUUUAUACAUAAGUAAAAUAAAGAGAAAUCUUAUAAUUCUUAAUACUUAUAGUAGGUUCUUUUUUUUAAAUCUUACUUUGAAACUCUUAUUCAAUAUUUUUGUGUUUUAAGAUUUUACACAAUUAUAGCAAAGUUACUAGAAUAAACAAAGCUAUUAGCAGGUGAACAUAUUGAUAGAGCAUAUCAGUAGAUUGUAUAUCUUUGUUUGGGAACAACUGAGAUUAAUAACAAAGAGAAUCUUUCAUAUUAGUGGAAUUUUCCAUAAUGAAGGUAUUUUUCAACAAUUAAUAAAAUAAAGAAGACAAAAGGGCGGGGAAGACUGGAUAGCAACAUGAACGAGAGAAAAUAAAGGGGAAAGGGGAAUCAGGAUUGUGAGUGGUAGCCACACGACUUUAUCCCUAGUAAAAGCACAAUCUACGAAAAUGAAUGGAUCUGAUAUAGUGUAGUAAUGCAACCAGCAAGCAAUCCAGGGGAUCAAGUCUAUUUCUGCUAAAAAAAAAUGUUCUAUUGCCUUUAAUCUCCAUUAUUUAUUGAUAACAAAAAAGUGGUUAGAGUGGAACAUUUUUACCUUUGAAUUAUACUUGAUAUGAUUACCAGUAUUCAUGUUUCAGUGAUAUACAUUUAUUUACUUACUCUCCAGUACCUAUAUGGCUAGCCAUGGCUGGAUUAUUAAAUAACAAUUAAAAAGUUCUACUCCUCUUUCACCCCCCCAGAGAACACUGACCCUAUCCUAUCCCAUAAAUCCACACAUACAUACACAUACUGCAUUUCUUACACACACUGCAUGUGCUAUACAAACACAUACACACACUGCAUCCACUAUACACAGACACACACUGUGUCCACUAUACGCACACACUGCAUCCAUUACACACACACACACACUGCAACCACUAUACACAGACACACACUGUAUUCACUAUACGCACACAGUGCAUCCACUACAUAUACACACUGCAAUCACUAUAAACACAUACUGCAUCCACGAUAUGCACAAACUGCAUCCACUAAACAUACACUGCAUCUCUUACAUAGAGCUAAUAAUUUCUACUUGCCAUCUCACAUUUUGCGAGUGAAAAUUAAGUGUACAUUUUUACCCUUUGUGCAUUAGUUCACCAAAGAGCAUAGUAAGCCAAUUCAGCACAGCACCCUGCAUAAUACAAUUGUGCUCAAAGGUUUGCAUACCCUGUCAGAAAUUGUGAAAUUUUGGCAUUGAUUUUGAAAAUAUGACUAAUCAUGCAAAAAAUGUAUUUUAUUGAAGGAUAGUGAUCAUAUAAAGUCAUUUAUUAUCACAUAGUUGUUUGGCUUCUUUUUAAAUCAUAAUGAUAACAUAAAUCACUCAAAUUGCCCUGAUCAAAAGUUUACAUACCCUUCAAUGUUUGGCCUUGUUACAGACACACAAGGUGACACACACUGGUUAAAAUGGCAAGUAAAGGUUAAUUUCCACACCUGUGGAUUUUUAAAUUGCAAUUAGUGUCUGUGUAUAAAUAGUCAAUAAGUGUGUUAUCUCUCACUUGGGUGCACUGAGCAGGCUAGAUACGGAGCCAUGGGGGAGUAAAAAAGAACUGUCAAAAGACCUGUGUAACAAGGUAAUGUAACUUUAUAAAGAUGGAAAAGUAUAUAAAAAGAUAUCCAAAGCCUUGAAAAUGCCAGUCAGUACUAUUCAAUCACUUAUUAAGAAGUGGGAUCUCUUGAUUCCAAGCCAAGGUCAGGAAAAACCAAGAAAGAUUUCAGCCAUAACUGCCAGAAAAAUAGUUCGAGAUACAAAGAAAAACCCAUAGGUAACCUCAGGUAAAAUACAGGCUGCUCUGAAAAAAGACGGUGUGGUUGUUUCAAGGAGUACAAUACGACGAUAAUUGAACAAAAAUGAGCUGCAUGGUCGAGUUGGUAGAAAGAAGCCUUUACUACGGCCUUAGGCCUUUAGGUGCCCUGUGCGAAAAAUCUUCACAGCGCCCCCCACCAACUUGUCAUCCAUGUAUGAUGUAAUAUUUGUGUUAUCUGUGUAUGUGAUAGAUGUGAUGACUGUGUGUGAUAUAUAUGCUAUGUGUUGGAUGUGUGUGAUAUUUGUAAUGUGUCUAUUAACAGUGUGUGAUAUUUGUAAUGGGUGUAUUAACAGUGUGUGAUAUGCGUGUAUUGGUUGUAUGUGAUAUUUGUGCUUGGUUUAUUGUCUGUGUGUGAUGGUUAUUUAAUUCUGAAAAAAACAUGCAUUUAGACCUGUGUGAGAAUGCAGGUUGUGACAAACUUACUUUCCUGUGUGUGUUUGUCCAGGAUCUUUUGGCAACCGCACAGCCCUCUAGGGUAAGAAAACCAGGUCAAGACAAAGUCCAGUUUCAAAAGGGCCUCUGGCCUGUUUAUUUUCUGUUGUUGUGAAGUAACAGGAUACAAUGAACAGCAAAUCUUCUUUCUCCACAAAACACUUUCUUUCUCCUCCAAAACACUUUCCCCCUUCACCCUGCUUUAACUGCAGUUAUAUAGCUGCUCACAGCCCCUACAGGUGAGGCUAAUGACCUCGUUAGGCAGUGAGCCAGAGCUCUAUGGGAAACCUGGGCUGGACUCAUGCACAACCACUGACAGUGGGUGGAGAAUCGGCCCACCCUGCUCUUCCGAAUACUCCACCCCAGGGACCCAAAUAACAACAGAGGAAAAAAACUACAUUUAAACUUAACUUUCCCUGGGGCUGCAUGUGCUUACCCACAUGUCAGGAUAGUGGCUGUGCAAAAGUCUGGGUGCCAGAUAUACACCCCUGACCACCAUCCCCAACACUCUGUUACAUAUCCUCCCCCCCAGCUCAGACCUAGUGGGGUGAGCGACCACAGAAAACAAAUUUUCUCGCGACAAACUGUCAGCAUUUCCAUGUUUAGACCCUGGCCUAUUUUCAACCGUAAAAUGAAAUGGUUGUAAGCUGAGGAACCACCUUGUCACCCUGGCAUUAUUAUCUUUGUUUUGACUCAUCCAGGUUAAGGGGGCAUGGUCUGUGACCAACCUAAAUUUUCUACCCAGCAGAUAAUAUUUCAAUGAGUCUAAGGCCCAUUUUAUGGCAAGGCAUUCCUUUUCCACUAUAGAAUAAUUUUUCUCAGCGGGAGUCAGCUUCCUACUUAAAUAAAACACUGGGUGUUCUUCACCCUGAAUUUCCUGAGACAGAACUGCCCCUAACCCAAGCUCUGAUGCAUCGGUUUGGACAAUAAACUCUUUAGUGAAAUCCGGGGUUACCAGAACCGGUUGGGUGCACAAAGCCUCUUUCAAAGUUACAAACGAUUUUUCUGCCUCUACUGACCACUUAACCACUAGUGGGGCUUUACCUUUUGUGAGAUCCGUUAAAGGAGCUGCUAAUGUAGCAAAACCAGGAAUAAAUCACCUGUAAUACCCAAUAAGUCCCAAGAAAGUCCUAACUUGCUUUUUAGUGAGGGGGCGUGGCCAAUUUUGUAUGGCCUCCACUUUUGCUGUUUGGGGCUUAACUAGUCCUCUCCCAAUCGAAUAACCCAGAUAUUUUGCCUCUUCCAAACCUAUAGUACACUUAGAUGGGUUAGCAGUUAAACCAGCUAAGCGGAUAGAGUCCAGUACUGCCUGCACUUUGGGAAGAUGUGAAGCCCAGUCAGGACUGUGAAUGACUAUGUCAUCUAAGUAUGCGGCCGCAUAACGGCUGUGAGGCUUCAAAAUCCUAUCAUUCAGUCUCUGAAAAGUGGCAGGGGCCCCAUGUAAUCCGAAUGGUAGCACCUUGUAUUGGAAUAAUCCCCCUGAUGUAGAAAAAGCUGUCUUUUCUUUUGCUCUGUCUGUAAGAGGUACUUGCCAAUAACCCUUCGUCAGGUCUAAAGUAGUCAGGUACCGAGCCUUACCCAGUCUCUCUAUCAGUUCAUCGACCCUAGGCAUUGGAUAAGCAUCAAACUUUGACACACUAUUUAAUUUACGAAAAUCAUUACAAAAUCUUAUCGAGCCAUCAGGUUUUGUCACCAGUACUAUAGGGCUGUUCCACACGCUUUGGGAUUCCUCAAUAAUAUCAAGAUCUAACAUUUUCUUAAUUUCAGCAGUUACAGCCUCUUUCUGUGCUUCUGGGAUUCUGUAUGGUUUAAGGCUUAUCUUUACCCCUGGUUCUGUAACAAUAUCAUGCUUGAUAACGUUAGUCCUGCCCGGAACUACAGAAAAUACAUCCCGGUUUCUACCAAUGAAGUCCCUUACUUCCUGUUUCUGGUGGGGGGACAGGGUGUCUGGUAUAUUUACUUCAAGUUCACUACUAGUCUUAUCAGUGACAACUGAAGUAGUUAAGACCUCUCUGUCCUUCCAGGGUUUUAGUAAAUUAAUAUGAUAUAUUUGCUCAGGUUUCCUCCUAUCGGGUUGUCUCACUUUAUAAUUAACUUCUCCAACCUGUUCAAUAACCUCAUAUGGGCCAUGCCAAGAUGCUAGAAAUUUAUUUUCUACUGUAGGGACCAAAACAAGUACCCUGUCUCCUGGGUGAAAAACUCUCAGUCUGGCAUUUUUAUUAUAACUGUUUUUCUGGGCAUCUUGGGCUUUCUGCAUAUGUUCUUUAACUAUUGGCAUGACAGCCGCCAUCCUAUCUUGCAUUUGAGCUAUGUGCUCAAUUACACUACGGUACGGAUUGGAUUCCUGUUCCCAGGUUUCUUUUGCUAUAUCUAGUAGACCUCUGGGAUGAUGGGCAUAUAGAAGCUCAAAAGGAGAGAAGCCCGUAGAAGCUUGUGGCACCUCCCUUAUGGAGAACAUUAGAUAGGGUAGUAAGCAGUCCCAAUUCUUACCAUCUUUGUCAAUUACUUUUCUUAACAUACUUUUUAAGGUCUUGUUAAACCGUUCUACCAGUCCGUCUGUCUGGGGAUGAUAAACAGAAGUCCUAAGAUGUUUAAUUUGAAGUAGUUUGCAUAACUCCUUUGUAACUUUAGACAUAAAUGGUGUACCCUGAUCUGUCAAAAUUUCUUUUGGUAUGCCCACCCGGCUAAACAUGAGCAUGAGUUCUCUCGCUAUUGUCUUUGCAGAGGUGUUACGUAGGGGUAUUGCUUCUGGGUACUUGGUAGCAUAAUCCAGAAUCACCAAUAUAUACUGAUGCCCCCUUGCAGACUUUACCAGAGGACCCACCAAGUCCAUUGCAAUCCUCUCAAAAGGUAUUUCUAUUAUAGGCAAUGGUACCAGAGGACUGCGAUAUGCCUUAAAAGGGGCGGUGUGUUGGCAUUCAGGACAAGAAGAACAAUAAUUUGCAACUGAAACGAACACCCCAGGCCAGUAAAACCUCUGUAAGACUCUUUCUCUUGUUUUUUCUAUGCCUAAAUGUCCCCCCAGGAUAUGGCUGUGUGCAAGAUUUAGGACUGUAUGUCUGAAGGGCUUAGGAACAAGUAGUUGUUUUACAACAUCCAUCCCCUUUUUCUCUACUCUAUAGAUCAAAUCAUUCUGUACCUCAAAAUAAGGAAAAGAAGGGGCUCUAUCUAGUUGUACUGGAUCAUCAGUUGAAACCUGGAUAUUUUUUCGGGCCUCUGCAAGAGUGGGGUCUUCCCACUGCGCUUUCCUGAAGUUAACAGGACUGACUUCUAAUUCAGGGAAGUUAAUGCCUUGAUCCUGAUCGUUAUCGGUCUCCUGACUAUCGUGGCCCUGGUCAUCUCCUACUAAAGCUGGCCUGUGACUUGAGACUUCAGCCUUCCCUGGUCUUAUGCCUAGUCCUUCCCAUUCUAUGUCAGAAAAAGGGAACACAUUUCUAGAAUCAUUUGCUAUACAAUCAUGAACUAUUUUUCCUGUAGACCCCCACAAGUCUAAAAAUUGGGGAAAAUCUCUUCCCAAUACCACAUCAUAAGCCAAUUUAUCCACUACACCCACUCUAUGAUUAACACUACCGAAAAGGCUUUCAAACUUUAGCAAAGCUGUAGGAUAUUCACGUUUGUCACCAUGAACACAAAUUAUACCAAUUUUCUGAAAUGCAUCAACAUCGGCUUCAGGUACAAGGCAUUUUGUUAUCAAUGUCACCAUACUUCCGGAGUCUAAUAGAGCUCUAACCUCUUUCCCAUUCACCCUUAUGGAACAUAUCUGUGGAUUGUGACUACAGUUGGCAACAGCAGAUUCCAUACAAUUCAGCAAACAAGACAAUUGUACAUCCUGACUAAUCAUAUUGCAUUGCAUCGGUUCAUCAAUCAAGGGACAGUCUCUAGCUUUAUGUCCAGGUUCAUUACACCGGAAACAUUUCAUAUUAUUAACUGUCCCCCACCUAAACCCUUUUCCAGGAUUAACAUUUCUAGGCAUAAGCGUAUGGGGUCCCUGAGAAUAUGUCUCUUGUUCCUCUGUGUCUCUGAAAUCUUGAAAAAUCUUACCAGGUCUUUCAGGAGCUGGAGUCUUAACUCUCUGCUUAGCCUUUGUGUUGUUGAGCCACUGUCUGUCAUCUGCAGCCACAUAUCUUUCCACCAAACCAAUUAACUCAUCAGCUGUUUGUGGAUCACUCUGACUGACCCAUCGACGCAGUGAAGCAGGCAAGCCCCGCAGGAAUCUGUCCAUCACAAGAAGUUCCAUGAUAUGGCUUGCCGUAUUUAUUUCUGGUUGUAACCACUUCCUAGCCAGAUGUAUCAGGUCAAACAUCUGGGAGCGGAUAGGCUUCUCUUGGUUGAAAGUCCAGGCAUGAAAUCUUUGGGCACGAACUGCCAUAGUCACACCAAGUCGUGCAAGGAUCUCAGCCUUCAAUUUGGAGUAGACCCCUGCCUGUGCUGGUUCCAGGUCAUAGAAAGCCUUCUGGGGUUCUCCAAUAAGAAAAGGUGCCAGUAUGCUUGCCCACUCACUCACCGGCCACUCUUCUCUCUCAGCUGUCCUCUCAAAAGCUAGCAGGUAUGCUUCCACAUCAUCUGUAGGUGUCAUCUUCUGCAGGUAACGACUGGCUCUGAUCAUUUUAACCUCGGACUGCGUCCCAUCCGAGACUCUGGUCAGUCCCUUGGUCAAAGCCUGUAUCUCCUUCUGUAUCAUACUGGUGGCCUGAUGUUGCUCCUCUCUGAGCAGGCGGUUUGCCUCAGCUUGGGCUGCCAUAACCUGCUGGAUCAAAGCAUCUGUGUUGGCCUUUUGCGUAAUUACCAGUUGCUGUAGGGCUGUAAUAUUUUCCUGUUGUGCAGCUGUAGCCUCCUGCUUUACGGCUGUAGCCUUUUGCUGUGCAGCUGUAGUUUGCAACAAGACUUUCACAACUUCCUCCAUAUUUCUACAGGCUUGUUUGGCUUCCAGUUAAUACCCACAGGCUUCUUUAGUGCAGUGCCCGCAUUCUCCACCAUAUGUGACAAACUUACUUUCCUGUGUGUGUUUGUCCAGGAUCUUUUGGCAACCGCACAGCCCUCUAGGGUAAGAAAACCAGGUCAAGACAAAGUCCAGUUUCAAAAAGGCCUCUGGCCUGUUUAUUUUCUGUUGUUGUGAAGUAACAGGAUACAAUGAACAGCAAAUCUUCUUUCUCCACAAAACACUUUCUUUCUCCUCCAAAACACUUCCCUCACUUCACCCUGCUUUAACUGCAGUUAUAUAGCUGCUCACAGCCCCUACAGGUGAGGCUAAUGACCUCGUUAGGCAGUGAGCCAGAGCUCUAUGGGAAACCUGGGCUGGACUCAUGCACAACCACUCUGACAGUGGGUGGAGAAUCGGCCCACCCUGCUCUUCCGAAUACUCCACCCCAGGGACCCAAAUAACAACAGAGGAAAAAACUACAUUUAAACUUAACUUUCCCUGGGGCUGCAUGUGCUUACCCACAUGUCAGGAUAGUGGCUGUGCAAAAGUCUGGGUGCCAGAUAUACACCCCUGACCACCAUCCCCAACACUCUGUUACAAGGUGUAUAUUUUUGCAGAGUUAUGUGCACACAUUCCCACAGUCAGAUGCACACAGUUAUACAUGUACACUGUCAAAUCCACCACAUGCACAUAGUCGCAGGCAGAUAGUCACAUACACAGGAUCAGGCAGAAACACACAGGUACAGGCAGAAACACACAUACACAGUUACAGGUAGAUAAACACACGCACACAAUUACAGGCAGACAGCCAGACACAUACAGCCACACAUACAGUCUUACACACACAUACUUAUGCGCAGACAGUCACACACACACAGACAGCCACACACACAGGCAGCCACACACAUACACACACACACACACACAGGGAGAAAGCCACACAGACAGCCACACACAUACACGCAGGCAGACAGCCACACACACAGGAAGACAUCCACACACACAGAGGCAGGCAGUCACACACACACAGGUAGACAGCCACACAAACACACACAGGCAGACAGUCACGCGCACGCGCAAGCACACACACACGCAGACAGUCACACACACACAAACACAGGCAGUCAUACACACAGACACACACACAGGCAGACAGUCACACACACAGGCAAACAGUCAUACACACACACAGGCAGGCAGUCAUACACACACACAAACAGAUAGUCAUACACACACACACACACACACACACAGACAUACACACAGGCAGACAGUCACACACACACAGUCACACACACACACACACACAAACACAGGCAGUCAUACACACAGACACACACACACACAGGCAACAGUCAAACACCUGCACACAGGCAGACAGUCAUACACACUCACACUCACAAAGACAAUCACACAUUGUUACCUCUGUUCAUUGUAGAGGCAGACAGGCAGUGCAGCUCCUGCAGACUGUUUGUUGGGACUCCUUCCUGCUUCCCCUGCAGCAGUUAUCUGGCACUUUUAGCUCUGCCCCGCCACGCAGAAGCUCCGCCCCAGACGAUAAAAAAAAAAAAUUAAAAUCCAGGCCAUGUGUGAGCUGUGCGGCCGCACGGCGCCCCUUGCUCCAUGGCGCCCUGUGCGGCCGCACAGCUCGCACACCCCUAAGGCCGGCAAUACCACAAAAAAGGCAAGUUACAAUAUGCCCAACAACACCUUGACACGCAUCACAGGUUCUGGCACACUGUAAUUUGGAGUGACAAGACCAAAAUAGAGCUUUAUGGUCACAACUAUAAGCGAUAUGUUUGGAGAGGGGUCAACAAGGCCUAUAGUGAAAAGAAUACCAUCCUCACUGUGAAGCAUGGUGGUGGCUCACUGAUGUUUUCAGGGUGUGUGAGCUCUAAAGGCAUGAGGAAUCUUGUGAAAAUUGAUGGCAAGAUAAAUUCACAUUUUUUUAGAAAAUACUGGCAGAAAAUUUGCAUUCUUCUGCACAAAGGCUGCACAUGGGUUGCUCUAGGACUUUCAAGGCUAAGUUGACCCUCCAGUGGUUACAGCAUAAAAAUGUGAAGGUUCUGGAGUGGCAACCAAAGCCUCCUGAACUUAAUAUCAUCGAGCCACUCUGGGGAGAUCUCAAAUGUGCGGUUCAUGCAAGACGACCAAAGACUUUGCAUGACAUGGAAGCAUUUUGCCAAAAUGAAUGGGCAGCUAUACCACCUGCAAGAAUUAGGGGCCUCAUAGACAACUAUUACAAAAGACUGCACAUUCUCAUUGAUGCUAAAGGGGGCAAUGCACAGUAUUAAGAACUUAGGGUAUGCAGACUUUUGAGCAAGGUCCAUUUCAUUAUUUUAUUUUUUUUUUGCCAUAUUUUGUUUUAUGAUUGUGCCUUCCUGUUAUAACCUACAGUUGAAUAUGAAUUCUAUAAGAUAUAUAUAAAAAUGUGUUUUACCUGCUCAUGUUUUCUUUAAAAAUGGUACAUAUAUUACCAAUUCUCCAAGGGUAUGCAAAUUUUUUAGCACAACUGUACUGUCAGAUAUAUAGCUGCAGAGCUCUAUAAUACCCUUGUGCACAUUAGUCGAAGUUGUAUUGCAGUGGGAGUUGUACAGUUUUGCACAUUAUUGCUGAUGGAGCUCUGCAAUGAUUUCUGCACAAUUCAGUAUUAUAGCUACAGAGCUCUCUGAUACACUUGUGUAUUUUAGAGGGGCUAGGUUAAAGGUGAGAAGACGGUCAGGAUGGGGUAGAUUAGGCAGGGCAAUGAUAGUAAGUAAAUUUUAAGGCUAGUAGCUGAGGACAUAAAAUAUUGAGCCCUGUGUUGCACACACUCUUCUAUGUAUGGACCCGGGGCUUGCCCUAUAGGCAGACUCGAUGGCAGGUCUUGAGCUGUAACGGGCCUCAAAAUUUCUGAUGACAGCCUUCAUCUGAGAAAUAUUUUGGAGUGUGUGCUAUUUAAGCAGCAGUACGUAGUUGGGUUGCCACCUAUUGUUGCAUUGCUAAAGUAAGCUUCUUCCUUAUCUCCUCCAUGUAUUCAACUUUUCCACUGCUCAACUUUUUUUGUCCUAUCUUUCCUUAAUUUUUAUGCUUAAACAUAAUUUAAAUAUUAUACCAAUCUAAGUUUCGUUUCAGGAGGCUCAUCAAUGCUCAUUCUUUCUUUAGUUACCACAAUAGAAAAGAAACAAACAUAUCAACAAGUGAAUAGUCACGUGUAAGGUUCCAUGCGUUUAUUUGUUCUUCCAUGCAUCAUAAUCAUGCCUAUUUUGAUGACAGUCAAUGUCUACAUUUUGAACCAUGCCAUUGUCACGUCAAUAUUGACACCGAUCAGAGUCAUGAUGUGCAUGCACCAUUGUCACGUCAAUGUUGAUGAUGAUCGUCAAGUCAUAAUCCACAUCAUAGUCAUGUCAGUUUUAACACCAAUUAGAACCCAGAACCUGACUCAUGACAAAGUUGCAUUAGUUUUGAAGCUGAACUCUGCUCUCUUAUGUGUUUUGGGCUCUCAAGAAUGAUGUGGGCCUGACUAUAGGUGCCAGACUUUUAUAAGGUUCCAUUCUACUCAGUGUCUUUGCCCUGUUGUGGGUUAGUUCCUGAUUUUCAAUAGAGUGGUUUAUGUUCAUUGUGUUUCUCUGCUAUAUUGACUCAACUUUUCUGAUGACUGUACUCAUAGACUCAGCAUGGCAUUACAUUCUUAUGUAUCUCUGGAUCCUCUGACCAUAGCUUGUUCCUUGACUCUGCUAUUUUUGUCUACCAUAGGCAAUGCGUUAAGCCUGGCCAUCCUAAGGGCUAUACCUUUUAUGUACUAUUGAGGUAUAGCAUAGUUUAAAGCUCUGCAUGGUGGUUUACCUACCUUACCUUGACGCCUGGUGAACAGAAUGUUGUAGUAACCAAUCAAAAAGCAGCACAGUCUAUAUAAGUCAUAUUUUAUGAACAUAUAUCCUCUUCUUUUGUUGCUCCAUCAGAGAUAAGUAUCCUUGCUAUGCAAUGUAAAGCUGAGGAACUGUCCACUGUCAUGGGGGACUCUUUUAGCAUUUGAACAGUUCAAUUUAAAUGCAAGGUGAAUGUUAAAUUAAUGUUUUUUUUUAUAUAUAUAUAAUUUAUGUAUCCAUGUUUAAAUGAAUCAAACAAUGAGACUGUAAGGAAUACACGUUUUUCUGUGAUGACCUCUAUGCAGGAAUCACUAAACACAUCUAAUUUUAAUUCAAAAUAUAUAGGGCAGUAUAAAAGUAAUAAUUGUCCAACAGUUGGUCAAAUUGAUAGGGAGCAUAACUUGGAAAGUACAAAUCUAAGACGUCUACCCUGAUAAAAAAAAAGAAUGGUCAUAUAAUCAGAGUCUUUUCAGGUACAUUAAUUGUAGAUGAACUGGUCAUGACCAUUUUUAAUCUUGAAAGUAUUAAACUCCCGAGGUUACCCUGACAGAUCGAGCCAAUUAUUUUUUGGGCCACUGCUUAGAUUGAGAAAUUACAAAAUAAAUAAAUAAAUUUAAAAAAAGACAUAUUUGCAUUGCCCUCAGAAUUGACAAUUAGCAACAUUCAUUAACCAUAUUCUUAAUCCAAAGUUGACAGCUCUAGAUGCUUUAGGACUUGUCCAGAGUGAAUAUUCCUGAGGGGGAUUAUACUGUCCUAACCCUAGAUCUACCUCUAACCCUUAAUACUAUCCCUUCUUGAAAUGAAAUGCAUAAAUGUAACCCAAAUAUUAUACCUUACCCCACAUUUAAAUACUUUUAAUGAAUAAAAAAACCUUCAAAAAAGUUACACAUUCCCAACCUGUCCCUCACUAGUUUACUUUCAGUUUCCUGUAUUGCCACUUAGGUUCCCCUGCUACAUAUUAAACAGUAUAUAGAUAACAUUCUCAAACUCUGUGUUCAUUAUCCAGCAACAUACUUAAAUAUUUAGAUUUUCCAAUAUUUUUGCAUAUUUUUCACACAUAAGUUCAGAUCUUUAUAAAAGAUGUAAUAACCUAUAGCUUUUUGUUUGUAGUAUUCCAAUACUUACUGACAUCUGUGAAAACUUUCCCACUUUUGCCCUAAAUUAAUUUUUUUCUGACAAGCUUUUUAAAUGAUUUAAUAUGUUUUUAUAAACUUAAAAAAUAUAUAUUAAAAAAAUAUUUAAAUAUCAAAUAAUAUAUCAUAUUAUUAUUAUUAUUUAUAUUUAUAUAGCGCCAUAAGACUCCGUAGCGCUGUACAAUGGGUGGACUAACAGACAUGUAAUUUUAACCAGACAACUGGACGUACAAGAACAGAGGGGUGGAGGGCCCUGCUCCAUGAGCUUACAUUCUAGAGGGAGUGGGGUAUAGUGACACAAAGGGUAAAAGUAGGGGUACAAAGUAGGUUGUUAGAAAAGUAUUAAUUGAGGGCUUAGUAGGUAAUUUUUGACAGUUGCAGGAGAGGAGUCAUGGAGGGUGGGGGAUGAAAACCUGCUAACAGUUUAAUUGAUAUGCUUUCUUGAAGAAGUGAGUUUCAAUGAUUUUUUUGAAUGAGUGGAGACUGGGUGAAAUUCUUAUGGAGAAUGGAAGGGAGUUCCACAGAUGAGGUGCAGCCCUGGAAAAGUCUUGGUGGUGAGCGUUAGAGGUGGGAGUAUGGACAGAGGAUAUACGUAGGUCUUUGGCAGAGCAUAGGGGCCUCGACGGGCCAUACUUGUGUAUUAGGGAGGAUAGGUAGGUUGGAGCAGCAUUAUGUAGGGACUUGGAAGCAAGCACCAGAAUUUUAAAUUGAGCCCUAUAUCUAACUGGAAGCCAAUGCAGGGACUGACAGAGCGGGGAGUCGUGAGAGGUGCGAGGAGACAGGAAAAUGAGCCUCGCCGCCGAAUUCAUUAUAGAUUGCAGCAGUGCAAUCUUGGAACACGUAAGACCACUGAGAAGAGUAUUGCAGUAGUCCAGGCGAAAGAGAACAAGAGCAUGAGCCAGCACCUUAGCCGCAUUCGGGGUUAAAUAGGGACGGAUGCGUGCUAUGUUUUUGAGAUGGAAGCGACAGGAUUUGCAUAUAUAAAUAUAUGGAAAAAUAAAAAAAACUAAAUAUACAUACACAUACACCAACAUACACUCACUGACGGACACACUCACUCACUGAUUUGCCACUUACACACAUAUCCUCACUGAUUUGACACACUCUGACAGUAGUCAUACAGGUUACACCAAAUCCUCACACUAGUUGUAUCAGAAUUUAACAUGUAUAUGAUAAUAUAUAUUCCGUUUGUCACCUGUCUAGUUUUGGUUAUCAUGUUCACAGUAUAGGCUUAUCAUCUUAUUCUUGGUUGAUAAAAGUGGAACUUUGGUUUUCUACGGCUGUAGAUCAUCUACAUCAGCAUCACCAUGUUCUGUUUUAUAAGAUGUGCAUCUGCAUAUUAUUAUUAUAAAGAAUGGCUCUUUAUUACUACAUGAAUGUCUCAUUUAUUUUGGUAUCACAUCAUUCCCUGUAAACUCUGGAUUGUGUAAUGUGUCAGUAUGCCACAAGUCUGUUUCUGAUACGUUGGAAGCACUAUACUUGGAACCAACAAGCAUAUGCUAUUCAAAGUCACUUACAUAAUAUGUCUUUCCUAUUCAAAUGUUUGGUCGAAGAACUAAAUCAUUUGGUCUGAAAUUCAUACACUUAUUACAUAUCAUUUUAUUCAGGUGCUAUAGGGCUUUAAUUUCACAUCAAGUAUUUAUAUAUGAAACACAAUUUAAUGUGAAUAAAAUUUAAAAAUUAAAUUGAGAAAUUAACUGUGAAUGUCAUAAUACUGUUCUCUUUUAUUGCAACUCCCCCUCCCCCACACAGUGAUGUCCCACAAGAAUAAUGAUGCUCACCCCCCACCCCUCCCAUUCCCCCGUUAAGGUUUCAUUGUGUUUUGGAAAGUUACAGGGGCAAAUAAAUAGCUUGCCUAUUUUAGUUUUUACGCUUUUGAAAUUUGCCAGAUUGGCUUGCUGGGCCAAUGUUGCCUUUGAGACUGUAUAGCAACCCAUGACUGAAAAUUACCCCCAUCAUGGCAUAUCAUCUGUAAAAGUAGACAACCCAGGGUAUUCAAAAUGGGACAUGUCCAGUCUUUUUAGUAGCCAAAGUAAGCGUAUAUAUUUGUUUUUUUGCAAAACUGCCCUUUCGCUGAUGAUAUCAUCAUGAUAUAUUUUAGUGCUCUAAAACAUAUAUUUGUGUUCAGUGAUGUCUCACAAGUUAUAUAAGGCUUGCAAAUUAAAUUCUCUGGAUUAUCUGCCUGUGUUGUACAAAAAUAAAUAUAUGUAAAAAUAAAACAUAAAUACAUAGAAAAUUGAAAAGUGUAUUUGAAUAUUAAUAAAUAUUAUAUAUAUAUACAUAUAUAUAUAAUACAUAAAAUAUACCACCCUAGCGGUGUUAAAGCCAUUCUUUUGCAACCCUUACUGUGUUAUCGGGCUAACGGGCAGAUGUCCCUAAAAACCGACAAUCCUGUGUGCCAUGUAGAUCUCUAGCACUUGAAUCUCUACACACAGCUAUAACCACUUUACCUGACUUGACAUCACACAAAUUUAGAAAACUGAGUAGCACAUAUGUUCUGUGAAGUGAUAUACUAUUAUGUAUUAGCUACUAUGCACAAAGUCCAUUUUAACAUCCUGCAGCGUAAUGCUUGUAGACGGCCUUUCAAAUGUAUUCCAAUUUAUUGCAUUUUACAUUAGGUUCUUUUACAUGCUUCUUUUUAAUCUAGUAAAUGAGAAAUGCUAAUAAUGUAUUUCUUAUCAUUGGUUAUCUUAAUUAAAAUCGGUGCAUACAUCUCCUACUGUCAUUUCAAUUGUUCGUGUGUGUCUCAAAUGCAGUAAGUUUAUUUUUGUGCAAGAGAUGCUAAUUACAAUCAUUUGAAUAUUUCCUAUAGAAUUUACUCUCAUAUAGGAUGACCUCUUGUUGCGACGCUAAAAACAGGUUUAUGCCACCAUUACUCUGGAAUCAACAGGCCAGAUGGCAGUAACAAUAGUUGUGUUUACUGUCAUUCAAAAACAUGCAACACAAAUGUCAACCGCAGUAUGUAGAAUAAAAUAAAAAAAAUUUAAAAAACUGCAUUUUGGUUUAUUUUUUCUUCACUUUGGAAGGAGAGACAUUUCAUGGAAUAUAAGUAUCCAGUCAAUCCUGUGUGAAUUCUCUUCUUCAUCUCACCUUUUAUUUUACCUACUCUAGGUGAUAGAAAAUCAAUGAGGCCCGGUGUAACCAAUUCAACAGUCAAUUCCCACCAGUUCUCUCCUUAGCAGAGUAGUUUCUAUUGACAGCUAUGCAGGUUGCUAUUAAUAUGACAGCCUCCUCUAUAUCCCACUGUAAUUUAUAAUGAAAUACCUAAUCUCCAUUAUUUUGAUCCAGGCAGGCGAUCCCAGAUCUUUUCAUCCAGUUCCCAAUGGCAGUUACAUAUGAAAUGGCAAACCAAUAAUUUUUGUUAAGUUUUAUAAGCCAACAGAAAUGUUGUUCCACAGCUACUGUUUGAAAAGGCACAGAUAAGGCUCAUUCAGUUUGAUGAAUGAGAAAGCCAUCUGGGGUUUUUUUUUUUUUUUUUUACUUCCUUUUGCUUUUUUUUUUUUUCAUCCUUGUAAUCAAAUUUGAGAAAAAUCAAAUGGGGCUUUUCUGAAAGUACCUUUUGUUGAUCUGAACGAGCUGGUAAUUUACAAAAUACCCUUCUUUUGUGAGCAAGGCUAAAGAUAAAAGAAUUGGUAGCUUUUAAAUCCAGGCCUUGGUAGGACGCUACAUGCAAUGAAAGCAGCUUGUGUGGGGAGAUUCAAACUCAUUUGAAAGCCAGGCCCUGCUCAGGGUGUUCAGAUGAACCACGUUAUGUACGUUUUUCUAUGAAUCAACAUAUAGACUUGGCAAAGGUCUGUGGAUUACAACCUGGUCUUUCUAUGUUUUAUGUAACCUUUAACAGCGAGAUAAUUUUCUCAUCGUGUUUGGAUUUUGUUUGUAAAAUACUGAAAGUUCCACAGCAGCUAUAGAUGAUUGACAGGGCUGCACCUUCUUUUUAUUUUCAAGAAUAAUGGUGUUUUGUUAUCCUUUGGAAUUUAGAAGAAGGAUAAUGAAGAUGUAAGCGUAUAUAUUUUCUGCCUACAAAUUCUCGAGUGCUUCUCGCUUUGAUCAACAUGAAGGUGGAGAUCGUGGACUUUUCCUUACUCUGUAAGUUCUCAUUGAUACUUGAUCAUUAAUAGUGAGAAACUCUGUCAAAAUUAGGUAAACCCUGUACAUCACUGCGGAUCAGCAUCUAGCCUGUACAAUGACAGUACAAAAGACCCACACUGAGCAGGAAAAAUGUACAGCAGGAAGAGGUUAAAAUGUGAAACUUGAGAUCUUUGUUUAGAAAUCAGCAUGCAUGUAUGUAUGACAAAAUUCUCAUUGAUAGAAAGAAAACUGCUAGCAUUAAAAUGCUAUCAUAGAGAGCACAAUUUUAAUCACAUUACACACUUUAAAAAAAAUAAAUUACUAAACCCCAAAUUGUUAAGGUCUAAGAUAAACUUAUGAAGAUUAAGCAUUCUAAUUUGUAUUAAAUAUUAUAUAUAAUGCAAUAUUUGCGUUAAACAAUUACUUAAAAAACAAAAACGUGUUUAAUGAGAAGACCACAGAGUAGCUGUUAUAGACAUCUUUGUAUACAAUUAUGGUAUGUUGCAUGUUGACAUAUAAUUCCAUUUAUGAAUAAUACGUAAACCCGAUAAAUAUUUUAUCAUGUAAUAUAAACAGUGUUAAUGCGUUGUAAAUCACAUUAUUUGUUACUCAUUAAUAUUUCCGUGAAUAAUACGUUGUGGCUUCACAGCUACUAUAAAAACAAAUGGCGAAAUACAAAAAAAAAUUAUAUUUCAGCCCUGUCUGUUUAACCGUUAACACCGAAUUUAUUGUAGGUAUUUCUGGUGACAUAGUUUAGACAUAAAAUCAUCUUUCUAUAUAGUUAAUUUAGCAAUUUAUUUGUUGUGUUAGGAAUAUUUAAAAUGUACAUGUACAGCACAGAGAGUAAUGGAAACAUAAAACGCAUACCUGAUUUUAAAAGCAGCAAAAAUGCAGAAUCCGAACAAAUUUUGUUAAUGUGGGUUUUUUUAAUUUUUUUUUUCAUCUAAGAGCCAUUUGCUGCCUCCUAAUGACAGGAUUUUCAAACAACACUUAUGGCAAUGUGCCAGACACAUCUGCUUUAUUUAACAGAUUAAUCCAUGUGUUGAUCAUUUAAUUCAGAGGGGUUCAGUCACCAGAGGUAACUUGCAAGCAUUUUCAGCUUGGGUAUUUUAGAAACCUGACACAUGCAGGCGGACACAGAAUUUCAUACCGGAGCCCAUCUCACAUAGAAAUAAGAAUAUCCAAUUAAAAAUCAGUUACCUAAUAGAUUUACAUCAGCAGAUGCAUUUAAAAGAAAAAAAAAACAUUAUUUACGCUCUUGCCAUUUAGGGUUAUUCCUGGGAAGCAUUUAAAAAGAAAAAAAAUACACUUUAGAAUUCUAAGUUAAGAACAUUUAUGAAGACUUUUUUUUAUUUCUAUUUUUUUUUAUUUAUUUACUGGAUAAAGUGUAGGCCCUCCUUUAAAUUUGCACUGCUGUACUGCAAACGUGUAAAAUAUGGGUGUAGGACUGAUGUGUUAAGAAAAAAAAUGGCUUCCACUAUAUAUUAUCUAUCUCCCUCUACCUGCUAAAUGUAUAUUAAUUUAAUCAAGAUGCUGAGGACAUUGAGGCUUUAACAAAGCUACCAGCAUGACCUUAUUAGCAGUAAUUAAUCCAAUUACACAGCUCACAGAUCAACAUUUGGAAACAUGAGAGUUCAUAUUAUCAAAAUCUUCUGCAUAAAAAUAUGGCACCAUUUUAAAGAAAUGUGUUUUGUUUUUUUUAAUUGUAUUUAGUCGUGUUCAUACUUACUGCAUGCAUCUUCCAAUCACUUACCAAAGUAAAAGAGGGAAAAACAAUAUUGUUCAUGAAAAAACAUCAAAUUAAUAUAAUAGCUGCAUGUCCAUGUAACAAUCAAAAGAAUACAAAAUCCAUGACAAUUCCAGUUUUAAGAAGUAGGAAAUUGAUCAAUAGCGUGAUAUUUUAUACAUUUGUCUUAAUUUUAAAGUCUGUGACAGCAUUCAUUGAUCAGAUAUUUUUGUUGUCGACAUAACUUAUUAUGCUGAUAUUAACAGUUACAAAAUUCAUAUUCUACUAAGGCCCCUCUCAUAACCACAUCAAAUGAAACUGAGUUAUUUUUAAACGUAUUAUAUUUGUGUUUAAAGAUUACAUAUAUUGGGUAAAAAAAAAAUAGAUAUGUCAAUAUACACUGAAACACAUGCAUGUACAUAACAUGCAUAUGUUUGACUCUAAAUGCCAAGUAUGUGGGGUUUAAUGUUCUAAACUAUUAACUGGUGAAUAUCUUCUAAAAUAAAUAAAUAAAUAUAUAAUUAUAAUAUAUAUAUAAAUAUAUAUAUAUAAUUAAAGUAUAUAAAAAAGCAAUACAUAGGUAUGCUGUACAUGUUUUAAUAAAAUUUAUAGAUAGAUAUCAAAUUUAUUUAAAACAUGGACACCAUCAUUUUGUUAUAAAGAGACUUUUUCUGACAACAUAAUAUAUAAUUGGAUCUCAAUAUUUAGUGCAUAAUCUUAAUUUAUAAAAGGAUAAUUGGACUAAAAUAUUGAAUUUUUGUUGUGUAAUUUUUAGGCUAGUUAUUAUAUUUACACAGUCACACACUGUGUGUAUGUAUGUUACACAUACACAUUGUGUGUGUGUGUGUGAGAUAGAACUUGAUCAUUCAGUCAGUGGGUGUAAACCACAUUGAACUAUGAUUCUUGAUCUUUAAACUAUUCGGACCAUACAUAUGUUUAUAUUUAAAAUUAUGCACUAAAUCAGUCAUUUGGUAGAUAUAUGCUUUAAUUAUAUAUUUUUGUAUUCUUCAACACUCAGAAACUGUUUAUUUAAAUAUCUGUUUAAGAUAAAAAAAAUUGUUGAAAAUUGACAUCUAAGCUGUCAUUUAAUAAAAUAUACAACAUAUUGAGAAGUGUUAUGCUUUUUUCCAGCAGGUGUCACUGUAGGCAAGUGGAAAAUUAAUAUGAUGUCAAAAUCUUCUAAAACAAACAUUUUCAGGGAAAUUGGCAAACCUUUUAAUGGCAUCCCGAAUUGAUUGUCAUGUAUCAAGGCUUCACUGCCAAGUUGUCCAUUUUGUGGUAAUUUUUAUUAAUUCCAUUUCUGGCACCACUUGAGAUGAUAAUGUAAACUAGUAGACGGGUUCCUGCAAUUUACCCAUCAAAUGCUGGAACGUUCUAGACCAGAUAUGAUGUACAGACCCAUUCACAUCUAUCAGUCAAAGAAGCAGAGCAGGGUGGAAGUCUGCAAGUGCACCUAGUUCAUGGCGUCCGUGUGUAAGAAAUAUUUUCCAUGAAAUAAAAAAGACUGCAAUGUCAAUGUAAAUUAAAAUUACUAAUGGGUGUGUUUGAACAAAGAACAUCAAUUUGAGAAUAUUCCCCAUUCUUUAUCAUGCUAUUCUUUGCCUGUUAAGCUAUUUACUAUGGAAUGUCCAUUUAACUACUGUAACUGCUAUUAUAAUUCCUAUUAGUUUAUUUUCAAUAAAAAACAUAUUUAAUGUCUGGCGAACCAAGGCUAUUGCAUGUUAUCCAGUCUACCAUAUCUUUCCUUUCUACCGCAUUUUGUAUAUACAUUAUUCUACAACAUGACCUUCUAAUAUGCUGUGAUUAAGAGCUUGGAUUCUAAAUGUUACUGUGUACCAGUCACUUUGUCAGUUCAUUUUGCAAGAAGCAUAGCUAUGUAUAAGAAGUAGCGUGCUACCUUUCAGAUAAAGAGAAGGAUCUAUACUAAACCAUGUCUAGUCAUUUCUUGCAGUAUGUGAGAAGGAUUGUACAAUUAUUGAUGCUUUGACUCAAUUGUCACUAUCUGUGUAUCACUGAUGAAACUGAGAAAUGUUUCAUUACUGAAUGCAUAUAGUUAUCUUUUGCAGUAGCUACAACUAUUGAACUUACAAUGGUGGAGAAAACCAACUGAAUAUCCUAUUUAAUUAAAUAUGCACACAUAGGUAAAGAACACCUCGUAAGGACCAGUUUUCGCUUUAUGAAAACAGAAUGGAAUAUUUAUGCUUGAGAAAUUCCAAGUGUAGACAAAAUGAAUUACUAACAGGAUUAGUAGCUAAAGUGAAUUUAAAAUGUAUUUUAAAUUUAAGGUCAAAAUACCUGAAAAAAUACCUGAAAAAAAGUCAGCUUAGCUACUCUAGCCUUACAGUUGAAAUGCACUUUGAAUACACUUUCAAUCUCAGUUGAAAUAACACUGUAAAUGUUGUUUCCUACAUUAUGGUACAAGGUUCAUUUUUAAUUAUAGAAUUAUUAUUCCCUAAUAUGAUAUUACAUUGAUUUUAUUUAAUUUUAAUUUGAACAACAUUUUUUAUUUUUUGUGGGAUCUAAUACCCCAUGUUAGCAAAUAAGAUAAUGAACAAUUUAAAGUACAGAAACAUUAUAAAGAGAGAGACUUUAUUCACAUGUAACACUUUUAUCCACGGUCAACUUAAUGUCCAUGUGCAUAUUGAAAGUAUAUUUCAAAAAACGUAAACACUUUCCUGUUAUCUUGGACAACUCAUUUAAGACGAUGUCAUCUGUUAAGACUUCAAUUAUAUUUUUCUUUGAAAUUAAUCAUUAAUGACAUUCUGGCAUAUGAAAUGGUAAUGACUGAUAAAUUAAAUUUCAAUGUGAGAUCCUAGAAACAGCACAUUCAUAUGAUACGAUUCUACAGUUUCUAAAAUGUAAUGUUCACUGCAUCUUUUGUCACCAUACAAAGAAAUAUACCAAAAAUAAUUAAAAGAAAACCUGCUUAUCAACUGAGUAAACACUGAAAUGUUUUUUUACUUCGUACAGUAGAUUCAAGAAGGAAAAUAUUGUUUAGAAUAUGUUAAGAUGAUCAUUUGUUUUUUUUAUAAAACAAAUCUUUAAUCUAUUUUGGGACCUUGUUGUGCAUGUUACUAAAUUUAUUACAAAAAUAUAAUAAAGGUAUAUUUUAUUUGAUGAAAAAAAGUGUAUGAUUUUAGUUUUAUUCAUAGAAGCAAAUUAGCUUCAGUAUUCUUAAAAAUACCAUAUAGUGCUAGAUGAUCCCUAUUUGUUUAUUGAAUUCAAUAAAUAGUGAGCUAAAUACUUUAAAAAUGAAUAUAAGAAGAUACCUUUUCAAGUUUCUGCUUUUGCGGAAAAUAUCAAGGAUUUGCAGUUGGUCACUGGAGUUCUGCGUUGGUCACUGGAGUUCUGCUAAAAUUAAGAAGUGACCUACAGUCAUUUGGCCACUCCUGUCAUGCCCAUUAUUUUUAAAGGAGAAAUUGCAUAACCCAUAACUCAAUGUCCAGCAUGGGUUUAUAGAAUAUGUAGUUCAGAAUUAGCACUAGUUUAAUGAAUGAAAAUACAUGAAUGAAACUACUGCCUAAACUGAAAGCAAACAUUGUCAAGUGUACCAGGGUACCAAGUGAGAUAUCGCAACAUUUGGCAUCUAAAUUACAGGUUACAACUUGACUGCAAGCAUUGUUCAAUGACCACCCUCACUGGUCUUCUGAACUGUCCUGUGCUGAGCUUCUAUUGGCUGAGCUGAACUUGAUUAUGGUACCUUUCAAUGGAUUUUGCAUUCUGCUCACCAGUGUCAAAGAGUUCAGCAUCCAAGUCAAGCCAGAAUAAAUCUUAAUAAAUACCAAUGCUAAUUACUGUGUUUUUACUCAAUAAUUAUCCAGAUUUAGCUCUUGGUGAAUAGAACUUUAAAUUCCACUGCUCUGAAAUAUACAGCUACUGGCACGCUCAAGUUCAUUUUUAAGCAUGGUCACUAAUAAAUGGCUGUUUCCUGCAUAUAGUUUUAGAGAAAUAACCUUGGAAAUAAUAUUAUCCUAGUAAAAUGUAUUAGCAUUGGAUAUUUUAACUUAAAUAGAACAUUGGCUUUAUAGUUAAUGAUUUACACUAUAGCUUCAAUGUCUGGCCUUCGCCUGCUUGAUCAUUGGAGGAUCAAAGGCAGCCCAUAAAUUGCCUCGUAUCACAUGCUGAUUUUUCUACAGAACAUUUAUGUUAAAUUAGUGCUCCUAUAAUUGGCCGUUUUAACCCUUUCAGUAAAAGCUGGGUCUGCACUACAGGAAAAUGUGUCUCAUGCAGCUGGCACUCAGAGAAACAAAGCAGACAUCUCUGAACAAUCACGCUGCAGGGUUGGAUUUUAACAAGUGAAGCAAAAUGUGCAUUUUUAUUAAGAGUCCACUUCCAGUUGACUGAAUGUCUUAGCUUUAUGUUAAAUGGUUAAUGGAUUCCUAAAAGAAAAACACAUGAAUUUCAAAUUUACUUUGGGAUGGAAUUCUAGAACACAAUUUAAUACUUGCUUCCUUAUUUUAUUAUUUAAAUUACAGAAAAAUUAGAGGGGAAAAAAGCAACAGGAUAGUAAAUAUAUAAAUCAGAUCCAUUAAUGGCUGUGCUUCAAUGUCCACUUUUUUUUUGCAUCUUUUUUAAGGUAAAAAACCUCUCAUGAAAUCGAGGGAAUAGGUGAUGAAGACCUAAUUUUCAUUACAAGUACAUGUUAUCGUCUUUUAAUCUAUAAAAUGCAUACAAUAAUAAAAGGUCUGCUAUUUACAUGUAUGGACUUGUUAGGAGGAGCCAUCAUGUUUUCUUUAGCAGGAAUAUGAUGAUAUUAGUGAUUAUUUGCCUUGAAAAUCAAGUUAGAGUAUUCAUGUUGCUUUAUUUUUGAAGAGGCUGUCUGCAUACCUUUAUAAACAUUACUUAUAGAAGUAAUGGCCUAUAUUUGAAAUGUUUUGAAAUCCCACUUAUUUUUAGUUUAAGAAAGACUAUGGAAGAGGUGUCCUAUGGGCAGUCUGUCUACUCUAGCCAUAAGAUUCUAUAUGAGAGCAUGUGACAUGUUUAAUGUCCCAAUUCAAUGCACUGCCCAAAGUGACGUACGCUUAACAUUGAAUAGCUUGUUGCGGUUUUUUUAAACUCGAGAUUAAAUGAUUUCUACAUGUAUAAACACAUCUUAAGUACAGUUAUUAUAUAUAUAUAUAUCUUAAAUUAGUUGGUUCUAUAUCUGAAUAAUCUUAAAUUAGAUUGGGAAAUAUGUAUGGCAAAAUACGCAAGGUAUUACAAAACAAAACAAAAACAAAAAAAACACCUUGCUAUUUAUGUAUUUUUGGCAAAGAAAAAUAAAGAAAUUGUGUUAAAGUGUGUGCAUGGUGGUGGAGGGGGGUGGGAGGUGGUGUUACCUUAUUUAUCAAUCAGUGAUUACCACACUAGUUUGAUUUAUUAUCAUGUUUUGCUGUGAGAUAGUUUGUGUAUACUAAAAAUAGCAGCUUCACAUAUACAGAUAUAUACAGGAUAUUAUCUUUUUGGCUUGCUAUGGAGGAUUACAUGUGCCCUGCAGACAUAUAGAUUACUUCUCUUGCUAAAUUGUUUUCAAGGCUUGAAGUCCAGCUCUGAAUUCUUCCAAUGUGAAACCCAGACAUGCAAACAUAUAAUCUCUUCCACUAUAAACUAGCAAGAUCUCUUGUUGACAUCUCGCUAUCCGCUCUCAUGAGAAGGUUAAUCCACGUUUCCCUGCCUGGCUCAUGUGAUAACUGCAUGGUGUGUCUAGGCUUUGAUACAACAUCCCUAAUAAAUUAAGGAUUUAUUGAUGGCAUUUCAUAUGGCUCGAGGUAUUGGUGUUUUGUACACUGAUACGCGCAACAGAUGUAAUAUUUGUCACUAAAUAAUCUUAAAAAAACGUAUCAUAUAAAUACACAUUAUGACAGCAAUUUUAAGUUAGAUAUAAUGUAUAAUUAAGGUUAAAAUAUAUACAUCAGAAUACAAACACCUCAUGCUCAAAAUAUAGAGCAUGCAAAGUCUUGUGUAUGUUGUGCUAGCAAAAUAGUUCCUCUUUUCACCUUACACUUGUCAAAUAGAUGUACUUGGUACAUGUGUUGUAGUUGCUGUGAUUGUUUCUCUGGCAAGUGCAGAUCACAAUUUGCAUAAGAAUAUAGGAAUGCCAGUGUGCUGGCAAUAAAGGAGCACAUCCAUAUCAUAGGGUAGAAUGACUUACCUUUUAGAGGCAUCACUGUACUUCCCCAACAACAAAAAUCUGGUUUAUAACCGGCAUAAAAUAAUCAAAGUACAGGUGUAAUCACAAACUCUAGUUUCUCAUCAAAAUAACCAUCUCAAGUAGAACAUGUAAAACUGUUAAUAUUUUUCUUUCAGAUAUUGUAAAAUGUAAUAAAAUAAUCUGUAUAAAUAGAAACGAGCCGUUUCCAUGCAAAAAUGCAUUCUGCGUGUUUGUUGUAUUUCUUUAAUACCAUAUUAUGGUAUUUUGGUUCACAAGUUGUAUAAUAGAACUAAAUAGAAUUAUUUUGUUGUGUAGUAUAUUUUGCAGUGUCUUGCACUUUACUUGUAAAACAUCCAAACAUUUUUCUGGUGCAUGUGCCUAGAGUAUUUUUACAGGUUUUUCUUUACAAUGUCUUUUGCUUGAGAAAUACAUGAAUUUUGCUCACAGCAGAAAUGUGGAACACAGAGCAGCUCCACCAGUAUAGAUGUUAGUCUAGGCACAGAGCUCAUCUUCCAUUUUAUCCAUAAUACUAGUGAUAGACACAAGUCUUACAUUUUACAACAGCUCAGAGCAGGAGGAUCAUAUAUCUGGGAGAUACACUACUUUUGCAUGUUUUAUUGCUGCUGGUAAAGGAGUGUGGAGACAUUGCAUGCUUUUUAUUCUGAGUACCAAGAAUAAUUUACAUGCAACAAUGAGAGUAUUCUCAUGGCCAUUGAGAGGUUUGCAUUUCAAUUAAUUUUUCACGGACACAAAAAACAAACAAACAAGCGUUUUUGACAUUUUUAAAAUCAGGUUAUUAGUUAGCAGGUUUAAAUAGUAUGAACACAAUAGUGUAAUGUCAUAGGAAGACCUUACAUCUGGGCCUCAAGUUCUAGUGCUAUAUGCCAGUACAGUUUUGAGGCAUUUGAAAAUAUCAUACUAUUUUGUCUGCUGUCUGUAAUAGCACGCAUGAGAGAUUUGUGUUGCUAGUUACUGCACUUCCAUAAUCUGUCGUCCUUUGAUGUAAGUCAGUUAGUGCAAGGUAUGCACGUUGGAGGAGUAUAUUUAUGGGUCAAGUCCUCAAAAAUAUUGAUGCCUUCACCACCAGUCGUGUCUAUUGAGCAAAACAAGCUGGAAGGACUGGCUGAAAAUAUAUUGAUUUAAUUUUUUAUAUAAUUUCCUGUUCUAUUGUGUUUUAUACCCCACCUCCUAUAGACUGUAAGCUCGUUUAAACAGGGUCCUCUUCAACCUAUCGUUCCUGUAAGUGUUUUGUAAUUGUCCUACUUAUAAUAUUGUAAAGCGCUAUGGAAUCUGUUGGCGCUAAAUAAAUUGCAAUAAUAAUAAUAAUGUGUACAGUGCUGUAAAGCAUGUUGGAAUAUCACAAACAAAAUAGUAAUAAUAACAAUGUUGUAAUGCCAGCGUAUGUCAUUGCACAGUAUAACAGAAUUGAGAACCAGAUCACAACAAUCCAAAGAAGAGGAGUGUUAAUGUUGUGUUGAAAAGAAAUGCCUAUUGGACGAUAUCAAUACACUUCAUAUAUGUAACACUGUUAAAAUGCUCAAAUACCCACUUUUUCACUUUUACACAGUCUUUACCAGUAGUGAAUGAGUGUGGUCUGUCUACAGCUGUCCUGCCCUAAUUCCCUGUUCAGUACAAAGAUCACAGAAAUUUGGCGUUAAUCUGAGAUGAAUUGCAAUUGGCUGUGUACUACAUUCUCCUUUUUGUCUUUUAACAAAAAUGGAAGUAAUAUAAUAUAUUGCACAUUUUUCAUGAUCUACUCAGCAGGGAUUAGAUUUAUCAGCCUGUUGUUAAUCCUACCAGUAAAAGCAAUUAUACGUUAUACACUUUACGGGUUAUUUGCUACAACAUGAGAAUUGCAGAAUUCUGUGCAAAAAUAUUUAAGCUGAAAAAUAGCAGACUUAAAAUUGAAAUGAUCAGAGUUAUUUUUCAACAUUAUUUGGAAGAUUAGUCAAAAACAAUGGCUAAAUACAGUGUUAUCACUGUAGAAACCAACAGAAUACCAGUCAAUAUUUAGCAUUUUACCUCAGUAUAGCACACAAUUAGUGUUGAUAAAACUCCCUUAAUAGUCAUAUCCUUAAGGCUGAACUUCAAAUAACUGUUUCCCCUAAAUUGUUGUUUAUGUGCCUUCUUUAUUUAGCACUAUGUAAACAGGACUGUCUUGCCUUUGCUGCUGCAUUCCAAGUGUCACAUUUUCUUUUCAGAAUGUUUUGGCAGAUUUCAGCCAUUUUUGUGCUUGUUUAAAACAUAUUGAAACUGGUAAACCUCAUUUACAAAAUGGCAACAGCCAUACAAGGUUUGCCUCUCUCACAAAGCACCCAGUGGAAUAACAAGGGUACACAUGUCUAUUCUAAAUAUGCUUAUUACAUAAAUAAAUGUAAAAGCAUAUAGUGAUCACUGGUACAAGAUGUUUUGGUGGUAAUGGUAACAGCUUUGCAACAUUCAACUAUGUCAUCAAAAUAAGGCUGCUAGAAGCAGCCGUUGCUUUGCAGACUCCGCCUAGCUUGAGAAGUAUUGUUACAAAAUGGAAGUAAAAUUCCCUUGUACUAUAAAAACAGUGACACCCUAAAGGAUCAUACACUAUGUCUUUACAGUGUCAUUUUAAACAAAUUGACUGUAUUCUACAGUUUUCCUGGAUGACCUUUUCCUAAAAGAAUUUAAAUAAUGGAAUCUGAAGAAGUCCUAAUACAUUUCCUUUUUACUUGCAUGUUUUAUUUAUUUUGCGCAACAAUUUGUGUAUUUGACAUUUUGUUACUUUAUUAGUUGAACUUGGUUCAAGACCAGAACUCAAAAGGUUACUAUGUAUAAUUAACAAACAAUGAAAAAAUAUUUCAGGACUUCCGUGCAUUAAUUUGUUCAAUUUAAGUUUACAUGCCUUUUAUACAUGACUAUUGAACAAUAAGAUCACUAGGCAUGAAAGAGCUUAAUCAGGCAUGAUCUCGCUCUAUACACACAAUACACACAAACACAUGAGUGUAUAAUAGAAUUUUUUUUCGUCCACCAGAGCUUGCAAUCGGUAUAGGUUAUUUGAUGGAGUGCAGCGUUAAAGUUCUAGUCUAGAGAGUCCUUGAAUGGUUUGUUGAUUGGGAACUAAAGAACAUGAUUCCUUAUCUUCCAUAAAUCCCCAAACACUGAGCAGCUGCUGAUAAUUUGGUGUGAGUAAUUGUAGAGCCAAUAAGUUUAAGAAGUGCUUAUUAAAGGAAGCUGCUUUUCUAUCUGCUUGCAAGUCCAAUUUAGUAAUGUACUCUCCAUGUGGUCUGAAUGUCUGAUGCUGGGUAAAUUAUGCACCUGAUUUAAAAACACUCCAUCCAUAAGAGCUUCUAUUUUGCUCAUCCAUAAAUUUUUUUACUUUCUUCAUUACUAGCUACUUGCGGCAGCUUAUGGCACAAUAUGUAUCAAAUUAGGCAUUGAGAACAUCUUAGGCAGGCUCCCUGCUGACUUCAAACAUGCACUUAAUGUGUAAUGCAAUUUCAGGGAGAUGCUGAACAUCCUCUAGUCUAGCUGAAGGGUUACUCCGAUGAUUUUACGGGAAUACCCUUACUACAUAGACCUUUUCACUGACAUUCCAUUUAAACCAUCAUUUGUCUCACUUCAGAGUGCUCGACUGCAGGGGAAAUUUAGUUGCCCCUUGCGAAAGCAUUUUAUUAUUUUAGAAGCAGUGAUUUAGUCAGUGAUGUGCGAGCAAUCCAGUUGAGAGGACAACGCCUCCUAUGAGAAGAGAAACAAUGUCGCUAUACAGGUGUAUGAUACCUGGAGAUGCAUGCAUAUAAUCAUUGCUGUCUGCAGGGAUCUGCUUUCCAAAGAAAGCUGUUAACAUGUGCAUUGCCAGCUAAUUGCAGAGAUAGUGCUCUAUGAGGGAGACAAAAUCAUAGUAAGAAUGUGAGACAAAAUGUAAAGAAGUAAAAUAAAUAUUGUAAAUAUGCUUGCAAUCAACCAGGUUCUUUUACAAACUGAAAUUACAGUUAGAUUUGGUUGAUUUAUCCAUCACAUAAAGGGAAUGUAUCAUCCAUAAAUAAUAGUAAAUAUGAUAUAGUUACAUUAAUGUUCUUAGGACUGGCUUGUACACAAUUACUAAUUACCUGAAUAUGUGGCACAAGGUGUUCUUUUCAAGCCAAGGUGUGCCAUAUUCAUAGAAGAUUAAAUCAGAUGAUGGAAUUGGGAACCACAGCCCACCAGGACACCCUUCUACCAUAGGCCAAUCCUGGAUGUUCUCAAGCAGCAGUUUAGGUUCUUAUUAAAGGAACACUCUGGACACCAUAACAAAGUCAUUUGAAAGAUGUUGUUAUGGUGCCAGGAGGUACCUGGUUACUUUUAUGGAUUAAACCUUUCAGGAAUAUUUUAACCCCAAAGUGGAGUAUUCAGUGCUUGAUUGUUCUGCCAACUGUCCUUCAGCUGCUUUGAAUCUUGAAUGAGCAAGCCUCAAAAACGUACAUAUAUUUCUCAAGCUGUUUUCUGGAUGGGGAGCUACAGCGACUCUAUUCACCAAUGCUAAAACCUUUCAAGAUUCUGAGCAGUGGAAAAACAGAAGAGAGCAAUCAGGUGAUGGCUGUACUUUGGGGUUAAACCGCUCCUCAAUGAUGCCCAGAUUGUACCUUUAAAUAAUAAUCAUUCUUACAUAUAGAUUUCAUAUAGAUUUCUAAAUAUAAGUAAUAAAGAUGUAAUCUUUCUAAAUUUUACAUUUAAUAGAAUUAUAAGUAAGCAUUGGUAAAUAUCAUAGUAUGUUAAAGAGACACUCCAGGCACCAAAACAACGUCAUAUAAAUUGUUAUGGUGCCAGAAGGCCCCCCAAAGGGCUACCCUAUCUCAAGGGGAUAAACCUCAAAGCUGCCUCCAGCGGCUUAUGUCCACUCCCACUCAGGUGACAUCCGGCUUCUGAAUUUUCAGAUACAGGAAGUGGGGAGUGCCGCCGAGCAGGGGAGCCGCUGAUUGGCUGAGAGCGGUCAGAUUACACUCUCAUCAGUGAAUCCCCUUUCACUUAACUGGCUUGGAAAGAAACGUACCUCUUAGUUAGUUGACACUCACAGGCAAUCAGUGGCUCCCUCGCCCCGGCAGCACUGAAUCUGAAAAUUCAGAAGUUGGAUGCCACCUGUGGGGGAGUGAACAUCGCCUCUGAAGGCAACUUUCGGGUAAACUGUUUGAGAAGUAAGGGUAACAACCUUUACUUAAAUUAGAUGUGUUUGCCACAAAUGUUUUCACACUCCGCUUUAUUGCAAACAUUCACUGGUAGCAAAUGUAAGGGAAUAUAGAAUGUAUAAAAAUAAGCUGACAUUUGGGCAUUUACGGUCUAGGCAGGAGUCAAAAGCUCUGACUUCAUACACCAGUCUAUGUAAAUGAAAAAUAUAAAUGGGAAGUGAAAGCUUGGUGUAACGGCCACUUGCCUAAACAGACACCCCUACUUCUUCACUUUAUAACCUGAAAUUUGAAAUGGGGAGGUAACUCAUAAUGGCUGGCUGGGGACUCCCUCAAACCCACAGACCCACAAUGCAUGAUCAUUUGAAAACAGAAAAAGAAAGGUUAAAGGGACACUAUAGACACCAAAACAACUUUAGCCUAAUUUAUUGGUUUUAGUGUAUAGAUCAUGCCCCUACAGUAUCACUGCUCAGUUAUUUGCCAUCUAGGAAUUAAGUCACUUUUUAUGCAGCUCUAGCCACACCUCCUAGCAUGUGACUGUUACAGCCUUCCUAAACUCUUCCUGUAAAGAUAGAUUUAAUUCUAUUUAAUUUAGAAUUUCUUAACUUCUGUUCUGUUAAUAGCCUGCUAUACCCUGUAGGAGCCUCUUUUGUGUGAUUAAAGUUCAAUUUACAGAGCAAGAGAUAAAUACAGAUUGAAAAUGAAAAAUAUUUGUUCUUAGUAGCUGUGUGAGCAACAGGGGAGGAGUGACAGAAACAAAGUGAUUUAACUCCUAAACGGCAGCGAAUUGAGAAGUGAGACUGCAGGGACAUAAUCUAUACCUCAAAACUGAUUCAUUAAGCUAAAGUUGUAUUGAUGGCUAUGUAUCCCUUUAAGUCUUCUGGCCCUGAAGUGACUCCACCAUUCCACAUUGUGACACAGACCAGGGAGAGUCCCAAUGUAUGUGGUCUGUAAGUACACCCAAAUUUACAUAAUAUACAACAUGGACAAUUCACAUGGGAUAAGAAUAUAUCUCUGAAAUUUUUUAUGUAUCAUUACUCCUCAGCUAGUGGGCUUUAAUAGCUCUAAACAAAAAACCUGUCCAGGAUAUUAGCCCCAUUCAAGUGAUGUGUAGGGUUAUAUAAAGUCUUCAAAUGAGCUACAGGAGUAUAAUGAGAUAGGCUAAGGAUUUGAAGAAGUGAGAAGCCUCCAAAAUGUCCUGCACACUAUAAGAAAUGGAAUUGCAGGUUGCAAUGACACUCCAAGUAGAGACUGUGCCUUGUUCUAUAAGCAGUGUGGCCACUUGUUUCAUUGUUUGCUGUACCACUGUCUGUUUGGGAAUAUUACUGUACAGGGAUAAUAACAUUGUGAACGGUUGUAAAGGACUUUUAACCAGGGUUCAGCAGUGCUUCCAUAAUGUGGGUCUUAUCCAGUUCACAUUUGAUUAAUAUAUCUUUCGUGUUACCCCUGCAGAAGCUCUAAGGGAUGCUUGAAGGUUGUUGACUUUGUGGUUGGGUUAUAAGAGAAGCCUUCAUUCUGCAUACACAGUUAUGAGAUCCUCUGGAUUUAAGCUUUCUCCGAUACUCCAUAUAGUCCAUUGGACUUUGUGUCCAUUGUCUGUUUUGUUUGCUUUGUGAUUCGUCCAUAUAGAGUUUUAGAGUUAUGGAAUUUGGACGACCCAUUGGUUGCCCAAAAUUUGGAUGAAUCACACUUCAUAUGAAACCAAAUGCAGAAGUCUACUGGCUAUGUAUGCAAAUCCAGGUUUCCCAUUUAACUUCCAAAAUCAGUCAAAACAUAACCAUGUGAUAAGUGCUGUAGGAAGCGAGUGUGAGUCCACUCCACAAGUUAUGUACAAAAUUCGGGAUAUAAAAUUUUGCAAUAGUGCCAUGAGUGUAAUCUCAAAAUACAUGUAUUGUGAUUUAUAGAUGGGCACAUCCUGCAGGCAUUACAUUAAGUGGAUUAACCAUGAAAUAGGAAAUAUAAACAAUAGAGCAAUUGGAAACUUGCCCACAGAGCUUUCACUCUAACAGGAUUAAAGACUAAUGUGAGAAUUAAAAUUUAGGACAAGUGUAGCCCAACUGAAAGCAUAGCUUACUAUGUGAAUUACCAUGCUUGGAGGAAUUACUUCUUGGAGAUAUCCACUACAGUGUGGUACGAGGUAGAAGUUACUAAUGCCAGUGAACUAAAUCUGCUGCAGUUUGGAUGGGAAGUACCCUGCAUGUCUGUCCAUCUGUCUAUAUAUCUGGUCUAAUUAUUGAAUCUAUCUAUGAUACAUUUGUGCUGUCUGAACAAGAAAUAUAAGACGAAAAUUAAAAAUAAAAUUCUUGCCAUGUAUGUAAUUUUCACAGUUUCACAAAAUGCUAGUUAUUAUCCUCAAUCUCCCUUUGUGCUCUUUCAUUUCAUUUUGUCUGUAGUUGUAUUGCUUCUGUGUGUUUUUCUCUACUUUCUCUUUUUUCUUCAGUUUUUUCAUCUAUGUUUCUGCUUGUGCAAUUCUCUGUGUUUUUCUCUGAAUGUGGAGGGCAGCCAUAGAGGUGCAAUAGAAAAUUGCCAUCUGUGUGCGCCUCUGAAUAGUGACUGAUCACUCUUUUCAGAAACACCUGCUGACAAUCCACGGCUAGCUUUAUAAUCAGCUUGAUAAAGCAGUUACUUUCUUGUCUCGCUGCCCAAGAUGUGCGCUGGUUGAGGUGCAAUGAAAUGAAAUAAAACAGAUCAAUCCAUUUUUUUUCCAAACCUUUCCCCAUUUCUUUUUUUCUUUUUUUCCUUCAAAAAAAAAUGCUCUAGAAAAACAUGACCUUAACCUGUUACGAGAAAGGAGAACUGCAAGGCUGAACGUUUUAGGUAUACAUUAAUUAGCGCUCUUUAUAUAUUACACAUACACACUCACACACAUAUAUCUGUAUAGAAAUUCAGCAUUUACCAUUAGAAUAAUGAAGUGUGGGUUUAGUUUGAUAAGUACCCACUUUUAAUAGCAAAAAAUACAACAAAAAUACAACAAAUGAUCCCGCCAUAGUCAAGAAAAAGCUUUUUUUUAAAUAUACAAAAAGGGAUGUUAAUGCAAGACACUGUGUGCAACUUUGUCUUAAGUUAUAAGCAGAAAGAAGCUUUCACAUUAAAAGUAGCAUCACUGGGCACUACUGCUUCAUUUCUUACUGACCACUGACCAUACAUUGAUUUAAAUAAGGCAAAUUGACUGUAUUCGCUUUUUCUCCAAAUAAAAAACAAUAAUUCUGUGGCUGAUAGAUCAGUGGCAAUACAGUAGAGUUCUGGUCAAUAGUGAUGUCCCGAACAGUUGGACGAACGGUUCGCCGCGGACGGCGAACAUAAACAUAAACUUUGACCCUGUACCUCACAGUCAGCAGACACAUUCCAGCCAAUCAGCAGCAGACCUUCCCUCCCAGACCCUUCCACCUCCUGGACAGCAUCCAUUUUACAUUCAUUGUCAAGCUGCAUUCUUAGUGGGCUGUCCAGGAGGUGGCAGGGUCUGGGAGGGAGGGUCUGAUUGGCUGGAAUGUGUCUGCUGACUGUGAGGUAAAGGGUCAAAGUUUAUGUUUAUGUUCGCCAUCCGUUGCGAACCGUUCGGCGAACCGUUCGGCAAACCUUUCGGGACAUCACUACUGGUCAAGCUAAACUGCCAUUAAGGAAAGUCAGCUGUAUGUAUGUUAGUCCAUAUAUUACAACUAUAGCUAGAAAUUGUUUUUGUUGUAAUUAGACCUAUGCACAAUGGAAACAUUUGAUUAAUCUGAAAAUGGUUUUAGUUUAGACGAUUCGUGUUUCGUCCACAUGGUUACGGCAAUUUUUGUCCAUUAAUUAGUUCAGGAAAAAUCAUUCUGAUGAUGCAAAAUGACUCAAUAUAAUUGCCCAAAUCAGUGUGCAUGAAAAUAUAUAUAUUGUGUGUGUAUUUUGCAGUGCCACAGUAAGUGCAUUUUUACAUAAUUUGCUUCACAGAUCAGAUGUGUAAUCAGUAGAUGGAAUAAAAAAUGGAAUAAAAAAAAAUCUAUAUUUAUAGUUGUAUAUUUACAAUAUAUCUAUAUAUAUUAGUGCUAAUCCUUUUCCCCCUUCUAUUGGUCACUUCUUACUGUCAACAAAGUCAAACCUUAGUGGCUGUCCCCUAACCACCAAUCAUCUUGUUGAUUUUUGUUGGUGCCACAGACAAAACUCUGAAUCACGGGAAAAAAAUACAACUAAAUGGUUCAUCCAUUGUCAAUUUUGUUUUAGUCCAUAAUUUGUCCAUAUGCCAUUUCAGUGUUUGAAAAUUUGGACAGCUUGCCAUCUACCCAAAACUUUUACGAAUUGCUUUCAGGAGGAAACCGAAUACACAAGCCUCGUUGUAAUUUAAGACUACAAUACUCUGUGAAGUACCAUCUAUAUAGUGAACGCCUUAAGACAUUUGAAAAACCACAACGUAUGUUAUGAUCAACCUGCCCAAAAAUUUAUUGUGUUUAUUUUGAUGGUGCUUAUAAUUUCCAUCAUGUUAUCUGGUAUACCAUAUACUGAUCUAGUAAUAUAUUAUUACGUGAAAGGGUUACAUUAAUGUGCUUUCCAAACAUCUCAAUCAGGUAGCAUUACAAUUAUAGCAUUAAUAAAGCUAACAUUGCAUGUUGCCCAAUUAUUUUGCCAAGCCUAUCCUCCGAGUAAACAAAUUACCUGCUUCACAUAUUAAUUUUGCAGACGUAGACAGUAUGACUGUUAUAUAGUCAAGAACAAAAGAAACACAACUGCUAAGAAAACAAUUGAGGUGUAUAUCACUUUAAGAGCUAACUUAUUAGUGGUAAUGAAGAAAAUAAUUGUAAGAAAAUUAUAUAAAUAAUGAAUUGGGUAACUUUUAGGAUAAAAUGAAAUUCACUUUAAGUAGAGUUUCCUUAAAGGGACACUCCAGGCACCCAGACCACUUCUGCCCAUUGGAGUGCUCUGGGUGUCAACUCCCUUAACCCUGCAGCUGUAAAUAUUGCAGUUUUCAUAAACUGCAAUAAUUACAUUGCAGGGUAACUCCUCCUCUAGUGUUUGUAUACUAGACAGCCACUAAAGGGCACUUCCUGGUUUCUAGCACAGGUUUUCUGUGCUAGAGCGUUGCUGGACGUCCUCACGCUGUGUGAGGACCUCCAGCAUCGCUCAAUUCCCCAUAGGAAAGCAUUGAAAGCAUUUCCAAUGCUUUCCUAUGGAAAGGGUUUUAAGGCGUGCGCGCGGUCUUCCCUGCCGGAUGACGUUGGCGGGGGAGGAGCGUGGGCGGACCCGAAACCACCACUGAGGGACAUCGGCGGGAGUCUCAGGUAAGUCACUGAAGGGGUUUUCACCCCUUCAGCAACAUGGGAUGGGUGGUGGGAGGAAGAGGGGACAAUUUGUUUUCCUGGCACUGGAGUGUCCCUUUAAAUGAAGGUAUCAGGUAGAAUCUCUGGAAAGUCCUUUAAAUACAAGGUAGCAAGUUGUAGCAAUAAGGCAGAAAUCAGAUUCUUAUCUUAGAAGCAAAAGCAGGCAGCAAGCUGGUUCUUUGCUUUGUAGCAGAAGCAGGCAGCAAACUAGGGUAGUCAAUAAACAGUAGGUAGCAGAGGUUUGGUCCACAAUCUAUUAGCAAGGAGGGAGCACAAACGGCAACUUAGAAUCGCCAGGAAACAAAUUAACUGAGCGGCGGCAUGAUUAACAUGAUUGGCGAUACCCGGAAAUGCCUUGAGGGAAUCGCCGAUCGGCAAGUAUGACAAUGAUAAUGUUUCCUUUUAUUUUACAUGCAAACUUUAGGUUAACUAAAACCUCUAAUUAUAACAAAAAUGUACAAAUCCUAAAUUCAUUUGGGUCUGUUUCAUGAACAAAAAAACAAGACUAAAAAACUCAGGGCACUGAAAAUGUUUGAAUACAGUACUUUGUAGCUAAUUAGCACAUUGGGAGCUAAUCUCUAUCAGGGUUAUUCACUAACAUGAGAAUUCAAAGAGUACUCAAAGUAAAUUGGAAAUGUUAGACCAAAAUAACUAAACAGGCUGACUUGGAGAUUGUAUCCAAUUCAGCUACGUAACCCUUAAAUUUGAAAUGUACUUUUAUUUAAUUUAGAAAUCCUGGCAAUUCUCAUUUUAGUAAAUAAACUUGUAUGUUGUAACCUUAGCUUGCCUUCGGUGAAUACCCAACUUGCACACUGAGUGAUUUGUUCGCUAAACAUUAAAACUGCAGUGAAUUGGAAAGUGAAUUGCAAUAUUUAUGGGCAAGUUCCAUUAUACUUAUUAGCAUUAAACAACAUAAGUGAUACUCGUGUGGCAUUGCAUGCGCUUGGUUGUCCGUGUUUUAAAGCCAGCUAACUGCUCUAGUUAUACGUCAUUACCAACAAAAUCACACACAGCAAGUAUGCAAUACACAUAACUCAAUAUAUUGUGUGCCACUCUGAAUAACCUAGAACUAUCUCUGUUCUGUGUCUAAUCUUGCAGUUGGUUUCUUAUUGGUUGUGAAUGAUCAAAUUAUUCAAUUAUAUGAAACAUGGUUCCACUUACUUAAUACUUCACUGCACUGUCUGUGUGAAGGGUCCUUAACACAAAGACUGAUAAAAAAUCUCUGAAAGAACUCCAUCACUGUAAUGAACACGGAGUGAAUAUUAGGCAAUCAUUCAGGAAAAUGUGGAGAUGAAGGACUAAAUAAUUCACACUGAAGCUGAGCAUCAGCGAUUCCCGAGAUUCACAAUACUUGCUUUACAACUCUUUUAACUUUUUGUUAUAUUUGUGUGUGUGUGUCUGUGUGUGUUUAAAAUCAUAUAAUCGGUUUAUUAAACUGAAACAGAAAAUGUAACCAAAUCUAGUUAUAAUGAUGGUCAGUAAAUACCAAUCAAUGUGUACAUAUUCAAAAAUGCCAAUGUGUCAAAUAAAAAAACAAAAAAGGUCACUGACUCUAUAUAUGGGGGCACAAUAUUUGAGAGGUUUAAAUUAAUGUAAAAUGUACAUGCUGACUGUAACAGUUACAGUUCUGAAUUAAAGUAUUUAUUUUCACAGUGUUUGUUUUUUUAUAUAUAUAAUUUUUUGGUGCAUAAUUUAUUCAUAUAAUGCAGAUUACCAGUUUGGGCACCAUCUUCAUUCUUCACAUAGAAAUGGUUUAUGGGUCAAGCAAAGUUAUGGUUUUGGGGGGCCCCUGUCUGACCCUUGGCCUCCAAAACCAUACCUAGAGUCACCUUAUGAUUAAUGCUGCUCUAUGUAAUGAAUAGAGACCAAAUGUGUAUUUAAUAAGCUUUGAUAUCCAUUCUGAUAUUUUUGAAUGCAUAGACAACAUAUAUUUAGACAGAUGUUCAUUUUGUUUAGUUUUUUUGUUUUGAUUUGAUAUUUUUAUUCACUUUAGUAAAGUGGUUUUAGAGGUUCUGCACUGAUGGUGAUCCAGAGAACUGGAUUUGCCUUUAGGGAAAGUAGGGACCUUCCCCGCAGAAUUAAAUAUGCAUGAGCAAUAGCUGUGAGAAAGCAUGGAGUUCUCUGUGCAAAAUAACCCCGACCCCCUCCUUUGCACUCUGUAAUGAUUCCUGGCGCCAGCAUUAGAAGCUACUUCGGCAUUGGCUUACAUACAGAGUUGCAGACGACCAGGAAAGUGUUCAACUAUGUGAUGAUUCCUGUACCGCACUGGACCCCAGGAAUGAGGCUGCUCUCCAACUCUUUCCUCAGCAAAGAUAGGAAAAGGGACGCAGGAUGGACCUUAUAUAUAAAAAUAAAUAAAGUUUAGAGAGAGAGAGAGUUUGUGUGUGUGUGUGUGUGUGUGUGAUGGCGCGCAGUGGUGUCUUUCGAAAUGGUUCUGCCCUAGGCAUGACAAAUCUGAAGCACCCCCUAAUUUAAAUUUACCCGCCCCUUCCUACCAAGGCCACAACUCUUCCUGUUAACUUACACACAUUUUGACUGACAGACACACACUCACGGACCAGCACACAAUCUUAGAUACACUGACAUACACACACAUACACUCACUGAUUUGAUACAAUCUGACAGAAACAUACAAUCAUUCAGACACACACUGACAGACGCAUACACUCACUGACAGACAUGCCCAUUUACUGACAGACAUGCACAAUCACUCAGACACACACAUUCACUGGACACACACACUCACAGACAGACAGAUACACACACACACACACUCACUGACAGACACACACACACACACACAUUCACUGACACACACACUCACAUUCAUUGACAAAUACUCACAUUCACUCACUCACAUUCACUGACAAACACACACACACACACAUUUUCCCCCAACACUCAUAAUUAUUAUUAUUAUAUUUUUAAUUUAAAUCCACCCAGCCUUCCUACUUUUGGUAUAGCUGGGUGGAUUUUUCACCUAGGGUCCAUUGUGGCUGCUGCCCGCUGUUGUUCAGGAAGGCGGCCGGGCGGCCGCUCUAAGCUGUCAGCUCUGCUCAGCUCUCUCGCUCCAUAGAGUAAUGCUGGGAUCCGGACGGACGUCAAAUUCCGGCUCCCGGCAUCACUAGGGAGCGAGGGAGAGCUCAGCCGGCCAGCUCUUGGGCCCCCAUAAAAUGAGACAAACAAGGCAUUUGGGGGUGGCGUUUUUUGCCACCCCCUGUGUGUGUGUGUGUGUGUGUGUGUGUGUAAUGUCUGUGUGAAAUAAAUCUGACCCUGGUGAUUCCUUAACCCCAGUAAAUGAUUAGUUCAGUAGAGGUUAGUGUAAAAGACAUCUAUUGCCCUCUUCAGAUAUUGGCAUAAUCAUCUUCCUGCAGUGAUUUGUAAAUGCAUAUACUCUGGGCAUCAUGAUACACUGCACAGAUGGUACCAUGCAGUGUAUGGGAUCUUUCCUGAAAUGGCAAAUUAUCUUUUAUUUUAAUCAAAUGGAAAUAAUUUAACUUGAACCUUCCAUUUAAUCCAGGGAAUUUGCACAAGUAUUUUAGCAAUUAAUCUUCAUAAUUUGUCACUUUUAAUGCAAAUCUAGUUUCUGUUAAAGUGAACAGAUACACCUUAAUGCGUAACAUCUUAUUGUCCUUUGAACCUGUAAUAAUCUUCUACUGUCAAUUAACAAAUGGCUUUUAUUGUUCAUUUAUACUUGUAUUUGUUAUGUUAAUAAAUUAUAUAUCCAAUUGGUUUAGGAGAUGAUGGUUUAAAACCCAUCUGUCCCCCACCAGCAACAGCACAGCCAUCUCUGCAGCUUGCGGGUAUUACAAAAUGCUCUUGUUAGAGGAGCAACUAUGGUAACUACAGAAUAUGCACUGUAUUUGUCUUGUCAGAGAGCAGGAGAUCCAUCUGUAGGAUGGUUCUCCUAUCUUUCCCUGUCACUCAGUACUAGGCUGUCAGGAUAUCCCUCUAUGUUGAGAGCCUAUUUAAAGGUGAGGGGAUGGAUUAUGCAUUAAUAUAGUUUUUCUGUUUUUACAAUUUUGAUGGCAACUGUACAUAUCCCAAGUGUCCCUAUUUAGGAGGAACAGUCAAAAUUGUUGAUCCAAAUCCCUCUCCCCCUCUUUUCUAGGAGUUCCAUAUUGUUGGUGUGUCUGAGUGUAUAACAGAGCUCUACAGCAAUAAUAUAGUAAUGUGUCUUUAAAAUACAAAAUACAUGUUUUUAGAAAUCAGUCUGUGUAAAUAAGAAACAUUGUUCUAAAUUAUUUUAAUUGUAUGAUUUGUUAUUAGAAAGUCACCUUAAAGGGACACUAUAGUCACCAGAACCAUUACAGCUUAUUGCAUUUGUUCUGGUGAGCAGAAUCAUUACCUUCAGGCUUUUUGCUGUAAACACAGUCUUUUCAGAGAAAAUGCAGUGUUUACAUUAUAGCCUAGUGAUAACUUCAUUGGCCACUCCUCAUAUAGCUGUUAGAGAUCCUUCCUGGGUCAUGGCUGACUAAAAUGCAUCCAAACAUUCAGUAUCUCCUCCCACUGCAUGCAGACCCUGAACUUUACUCAUAGAGAUUAAUUGAUUCCUCUAUGAGGAGAUGCUGAUUGGCCAGGGUUGUGUUUGAAUUGUGCUGGCUCUGCCCCUGAGCUGCCUUCUUGUCAGUCUCAGCCAAUCCUAUGGAGAGGCAUUGUGAUUGGAUCAGGCUACCACUUCUGAUGAUGUCAGCAGACUGCUUGUUUUUCUGAGACAAACAGCAUGCAGAGUUACAGCUUCAGGCUUAAAUACAGUAAGAUUUUGCUAUUUUUAUGGAGGCAUGAGGGGCCCUGGGGAGCUAAAUGGUGGUUUUAACACUAUAGGGUCAGGAAUACAUGUUUGUGUUGCUGACCCUAUAGUGAUCCUUUAACUUUCUCAGAACAACCCCACCCCUGGACACAUCCCAAGUCACUUCCCUAAAAUUAAAGUUUCCCUUUUUGCUAAUUUGAAAUGCACUAUGGUUUUAAUUUAUAUUUAUUUUAAUAAGAAUCAGAAAUGAUUCCACGCUGUUAGAAUUUUUUUUUUCAAAUGAUUUAUCUACAGAACUCACCAUUAAAAUUUAUGCGUAGUCUAGCUGAAAAAUUAUUUGAAAAGUUUUUUUUCUAAUAGAAUGGAAUAAUUUCUGAUUCUGAUUUAAACUAAUUAAAUUAGGGCCUGUGUUUUACAAGCAACAUUUGUGUACCCACAUAGAAUUAUUAUUAUCAUUGGUAUUUAUAUAGGGCCAACUUAUUAUGCUGCGCUUUACAAUAUUAUGAAAGGGGAAAAUGUAACAAUAAAUGAGACAAUUACAAAAUGUUGCAGGAGCAAUAGGUUGAUGAGGACUCUACUCGAAAGAGUUUACAAUCUAGAAACGUGUUAAAUGCCAUAGCUAUGUAUAUAAAAUCAUGUUACAAAAAUAAAACACAAGUAACCACUUCUUUUAUCAGCUGUGUCCAAAAUACUUUACAUAACUGAUCAUUGUUAAAUUGCCUUUUAUCAUAUUUAUUUGUCUGUGAAUGUAGACAUUCGUAAAACCAAGAUAUACAUUGUGCUGAAAGUAUGUGGUUAAAUGGACUCUUACCUGUUUAGGUAAGGGCGGCACUUAAAUGUUUAGAUAGUUUCAUGUCUUUGUAAUACUGUCUAAAAAUGACAGAGGUUGGAACCACCGUACAGACGUAUACUACUGCAGCAAUAAAACCGUAUUCCUUGCAUUCAUUUCAAAUGGUAAAGGCACCCCUGCUGUUCGUGUGUGUGUAUAUAUAUAUAUAUAUUAAUGGCCACCUGUAAUUUGGUAGAGGGCAAAGUUUAUUUCAAAUGAUUAUAGUAAUAAGUCAAUUUUAGAAUGUUUUUUUUACUUCUAAAAUCUAUAUUUGAAAUAAAUUAAUUUCACUUUCACAAUUAUGCUACCUUGACUAGAAAGGUCAUGUGCUAUCAGAGAAAUAGACAAUUUAGCAGCAUAAUGCUGAAGAAGAGAGUCUUUGAAGCUUGAUUAAAAAAAUCUUUUAUUAAAGCUUUGAAAACAGAAUUCCAUUUCUAUAAUUCUGCCAUACAGCUCGUUUUUUUAAAAAUAAAUUAUAGCAAGGACGACAGUGAUUUGUAAAGUAAUCACUCACUUACAGAUUGAUUAGCAGGUAUCUCUUGAAGAUCUAUGAGUAUAUGACACAGGUGUAAUUUAGAAAGGUAGGUUGGUGAGAUAUUAACUAAUAUAUGUAAAUGAAAAUUAAGUAAUAUUUUAAACACAAACCCUACUAGGUGUAUUAUGACUAGAACACUUUUUGAUAAAAAAAAAAAAAAAUCCCCUGAUAAAAAGUUAAAAAUAAUAGGUUUAUUUAUUUAUUAUUAUUUUUUUUAAUAGGAAUCAUGAGCACAUAACUGCUAGACACAGGGCCAAAGUACUAUACGUGGUGUAGUACUAGCUCAUAGAGAAUGCUUUGCAGUGGAUGAGAUUCUAAGAUCUCCCAUGAUUGACUGAAUGCCCUUUUCUGUUGUGAUGGAGUGUUGCGUGUGCUCCUGUGGAAGGUGCAGACCAUGAUCAGUGCUCCCUCACAGGCUGGUGCUGCUUAGAGAAUGACACUGCUCUUAGUGAUAUAUACUCUUAAUACUGGAAUAGGGGGAAAUGGUAAUCCUAGGAUGAAAAUAAAACAAAGAAGGGAAAGAGAGAUUGGCAGAUGAGAUUAGGGAACAUGAAGCUGGGGAAAUGAGACUGAUCUGUGGAACCUUCAUGAAUUCGGAGACUGUCCCUGGUCUGUCUUCAGGCAAUGUCCUCACAGGGCACUAAGACUAUGAGCAGAGUGUUUUUAGGAUUACUCUACACAUGGUUUGCCCAGUGCUCAUUGGCCACAGAAUCUCGCUGUACAUACAUGACAGGCUGGCUUACGCCUUUACUGGACACAUCCAUUCAAUUACACACUUAUUCUUGCACACCCAUGUCCCAUUGUUGGGAGGUAGAGACCGAGGAGUGACAAGUAAAAAAACACGAGACAAAACAGGCAUUAGAUCUUUUUACAGAGGCAUAUACCUAUGUGUACAUACUUUUAUUCCACGUUAUCCAUAGAACAAACAGUAAAUGAGUAAUGAGGAAAAACAACAUAAUAUUACAACAGAUAAUAAAAUAAAAGCAAAGGGCUUAAAAUAAACAAGGGUGAAAUAUCUAAUGGUGAAUUAUAUUGUUAAUAUACCUUUUCGAAUUAAAGCCAAAUGAACACCUAGUAUUCAAUUGAAAAAUCCAAAAUACUCUUUUUUUAUUGAGAAUACUAUUGAUAUUACCAUAUCUUAUGGGAGUAAAGCAUCUUUUUAUAACCUGAAAAAAUUAAAAUAAACAAGGAAAUAUCACUCCCAUUACGUGCCUUAAAAUCUCAAUGAACCAGGGAAUUCUCAUUGUUCUUAGAAAUGUCCAGCAUAUGUCUACAAUAAAAUCCAGAGCUUUGCAAGUCUUGAAGUUAGCACUGCUCAGACCAGGAAAUUCUAAGCCAGCCAAGAUGCUACAAUAACUUUUCUAUGGCAGGUGCAGCUGUCUUACAGCAGGGCUCUAUGGGCAGAGCAGGACUUUCUUAGACUUGUAGUUCUACUUGUAAAAGCUGUAAGCUAGACUGCAACUUCCAGAAACCUUUGCUGUGCUUCUUAAUGACGUGUGUUAUUAAAGAAACACUGCAGGUGGCAGAAAGGGAGGGCUUGGAAAUUCAUGACAUCAAACUUGUGCACGUGUAAUAAUGAGUUUGCAACAUGUUGAUGAUUAUGACAUAUAUGGUUAUCUCAUUGUAUGUAGACAGCAUGCUGCCAAUGGAUACACUAGAAGCUUUUCCCCUGACUACCACUGAACUGUAUUUACAGAUAGUUACGUUUUAAUAAACGCAUUUUAUGAAGUGUGUGCGGAUUUAGACUUUGUGCAGCUAACUAUUAGAAUUAUUUGUUUGUGGUAAAACAUAUUGAUAAUAUAUUUAAUUGUAUAUUUCCAUAGAUAUAUUUACAGAUUCAAUAAAAACAUUUGUUAAUAAUUCAGAGUUUAAAGAAACAUUCUGGGCACCAUAACAAUUUCAUCUCAAUGAUGUCAUGAGCAUUGUCUUACUUUAAAGGGACUCUAUAGGAACCCAGACCACUUCAGCUCAUUGAAGUGGUCUGGGUGCUGUGUCCCUAUUUCACUUGGUGCUGAAAUGUAAAACAUUGCAGCUCCAAAGAAACUGCAAUGUCUACAUUGCAGUACUAAGUCUGCCUCCAGUGGCUAUCUACCAGACAGCCACUGGAGGCGAUUCCGGCAUCCAAAUGGACUUUUGGUCUGGUAUCUGAUGCUCGACGUCCUCACACUUUGCAUGUCAUAUUAUUCCCCAAGGGAAGGGAAGGCAGACGGAGCUAUAGUGCCAGAAAUACAGCUUUGUACUCCGUUCACGUAUAGUAUCCCUUUAUAGGCUUAAAUUUUUUUUUAACUUUUUAACCCCAAAGUGCUCCAGAAGGCACCCAUCCCCUAGGUCCAUGUGUCUCCUCUAUGUGGAAGCCCUUGGACUGGGUGCUUGUGAUAGGCUGGGAGUGUCAGGUGUAAUUUGCCUCCUAUUUAGAAAAAAACAUUUAACAUUUGAGAUUGUUAUGGUGUCCAGAGUGUUCCUUUUAUUUUAUUGUCACUAUGUAAAACCCACAAAAUAAUGGGAAGUUAUUAUCCUCACAUAUAGAAUUACAAUUACUUGAUGGUGAAAUGUAUUGAUAAUACUUCAUUUUAAAUUACCAUGGUUACAAAUUCAAUAGAAAUGAAUAUUUUUCAGUAAUUCUCAGGUUUUAUUUGUUUUCUUUUUAAUAAUGAAAAAUUAUUUUAACUGCAGUGAUGCAGCUAAAUUUCACAGCUGUCAUAGCUUUGAGUGAAAAUUCUACUAUAAUAAUUGGUUAGUUUCUCCUUCAAAUAAUUCUCCUUUUCUGAUUGCUUGGUGAUUUCAGCGACGUACAGCUAUUUUUAUUAUUAUUUAUGCAGUACAAGAAUAUUUGAUGGUGCUUUUAAAGUGGGAAUAUGAAACCCACAGAUAGAUUAGAAACAAAUUAAAGUGAAAAGACACCAAGAGGUAAAUAUGGCCCCGGUAAAAUGACCUUACAUUUAGAAUUAAAAUGGUCUUGACCAGUAAAUUAAAAUUUGAGAAUAGCCCAUGUCUACUUUAAAACACACUACAGAAAUAAAUGUAAAAUCAAACAAGCAUGAUCUAUAAAUUAUAUAGAGAUAGUUGUCUUUUUAUGUAUAGACUAACAAUGUAACAUCACUUUAUGAUCACUCUAGGAACCUGGGAAAAGGCCAUAAAAAAGGGUGUGAUGUGGUUAGUCCACCCAGUGGCCUCAGUUUAUUAAAAAAAAUGUUUAUAAGCUUUUCAAAUUAUUUCAUAUUUUUGGUAAUCUUUUAUAAUCAUUGAAUACAAUAAUAAUAUAGUGAGAGCAAACUCUAUACACCAGAUAAGAUAGAUAUAAAUAUAAAAACAGGCAAUAUUACCAUAUGGCUGUAAUGUCCUAAAAAUAGAAAAUAAGGAACAUAGUAUAGCCUGUAUAGAAUAUACAAAAAAUAAUUAAGUGCAAAAUUGUCCACUCACGUGGUGCUGAGCCGUUCAGUGGCUCAGACUAUAGGCGCCAUGUAAAACUUAUGGAGACCACAAUGCUGGAAAGGCAAAUCUCUGUAAAAAUUCCCUUUUGUGACUGAAUGGAAAGUCAAGUCAGGAAAUGCAGGAACAAAUUUUAUUCGCCAACAAUCGCAUAUAAAAUGGAAUCUCUCAAAUUAUUGCACUUAUUUGAGAGAUUCCAUUUUAUAUGCGAUUGUUGGCGAAUAAAAUUUGUUCCUGCAUUUCCUGACUUGACUUUCCAUUCAGUCACAAAAGGGAAUUUUUACAGAGAUUUGCCUUUCCAGCAUUGUGGUCUCCAUAAGUUUUACAUGGCGCCUAUAGUCUGAGCCACUGAACGGCUCAGCACCACGUGAGUGGACAAUUUUGCACUUAAUUAUUUUUUGUAUAUUCUAUACAGGCUAUACUAUGUUCCUUAUUUUCUAUUUUUAGGACAUUAAAGCCAUAUGGUAAUAUUGCCUGUUUUUAUAUUUAUAUCUAUCUUAUCUGGUGUAUAGAGUUUGCUCUCACUAUAUUAUUAUUGUAUUGUAUGGUUCUUUGUGUGAUUUGGAGUGACUCACACUUGGUGAUUUGAGCAUUUUUAUCAACUUUUCCUUUCUAAAAUUGUGUUUUAUAUAAUCAUUGAAUACAUAUAUUUUUUUAAUUCUUUAUUUAGGAUAGGAACCAGCAAAGCCCUGAAUUACACAUAUUUUGACCAUCACUUAUAGUACCCAUUUUACCUUAAUGUACAAAAACAAAUCAUAACACUGUAGUUACAACAGUAGAGGACAUGUUCAGGUGGGCAAUAUCAUCUGUGCAAAAAGACAAUAGCCCACUAGAGGUGAAACAACACAUCGGUCUAACCGUCCUCUAAUAUAGUGUUUGGGAAGUCGUAUGUCCAAAAAACGCCCUAGUCUUUGUACAAAGCAUAUGGCUUUUUAGACACUUUAAGUGUUUCUUGGGAUGUUCGACAAGGCAUUACCAUUUAAGGCAAUGAGCUGCUUAUGUCCUCCGUGACCUGUAAAGUGAAAAGAUACAUAACCUACAAUUAAACUCCUUAGAACAAAAAAACAAAAAAAACACCCAUGCCGAUGGAAGUACGCUCUUGCAUAAAAGGACAGAGAAACUGACCUAGUUAUUCCAAUAAGUGUGAGGAAAAUUAAAGAAAAAAGGGCACCUACUGCGGAACCACCAACCCAUCUCCUAAUCCCCCUAUCUCUUCAUCUCCAACCAUAAAGCCCACACUUUUUUGAAAUCUUCCUAGUGCUUGCUUGGUGCAUCCCCAUCUAACAUCAUAGAGAAGUCUUUGAUUGGAGGAUUUAAUGCACAGGGAAAGGGAGGGAGGGAUGGAAUGGAGGAAGAGAGAGAGCAGGGGAUUAAAAAAAAUGCAUAGGGGAUAGCGAUGGCUUCAUUCUAUGUAGGAAGGAGGAGAGACUAGACAUAUCUAUUACAUCUGUCGUCAGCAUGCAGUGCACGCUGACCAGAGACAUUUUCUGUGCACAAACUUGAUAUUACUUAGUAUAGAACAGAGUUCUGGGCUCUCUCAGUCACGUUUGCUGGGAGUGCAACUUGCCCCCUGUACACAAUUAGAAAUAUCUCUGGAUUUUUAUCUGAAACACCACAUCUAAACUCCUACUACCUCGACCACUUAAAAAAAAAGGAGUGGUUAUGGAAGUUGAAGUAACUCUUUAAAAUUAAUUGUGAACUAACCUCAUGUUUACGUGUAUUUGUAAGGCUUUUGUUGGUAUUUUUGAGACACAAAUUCCCAAAAUGUCUGUAGAUUGUAGACAAUACAACUGUAUGUGGAUAUAAUCAUCAUACAAACUUCAGGUUCAGAUACAAUAUUUAUAGAUUCAGGGAUUCAGUAUCGAUAGAAUUUGAUUAUUUUCAGUUGUUUUAUUGUUAAACAAUCCCAGAUUUAGAGCAAUUACUGCUAAUAAUCAGAUUUUAUGGCACAAUCAAUGUUAUGUGGCCGCUUCUACUGACUACUUCAUUUGUCAUUGUUUCUUACAAUUUAUUUGGAAAAAAUAAAAAUGGUAAUCAUUUCGUCUGUAAAAAUCUAUCACGAACAUGCAACCUGAGCAGUUCAUAUCCUUUAAAAUCUGGGUUUUCUAAUCCAGUGGAAGACAUUUAUGUUAUGAUUCAUAGUAAAUUUCUCAAACACACCAGUCAUGUUACCAUGAAUAACAGAAUUUCAAAUAUCAUUAUGGUUUCUUCCAAGAAUAUUACAAAUGUUCUCAAAUGCAUUUGUAUAUAUAUAUAUAUAAAAAGAUAUUUCUACAGAAUGCAGCACUUCAGCCCAACAUUUAUGGAAAGACCUAAAAAUCCAUAAUUUAAAAAUUCAUUCAUGUCAUACCUGAAGUUUCUUAAGGAAAAAUACUUAAACUGCUAAAAUACAAGCAGGCUUGGUAGGAAAUUACAAAGUAAUUUUCAUGUUUCACAUAAGUUCAACUAAUAGAAUAAGAUUUUCGUUUUCAAAGAUUUAGGAGUUGAAUGUAAAAGAGCAAAAUUAUUUCUAGAAAAGUUGCAACUCCCUGUAGGAGGUGAAGACCUCCUACUUGAUUCUUCCUUCUUCAGUAGUACAGGGCAUUUUUCAGUAUCCCAUUUCAAAUAAACAACAUCUUGGCAGUGAGAUCAAUAAAUAACAUUGGUGGGAGAAAAAGGCCUAAGCCAUGUUGGCAAAAAGUUUCAUUUUAUAUUGACAAAUUGCAAUUUGAGAAGAAUAAUGCUUUCAUCCAAAAAAGUAGUACAUUGGAAUUCAAGCUUUAACGGAACAGCUGUAGAUUGGAUCGAAAUGUAUUCUGUGUAAUCCAAGGUGUACAUGGAUCUUUGGAAAUCUAUCUCUCAGAGUCUUGUUUAUAAUAUCAGAUGCUCUUUUUCUAGUUUGAGUCUGCAUCCAGACGUUUAUGCUUUCCUACAGGAUUAGACAGGACAUGCAAUCUCUGUUUUCUUGCCAUUUACUUUUGUUAGCCAUGUCAGCCAAUGUAUCACUCUCAAAAUACAUUUGGACUCUAAACAGAAGCUGGGCACACAUUACCUUCUAAGCAGUGUCUGACAAAACCAACAAAACCAAGUCAACACUAAUUGAAGCCCUAGAUACCUGUGGCUAAAGACCUUCCUUCCUCAAACAAAGAAUACAUUAUAUGUAUAACCCCCCUAAAUAACUUUAGGAGGAUAUUAAUUUGUCCCAUAUAGGCAAAACAUGUUCCUGAGACCAUGCUAUUAAUACAGUUCCUCCACAUAAGCAGGAAAGUGGAUUUUUUUUAUAGAAACCCAUCACCUCCUCUUUGUGUACAGAGAGCUAAUUGAAGUAUUCUGAAUAAGAUCUCAAGGUCCGUAGUCCACAUCUCAUAAGAGCAAUGGAUUCCAUAUUCAAGCUAGGGCCUCUGAUCUGUAAGCACCAUCAUGGACUUUAUACUUAAAUGGACCCAAUACCCAUACCUAAUGAAGGAGAAGCCCAAUCUUCUUAUACAAAUUAUUAAACCUAACCCAUAUACUUGUAGGAUUGCUAGGCCAAUGAGUUCCUAAUGUUUGAAUUCCUUCUACCUUGCUCUACAAAUCUUGACACAUUAUAUGAUACUUACUGACCACCACUUAACCUUGUUAAGCUUACAUAACUUUGCAGGUAAAUCAAACUUGCCAAGUCCAGCGUUGUCACAAAAACAUCUCACCCUUACUUUCUGCUCAUCAAAAUAGAACCUCUAAAAGUUAACACAAAAAUAUACCAUAAGGUCUGUAGAGUAUAAAAAAGACUUUUCCAGAAUGCAGACAUAUUUUAUAUUCUCCCUCUCUUGUACUUUAUGAUAAAUUACAAGACAGAUGUGAUGUCACUAUUCAAUAUUUCUCAAUAGGCAGUAAGGGAUCAAUGGGAAAUAUCCAAUGAAAGACAUUUUGGGUAUCUCAAGUUUAUUGCAUAGGUGGGUCAGGAUCCAUUUGCUAACAGUAUAUCUAUUACUUUCUCAUUCCCUAGUGCACAGAAUAUGAAGAUUGGGUUGAUGGAUUUGGCAGCUCCUACCUACUUAUUUAUACCAUACAUCUCACCAUACACUAAAGAUGUUGGGGACCAUUUCCAAAACUUAGUUACUAUUCAAUAACUAUUUUUUUUUCUCUUUCUCUUUUUCUCUCACUGGAUUUUCCUUUAUGAUUUAUAUCAUGUUGGAACCUAUAGAAUCCUAAUGAUCACACAGAUUCACAAAGUUUUGUUACAAGUCACCCUACCACUGGAAUCCAUUGCACUUAUAAACCAGUUUAAAGUUCUGUAAUAGUAACUGCAUCACUGGCUAGCGAUGCAGUUACUAUUACUAUGCUAGGAAAUAAAAUAUGUAAUAAAUUAUACUUUAAAAAAACAACCACUGUUUGGAGCCAUAAAUAAGAAAGGCAACUGAAAAAAAACCAAAAUAAGAAAAACCAUGAUGGGGUCUAUGAGACCCUAGCAUGUAUACACAAACACAUACCAACAGUCUAAACCCUUUCAUUGAAACAAUAAAUUACUUUUUCAUCAACUAAGUAUUGGAAAGGUUAUUAUUCAAGAAUUCAUUGAGAUGAACAUGGUUAUCAGCUACAAUCAGCAGGUUUUAUAAAUAACAGUUAAUGUUAAGCCAACUUGAUUGCAUUCUACUAAGAAGUAAGUAGAAGUAUAGAUCAGGGUGUUGCCGUGGAUGUGAUCUAUUUGGAUUUUGCCGAGGCAUUUGAUACAGUUCCACACAAUAGAUUAGUGUUCAAACUCAAAGAAAUCAGCCUGGAUGAAAAUUCUUGUUCUUGGGAGAACAUCGACUUUAAAAUAGAGUACUAGAGAGUUGUCAUUAAUGGUACAUUUUCAACCUGGACAUAGGUGGUAAGGGACCUCUUCUAUUUAACAUAUUUAGAAAUGAUUUUGCAGAUGACACAAGACUCUGUAAGUAGUACAAUGUGAGCAAGAUAUUACUUUGCUACAGAGGAAUUUAGAUGGGGGACUGGGCACUCAAAUGGCAGAUGAAAUUUAAUGUAGAAAAAUUCACUUCAGCAUAAAGAAUACCCUAAAUUAAAGCGAAUUAGGGAUAACAACACAGAAGAAGGAUUUGGGAUUUGUUAUAGACAACAAACUAUGCAACAGUAUGCAAGAUCAAUAAGCAGUGGCUAAGGCCAGUAAGGUAUUGUCAUGCAUGAAAAAAUUACAUUAAUUCUCAGGAUGAGAAUAUCCUUUUGCCUCUUUAUAAAUCACUGGUAAGACCACAUCUUGAAUAUGCUGUGCAAUUUUGGGCUCCUGUUCUAAAGAAAAAAGUGCAGAGGCGGGCUACAAAAUUAAAAAAGGAAUAGAAUAUUUUAGCUAUGUAGAAAGGUUAACAAAUUUAGACCUCUUUAGUUUUGAAAAACAUUGCCUCCUAGGGGAUAUGAUAACAUUAUACAAAUAUAUCUGGGGCCAAUACAAACCAUUGUGUGUUUUUUCUUGUUUUUGUUUUUUACCGUGAGAACAAUACGGAUGUGGAAUUCUUUGCCUGCAGAAGUGGUUUUAUCAGAGUCUGUACAGCUGUUUAUACAGCAACAAGAUGCAUACUUGCAAAAACAAAAUAUUGAAGGAUAUGAUUUUUCAUCUAUAGGGUAAUAGCUUCUUGAUCCAAGGGUAAAUCUGACUACCAUUCUGGGAUAAAGAGGGACAUUUUUUCCUUGUUUGUUGCAAAAUUGGAAGUGCUUCAAACUGUUUUUUUGGUUUUUUUUUGCCUUCUUUUGAAUCAACAGCAAAAAUGUGAGGAAGGCUGCACUUGAUGGACACAUGUCUCUAUUCAGCCUAUGUAACUAUGUAAUACUAUGUAACUAUUAAAAAAUAAUUCAUUUGAUCCCGAAGACCCCAAUAAUACCAGGUUUAUCCCAGCAAGUGGCCUCUCCUCUUCUGCCUCCCUGGGUGCAGUGGUGUGGAAUGAAGGUUUAACAGGUAGAGGUCUGCUGAGAAGUCGCUACCCCUUCCUACACCCUAUGGGCUGCACAGUGAAGGUUAACUUAAUUAAUGGGGCAAUAGGAUGACCAGUCUCAAGCCUGCUAAAUUGCCUGGUGGAAGGAGAUUUCCAGUCUCCUGGCCCCUGAGGGAUUAACUCAUUUACUUUAUUUAUUGUACUUUAAGUGCUACAGAGAAGAGAAGCACAUGAUGCUUCACUGUACAGCAGCACUGAAUUACAGUGGCAUAGCUUGCCUAGUGGGAUUGUAUGCAAGUAAGAGGGCUGUUAUCUUGCCCAAUAAACUGUAACAACAUUUUUAGCUUUUCCAUGACACCAGUUAUUACAGCAUUGGGUUUAAGUAAAUCUAUGUUACUUUUUAUAUAUACAUGCAUUUAUUUUAUUUCAUUAUUUGUGUUUAGCGAUCCUUCCGUAUUCACAGCUGCAGUACUAAUAAGGUUAAAUUAAGGCUAGAUAGGGAUAAUGCAAUGCACAAGCUAUGUAUGUAGUGCUCAGAGAAGCUGUUUUGUUACCCCCGUUGGAGCAUAAAGCAGGUUCAUAUUUAUUUAUUUAUUUAUUUAUAGUUAGGUGCAGUGAAUCUUUCUCUGUUUUUACAUGGCUAGGCCCAAAUGCAUGCACCGAAAUUGAACUUCUUUCAGACAAGUAUUUUUACCACACACUAGGAGAUUUUUUUGAUUUUUAAUUCUUUAUUUUUGAAUAGGCAGUCAGGUGAAGAGGUAGACAACAAAUAUUCCAGUGUGUACAUAAUACGUCGAGAAAACUAGGAAACUUUAAUAAUGAGGUAGACUUGAAAAACAAUUAAUAAUUUCACUGCUCAGAUUAUGAAUGAACACCUGCGCUGACUUUAUCAUGUAACGUCAUAUUAUGUUAUGUUUGAUUUAAUUCUAGUUUUAUAUGUCAGAUGUUGGUGAUUGACCUUUCUUAAAGUCAUUUUAAGUUUUACAUUUUAUAUAAGAGUCAAGAGAAGGUUAAACCCACACUAACACCAUAAUCUUUUCUGAAUGUUCACAAAAUCCUCCAAUAUGUAUGAUUGGAUAUUUAAAACAUGGUUGAAGGAACCAUAGCUUAAUUAAUUUCUACUUUUGUUUCUAAAUCCUUUAACAGUUACUUCUUCUACAUUAGCAGUUUUGAUUCAUUGGUUAAGGCAGUCAGCAGGAAUAGAUAAAUUAUAUACCUAUAUUGCAUGUGAUGAUAUGAUUACUAUAACCUUUAUUAUAGAAUUUUUAAAAUAUACUUUUAACGCAGAGCACUAGACUAGAAAAUCUACACAGAAACCUAUUUUAAGGCCCCUGAAACAUCUCUCUUUGAUAUUAGUAUUAAACUUUAAAUUAUCAUAAUAAUAGUCUACACUCUUGACAUCAAAUUCUCAAAUUUUGUUUCUAAAUUUUGUAUAAAAAGUCAAUAACUUUAUUAAAAGCAUGGAGGAAAUACUAUACUGCUUAUGAGAACCCUCCCUGAUUAUUGCAUGUGUUUGUUACAUUUUUCAGUGAAAAGAACAGUUUCACAACAAGUUAAAUCAGAAGAGGAGACCUUGAAGAUAUUAGAGACUUUGUUCCAAAC